rnacentral:lncRNA from 1 species
CAUAGGGAAUUACAUAAGAAGCCAACAUGUAGUUGAGGCUGUUGCUGUAGGGGUUGAAGGGAGGGUCGAGUUUGUACCCAAAUGCUUCAUCAAAGAGCUUUGCAAAGUUUUCAGCACGGAGGUCCAGCUGUGGCCUUGGAACAAACCUACCGUAUCUCUAAGCGCCCUAAAGUUCAAUGACCAAAGAAAAAAUUGAUGAUCAGAUAUACUUCACGAUUGGGAUUCUAGCUCUAAUAUAGUAGAAAUGAAUAAAUACAUAUGAACCUGAGAUGGCCAACUUCUUGAUAGGCAAAUUCAGUGAUAAUGUUCUUUGUAAGAAGAUCGAGAUUGGCUUUUUGGGCACCGAUGGGAGGAGGGCCUCCCUUGGGCAAUUCAGGCUCAACCACGUCGAGCCCAUGGCCUAAGGCACCCCACAAGAAAAAUUCUGCUUCCAAGAACUCUAGAUUCACUGGAAACUGCAACAGUUCAAUGUCUUUCUCGUAUAGUGGAAGUGAUUUUUGGGGAAAAGUUGGCUUGCAAGGUUGAGGGGAAAAUGAUGCUGUGGAUGCUGUGCAAGACACCAUCAAGAUCAUGAACACGACUGUUUGAGGCUUAUAUGAUAAAAGAAGAGCCAUUGUUCGACGGCAGAAUGAGAAACAGAGGUUGAGAAGACGUGAUUUGAGUUUUGAGAUGCAUUGAUCGAGAAAUUUGGUGGUAGUAUUUAUACUGGGCUUGAACAUUGACAUGUAUUUCUUUCGAAGUACGUUAAUCCUUGACCUGGACAAAUCUCCACCCGAAAAUUGUGUAAACAAUUGUUAACCAAUCAGAAAUGCACAUGCACGUCAUGAAACACAAAAGUAUCAGAUCUGCAUAGCUAAAUUAUACUAAUAGAGUAAAUAACAUUGAUUUCCCUUUAAGUUUGUCAAAAUUGCAAGUAGCUGCUCAUUUGUUGCUGAAGCUGUUUUUAGAAUAAGUAUAUAAAAUAUAUAUAUAUGAGGAAGCAUUGGUUUAAAAAGUCGAGGUUGAGAAUCCAAACUUUAAAGAUUGUAGAUUCUAAUUCUCCUUUUUUCUUGACGCUUCUUAAAUCCCAUCCUUUGUAUACUAGAGAAAAUAUAUGUGUGAGUUGAUUGUCAGCAAAAAUGUUUUGGACAUUUCAAAAUGACCAUAAAACUGAACCUAGUAUUGAUUUCUCUCUGGUCAAAUUGUGGACUAGUCUUUUCGAUUAGUUUGACUGUGCAAUAGACUUAAACUAUUUGAUUGAUUUUAAAUCAAUUAUGUACCUCUCUGUGGCUGGAAAAUUCCGUGUUUGAAAAUGCCAAAAAUUUGGAGGAAGGAAUAUGGACAAAGGGAUUCUCUUUCCCACACAAGCAAUUGAUAUAUCAAGAAGAAUUCAUGAUUCACAUGGAACCCUUGGGUGUCUUAUACCAGCAUGCCUUCUGGUUUCUUAAGAAAUUCGGUCCAAUGUUUCAUCUAUGAAUCAUGAGUUAAAAGUCACCGCUAAUAUCUUUCAGAUUAAGUUUGUUGGUCAUAUUCUGGUAUGAAAUAUGACCUGCCGAAUUGCUGUGGAUACAUGCUGCCCUAGGCCUGCAAGUUCUGGAGUAAGGUACUUGUUGGUUUCUUUGCAUUUUGCAGUUGCGGUCCCAUGAAUGAGUUUAAAGUCACUGAAGUACGUGCAAAAUCUACGGACUCAGUUACUGCUUUUGGACUUCAGUUACCAUUUUGGCCAUUUAAUUAAGGGUCUGUUUCGAUUCAGGUGUUUUUGACAUAUAGAUUUUCCAAAUACAACAGUAACACAAUUUAAAAACACUCUAACAACAUUCAAAAAUACCGAAAUACACUUACCCAAAAAAAAAAAAAUUCUAGCUGUCUUUUCAAUCUCCUCCAGAACCGCCCUUGGAAUCUGAGGUGACUGCAUAGCAUAAGAUAGCAGCCUUUUUGUUUUUCUUUGAUUUAUUUAUAGCAAUACCUCUUUUUUUUUUUUAAUAAACAACAUACCAUUAUUGUAACUAGUAAUAGGUGAUGUGCUUCUCAUAUGAUUAUAUCAUAAAAUGUACUGUUUCUUAUGUACAAAUUUUUUGAGAAAUUUUAUUGUUAACAUCAUAAUUUAAUAUUUAGAUUUAUCCAUCUUUUUUUCAGUUUUCUACUGUUACUUUAGGACUUUUAAUGAAAUUUAAAAAAAAAACCCUUAUAGGGCCGAUUCCAUACACUAUAAGUCAACCUUUGAAAAAAAAAAAAAAGAGCAUAAUAGAAAAUAUAAAAAAUAUAUGCAUUCCCCAAUUGGUAUGCAGUGACAUAUAAGGGAUAAAAUUAAACAUGACCCUAAAUAUAAUACGUUGUGUACAUGACUAAAUCCAUUAGAAUUUUUCAUUUUCCGUUAGAGGUCCUAUAUUUUUUGUGUAAAGAUAAAUGACUAAAAUGGUCACAAUAUUAGAUAAGGGACUAAAUUGGCCAAAAUCUCAAAGAUGAGAGACCAAAAUGGUCAUUUUCCGGUAUUUUAAUUGUUUUGUGAAAAUAACCGAGAGCCAAUGAGAAGACUAAACGAUGGGUGAAUUAAAGGGCGCGAUCAACAUUGAAAUUUGUAAGAUAUGGAAAUUGAAAUUUCAGAGAAGGAUGGAGAACUUUAAUAGACAAAAGAGAUGAUAGGCUAUUCAAUCGGGAAAAAUGCUCGGUGGCAACUUUUUUUAGUUUGGAUAGCCAUUUGAUAUUUUUACUACAUUUUUUUAAAUUUGUUUCUUGAUUUUGCAUACGAUGAGUGUCAUUCUUUUGGAAUGUUAUUAUAGUCAUUUUGAGCUAUGAAGGAAGGUAAGUAUAAUAUUUGAAAUUAGAGGGGUGCUAGGUUGAAUUAUUGAAAAUCUUGGGAGAAGUUUGUGAAAUCAUCCAUAAAAUUUUGUAAUUGUUCCCCGUAAAAAAUGUGCACUGAAUUAAGCCAGACAUUGCCAUAUGGGGAAUAAAGAAGAGAAAUUUAUGUUGAUACAGCAAAUAAUUGAGAUUAGGAGGGAUGGUAGCAUAUUGCGUUGAUACCUAAAGUAAAAAUUGGCAAGCAAGUUCACGAGAAAUAUUUUAAUAUGCAUGGUAGAAAAAAAUAAUCACGAAAAAUAAAAAUUACGUUAAUAGAAUAUAGAACUUCCCGGAAAAAAAAUGCAAAUAACGAAAAGGAUAUACAACACCAACCAAGCUAACUGGUUCUUUUCCACAAGCUUCGGGAUUAACAAAAUCUGUGAAGACGGAAGCAGGUACGAUUGGUUAAGGUCUAGUUAGGUGCAAUUACAUAGAAUAAAAUUUAUAAGUACAACAAAAUUAUAUAAACGUAUCCUUAUACUAUACACGAAUGAGUUGUGGUUAAAGGGAGUUUAAAUUUCAAUCGCGUGGAUAGGGGUUUUUUGGAAAUCUAGAAUGUUAUGUAGCUUUUUUUUAAAACUUGUAGUAUAAUCGAAGAGAACACGUGUUUAGGUAUAUUUAUCGAAAUGCUCUCAUUUUGGUACAUUUAAAGUUUUAAUUUAUAAAGAUAUCUGGAUAUUUGCUGAAAUAUGAAAUUAUUUUGUAACCGUAUUUAUAUCGAGAACAACUCAUAUAAGUUUAUGUGUUGGUGUAAUUACUGAAAUGGUGUUAUAAACACAUUUAAUUAAAGUGUGAUUUUUGUUGUGCAAUUAACACAAAAACAUAUUAACACAUUGUGCAAUUAACACGUUGCUAGAACUAGUUGUUGGAAGGUAUUCCUUUGUUUGAAACAACUUAUAUCUUCUCUUGGGUGAUUUUCAACUGACAUUUGUAGGGGUCUUUUGGGAAUGAUAAAAUUAUAAAAGCAUUGAUGAAAUAAAGUGUAAAAGUGUGUGAUGCAAUUAGAAUGUACUAUUAUUAGUUUUGUCAUAUUUGAAGACUAUUUCUUUCCAGAAUAUAUUAUUAUUUAUUUAAUGAAAAAAUUUCUUUAACCACAGGCACCAAACAUCCGCAUGAUACACGGGACUCCCCCUAGUACCACUUAAUGUAGAUAGUGCAACAAUUGUACAAUUGUAUUUAACCUCCAAUCGUACCUGUCCCAAAUCCAAAUAUGUGAUUUUAAAUCAAUUGUUUACUUCUUUUGUGGCUGGCAUAGUUAUUAAAUCCGGCCCGGAGAGGAGAUCGGCGAAGGAGGUGGGUCAACAGGUCACUGGUUCAACCAGUGGAUGAGUGGUUGAACCAGUGGUCACUACAUAUAUUUAAAUAUUAUAUUUUAUAAAUUUUGAUAUAGGAUAUAUGAGAUAAAUUGUAAUAAAUAAUGUCAUAACAAAUAUUCAUUUAAUUUAAUUUGCUAUAGAAUAUUUAAUUCAUAUAAGAAUCAGCAAAACAUAAAUUUAAUUAGUAAUCCACCAAACUUCAAGUGUAGAUGUUUACUGUAAUUAUCUAGGUUAUUUACAAAUUUUAAAUGCAAAAAAAUGUUUAAAAAACAAUAUUUGUCUUUAAAAUAAAUUAUGUAAUAUGUUAUUUUUGAAAUCUAUUUAUAAUUUAUAGAAUAUAGGGGUCAUAAGUUUUAUUAAAAGAUUCCAAAUACAUUUGUUUUGGAGAGUUUAAAAAAAUAAAGAUGAAAUUAACAAAACAUUCAUAUAGCAUAAGAAUGGCCAUUACUGAACAAGUGAUAAAGUGGCCUGGUGGUGAGCUACGCACAAACAAUAACGAAAGGUCUGAAGUUCGAAUCCAAGCAAAGGUUUGGAAAAAUAUUUUUUCCUCAAAUCCGGUCUGCCCACAAAACCGGCUGGAUUUUCGGUUUAAUCCGGUUGAACCGUCGGUCCGUUGAAAAGUCAACGAUUCAUAUGCAGAAACGAUCCAAUUGAAGAACCGGCCCGGUUUAGUGACCGGUUUGCCGGGUUGACCGGUCGAACCGUCGGACCGAGUCGGGUUUAAUAACUAUGGUGGCUGGAAAUGUCCGUGUUUGAGAAAGCCUAAAAUUUGGAGGAAGGACUAUGGACAGAGGGAUUCUUUUCCCACGCAAACAAUUGGUAUAUUAAGGAGAAUUCAUGAUUCGCAUGGAAUAUUGGAACCCCUGGGUGUCUUAUAUCCGCGUGCCUAUGUAGGAAUCAUGAGUUAAGGUCACCGCUAAUCCCUUUUAGAUUAAGUUUGUUGGUCAUUUUUUGGUAUGAAACAUGACUCACUUAAUUGCCGUGGCUGACCUUACGGAUUGCAUAAGGAACUAUACAUGCUGCCCUAGGCUUGCGAGUUCAUGCUUGUAGAUCAUAAUACUAUUAUUAAUAUAGUAGUAAUCCAAGCCUAGUUCUUGGUUCAUUUUUUUUUUUAUCAAAAGAUAAUAUCUAGUCUAGCCUACUCCUACUCUAACCUACACUUGGAGGGAGGUCCAACGAGGUCUAGAGAAAGCGACGGGAACCAAACCACCAUCAAAUUAGAUAGAUGCACUAUGCAUCUGUAUGAAUUUAAAAGAAAUCACAUAUAAUGGCACAUUAAUGGGAGGCAAAGUUUAAACCUUUGACCUCGCACUCCAUCAAAACUUAAAGUUUUUGGUUGUGGCCAAUAGCCCAAAGAGCGGUUGGUUUAGUUCUUGAUUAAUGGAUAAGGAAUUUGUUGGUUUCUUUACAUUUUGCAUUUGCAGUCCCAUGCAUGAGUUUAAAGUUCGUGUGGUCACACAAUAAAGUAUCAUUCGAACUUAUUCUAAGCAAUAACUCUUCUUUUUUUUUUUUUGUUAGCCAUCAACUCCUACUCCUAUUGUAAUCUACACUAGUGGAGAGAGCCCGACUAGGUCAGAAGGGACUAGAGGAUUACAAUGGGGAAAAAAGGAAAGGAAAUAUGCCGCUGUUUUGGACUUCAGUUGCUAUUUUGGCUAUUUAAUAAAGUUUUUGCUAAAUAACUCGUUCCUUUUUACCAUAUCAAGUGGAUAGGUUCUCAAAAAAUAAAUGUAGGAAAAGAACAGGGUUUUAAAAUUGUUUUCGAAUUUUUUGGCAAGCCAAAACCUUAUGUUUCUCUUCUUUCUUGUGAGACUUAAGGAUUGUAACGUCUUGGAUUACGGCUUAUCUCCAAUCUGCUUUGCUUCCGCAAUAAAAGAGUACGUUACACAUUGGUCACUAUUAAUGACCAAUUGUGCUACAAGUUUUUAAAGCAGGUUAUCCCUCCUUUUUUCUCAUGAAUUAAACAAGUGUUCUUUAGUUGCAUGUUUAUUCAUGCAUGGCAUACUCCAAAUUAUUGGAACAAAAGAGGUUGUUUGGAUUGUAAUUGUUCAAGAGUUUGUGGGAAAAAAUUACCGCAGUACUUUUUAAAAUGCGAUAUAUAUGAAAUAAAAAAGAUUAUUGGUAAAUUUGUAAAAGCAAUAUUCACAAAAAAUAUUAAAUUUUUCUCUAGAAAACAACAAUACAAAUAUAGGGCAUGAAUUGCAUUGCAUUAGCAUUGUAUCAAUGGUCUUAUUGAAUCCAUGAUUGUUGAUUCAAUGUAUCGAGGGAUAAUUUUAAGGUUUCGGGCCUCUUUAUGUGCUGAAAUUUGACACGUACUCAGUUGCGAUGACUUAGAAGGUCGUGAUCAAAUUUAUAGUGUAAUUCUAUUUUGCCCUCUUAGUCUCUUAAGGACAACAUAAAAAAGAGCUUAUGGAAGUUGUCUUGUACCAGAUAAAUAAUUCUUUAAAUUAUAAUAAACAUUAUCAACAAAGUGAAUUUUAUUAUAUUAUAGAAUCAUUUAAUAAAAACCCUGAGGUGUUUAUUUUUUGAAGUUCUAUGUUGGUUUUUAAGUUGGAUCCUUUAAAGUUGAAACCCUUAGUUGAUAUAUGAAUCUUUGGUGCAAAAAUUGGACUGCCUUCUUUGUUCAUUAUUCAUGAAUAAUAUGUUGCAUGUCUCAAUUCGUCCAUGACUUUAAUGGCACAAAUGAGUUCUUUUAAGCCAAUUGGACAAAGGUUUGGCAUUUAUUUUGCACAUAAAAGAUUCAGUUUAUAAAUGCCUUACUUGGAUUUAUGUCGAUUGACUUAAAUGGUUUUGUCUGAAUUGAAUAAUUCAAUGGAUUAUUAUAAUUAGUCCCACUAAAGUGGUUAUUGUUCUAAUUCAUAAAAUUGUUCGAUAAAAAUUCUGAGGUCUUUUCAAAUUAUUAUCAUACUUACCUGCCAAAAAGGGAUACAUCUUUACUAUACUAAAAGCGUCAGUUGGCUUAGCUACAGUGAAAAUGGGCCGGUUAUAGCGUGAUUUGUGUGAGCUUGAGGGGUAGUUUGGUCUUUUGCCAUUCAGUGGUGGUGGCUUUGCUGGAAAUUUCCUGCUACCCGCGUGGCUUUGUUAUGGGCACUGAAUAGGGAGCCGCCGAAUACAAUAGCUACGCCUAACAUGUGAAAUGAGAAAUUCCAUUUCAACGAAAAUUUUGCCACUUUGGAUACAUUGAGCCCAACAGAGAUAGAGAGGCGAGAGAUGGUCCUGCACUUGUGGCAUCUACCUUUGACUUUGAUUUUCAAACCCUCAUCUUACCUUUUAAACAUUUUCAGUAUAGAUUGUAGAAGAAACAACUUACCAUGAUGUGGACGAAAUUCGUACUCAUUUUUCGUAGCCAUUUUGUUGACAAUAUUAAUAAAACUCAAACCCAUUGUUAUAAUGGCUCGAUACUAGAGGUGAUAAAUCAACCCACCUAAUUAAAUUUACCUAUACCCGUCCAUGAAUAGAUGGUAUAAGUUCAAAAUUUUUGAAUUAAAUUUUUAUAUUAAUUUUAUAGUACUUAGUUCAAAUUUUUAUAUUCUUAUUAUUCAAUUAUUAAAUAAUAGAUAAUUUUGUAACAUAGAGUAUAAAUGAAAAAAAAUUGGUAAUUAAAUUUAUUGAAUAUUAUAAAUAAAUAUUUAAAACUAAUAAUGGGUACAAAGAGUGUAUAAAUUGAUAACUUGUUUUGCAAAAAUAAAUUUAAAUGAGUUUACCAAAAGUUAAAAUAAAUAAGUUGUAAAUGGGUAAUUGAUUACACAAUUCAUUUUUUGACUUACCCAUUUAUACCUAUCUAAUUAAAUGGGUAUAAAUGAGUUAAUUUACUUAUACCCAUUACCCAUUUUAUCUAACCCAAAUUCGUACUCAUUUUUCGUAGCCAUUUUGUUGACAAUAUUAAUAAAACUCAAACCAAUUGUUAUAAUGGCUCGAUACUAGAGGUGACAAAUCAACCCACCUAAUUAAAUUUACCUAUACCGGUCCAUGAAUAGAUGGUAUAAGUUCAAAAUUUUUGAAUUAAAUUUUUAUAUUAAUUUUUAUAGUGCUUAGUUCAAAUUUUUAUAUUCUUAUUAUUCAAUUAUUAAAUAAUAGAUAAUUUUGUAACAUAGAGUAUAAAUGAAAAAAAUUGAUAAUUAAAUUUAUUGAACAUUAUAAAUAAAUAUUUAAAACUAAUAAUGGGUAUAAAGAGUGGUAUAAAUUGAUAACUUGUUUUUGCAAAAAUAAAUUUAAAUGAGUUUACCAAAAGUUAAAAUAAAUAAGUUGUAAAUGGGUAAUUGAGUUACACAAUUCAUUUUUUGACUUACCCAUUUAUACCUAUCUAAUUAAAUGGGUAUAAAUGAGUUAAUUCACUUAUACCCAUUACCCAUUUUAUCCAACCCAAACCCACCCAAGUCACCCAUUUCAACACCUCUACUCCAUACUUUAUAUUCAAGCCCAACAUUUUUGUUUUCCCACUUUAGCUUUCUUGCUUUGUUUUACCUUGAGAAGCAAGAAUUUUCAUGAUAAACUGAAUUUGUUCUUCACUACGAUUUCCCUUGUGUUCCAACAAAGGAACGUUUAACUUAAAAUAAAUAUUUCAACCAGGGGAAAAAAAACCAGUUUAAAAACAACUACAUAUAACGGUUGAAAUCAAUCUGAGUGUAUCACUCCAUCCCCCCUCUUUUCUUUUAUAGUGUAAGUGAAAGAAGAGCUCGUUACUCUGUCUCACUAUGUCUAUUGAUCCUUCGUUUUACUGCAAAAGCUUGAUGAACAAUACCGUAAAACACAGUACAAGUUUGAACUUAUUCUCGAGAAAUUAUGCCUUCCCGCGAGAAAGAAGCAAAAAGUUGAAAAUGAUGAAAUAGUAACAUGCAAUUGCAUAUUUCAUCAUAGAAACUAGCAAGACAAGCAGCCACAGACCGUGGUUCACGCACAAUCAAAAUAAUAUAUUGCAUGAAAAAGAAAAACAGAGGAGAGAGGACCAUGGGGCUAUUAGCAUUGAACCUCAACAUCCGGUUCAACAAAACAAAGGAGCAACAAACAUACGAGCUUAAGAAUAAGUUAAAAGGAGAAACAUCUACAUAUUUGUGAAAGGGGUGAUCUUGAUGACUAACUCAGGGAAAACAUCAUCUGGAUCAUGAAUAUGGAGAUUCUGCUCAAAGAUGUAAGGAUCCCCACAUUUUCCACUGAUAGUAUGCAGAGUCUCUCCUUCACGUACCGCAUGAAUCUCAUCACACGGCUGUUCAAGUAGUAAUGAAGAUAAUAUUUGCUGCUUCUACUGUUGCACUUCAAACUCCUCCUCAGUUGAUUCACAGCAGCUUAACACCAACUUUAAAGCCAGGAACAAGGCACAGUACCAGAACACAAUAUCUGCUAGAGCUGUCGAUGGAUGAAUGCGGCCUGACAUGUUAUGCUUUAAAUUUAACUCUUUCUCGAAUUCGCAGCGACAAUUGUUCUCUCUCUAUCUCUCUCUAUAGCAAGUAUGUGCAUGCACGUGUACCACAAAAUUAUCUCAAGUGGAGGAGAGUAUUUGCAGGACUCAUAGUAUUGAGGAUCAGCAGGAGUUAAUGUUGUUGUUGCGAAGUAAGCUAGAGAGAUGAUGAUGUUUGAUUUGACGUGAUAAUCGUUUUGGAGUACAAAUGCAGGUCAUUAGAAUGGUUAGACAGCAGUGUUCCUGCUAGAGGGACAAGAUUGAAACGGGUUCGUUUCUUGCGGAUCGUAGGUAACUGUCUCAAGUGAAGAAAUAUUGGAACAUAUGAAAUGAAGGAGAGAAAGUUCGUUGAACUACUUUAUUAAAUGGUAGUGAAUACUUGAGAUAUCUCUUGAUCAUAAUUAAGAAAGCAAUCAUUCAACAUUUUUUACUUGCUCUCGAGUCUCAAGUUUCAACCAUCCUUCGCAGCACCAUCCUCGAAGAUGAACAAAAUUCUUGUGCCUUAAUCAGUCAACCGUCGUUACAAAAGAGUUAGAAAAAAAUUUCCAAUACGGUCAAUCCCUACUCGAUCACGCUUCUUGAUAACUACCUGAGGGUACGAGAGACCUCUAGAUUCUUUCCCCGUCCGACGUUUUCAUUUUUCUCUGUAUCAUCCAGCAGCUUCGUCUGGUCUCACGAUUCCAAUUAGUUUAAUACAACAAUUUCCUAGAUUUCAUCUAUGACCUUUCUUUUAGUCAAGCAACACACAAACGGUUUUCUGAUAUACUGAUAUUAUGAGCAAUCACUGCUUCCUUUUGAGCUCUGAACCAGCAAUAUGACCGCUUUCUUCGCAGUAAAAAGAUCAAAGUUGUCAGAUUCUUCCUUCUAAAAUUAUUGAUCUCCUUUUUCAUAAACUCACAUCAACAAUGUAAUUCCAGUGUGACUUAAUCUUUUGUAAAGUUUAAACCCAUACGUAUUAUAAACGACCUAUCACUACAACAAAAUUUGCCUUUAGCGGCAUUUAAAGGUGUUAGUAUAGAUAAUCUAACCUGACACUUUAUCUAUCCUUACACCCAGGGUGAGUGUUGUCCCUUCCAAUGUGGGGAUAGACUUGUACUAUUCAAUGUGUCAGGAAAACUAUGCUAUUAUAGCAUCCCAUCUGCCAACAAAAAUCUCUUUUCUUAACAAUCAAAAGUGUCAGGAUAUUGUCGAAGUCGUUGAGCUAUGCUGACACUAUUAACUGCCAGCAGUUUUUUUUUUUUUUUUUAAAUAAAGAAGCAACCUGGUUGUGCUCCCUGCUAUACAUUCCGUCAAUCAGAUACCCAAAGGACUUGUAAAAUUAUCCCAAAGAACAGAAUGCAUGUAGUAAUUUAAAAGCAAAAAUCAAUGCUCAAAUAUCAUUUGUUGAACUAAAAUCAGCAACAAGUACUAACAUAGCUAAUCAAAAGCCAAAACCAACACCAGCUAAUGUAACUAAUUAUCUACACUGUCAGUAUAUAACAACCAAAACCAACAUUUAAAGUUCCAAAUAGAAGUUCCUUUAUCUCUGGAACCUUGGUGCUCAAUGCGUUGUUAAGCAAAGUCUUGAACAGGAGCAGAAAGCUUUAGUUCAUGUACAGCUUGGAAGUAAUCUGCGGCUGCUUGUUUCAAGCCUUGAGACUUGGAUAGCACUCCAAGAAGGAACCACGCAUGGUGGUUUGUCGGCUCUAGUUAGAGAGCAGUCAUCAACAAGCUUCUUGCAAUAGGAAGAUUCUGUCUACCCAAUUUUAUCAGCACUCCAGCACUUGAGACAAUGCUUGGUACAUAAUCUGGCUCUAUGGAGAGUGAAACUGAGAAUGCAACAAGAGCUUCCUUGUAUUGUUCUUGAGCUUCAAAUGAUUUACCUGCAGAUAUAAACGCAUCUUGUGAUAAUCAAAGGAUAUGAAUAAACGCAUCUUACUUUUUUUUUAAUUUUCGCAACUUCUUUUAAAAUUAUACAUCAUCUUACAUGUUCUGAAUCACUUAUUAAAUGUUGUUAUUUCUGGAAUUGGUUAAGCGAAAUCCCAGCUAACCACUUUGUCAGUCACUUAAAUAAAACAGGGGAUUUAAUUGAACAGAAGGAAAGAAGAAAAGUGCGGUAACACUUCCAAUAAGGACACCAUAUCAAUUUCCAAAAGACAAAACUAAAAAGACUAUAAUUCAGAGUACAGAAUAAUUGCAUUGGAACGCCCUGAGUUAACCUUUUCUGAAAUGGCAUUAACCAAACAUGCAUCAAGAUAGUAUGAACUUAGACAAAAGCAAAUAAUCAUCUGCAACAACAAAACAAUGCAUCAUUAAACAAUAUUGUUGUGAAUCCAAUUGUAUCAUUUUGUUGCCUUUAUGAUGGCCUGUUCUUGUACUACAUAUAUAUGUUUGAAAUAAAGUGGUUUAUUUUAUUUUAUUUUAUUUUCUGUUGGAUUCCAAGUUCGUUUUCCUCUGAUUGUCUUAAAUAAGCAUUGGUGCUCGAGAACUAUUUGGUACACUUGAUUGCCUAUAUUUCAGGUGUGAGAUUUUGGUUUAUCUCUGCUUUCCAUUCAAAUAAGCAUGUUGAUUCACCUGCUCCUGCAUAGUGGCAUUGCGUCUAUGCACGGGCUUUUUCUAGAAAAGAAGAUGACCAUUCUACUUCUUUUAUAAUCUCAAGCAAUAAGUACACAUCUUUCUGGAGAAAGUCAGUAGUUACUCAUUGGGUCUAAAGAACACGAAACGUAUGGAAAAUUGAUCACGAGAUAGCAAGACAGUUCAAAAUCAAAGUAAAAGUCAAACUUCGAGUGGCCACAUUUCUCAAAAGAAAUUAAAAUCUUUUAUAGUUCCAACUAAUUACGUGUUCAUAUAUGGACCGAAUAAUAUUGUAUAAGGAAAACGAAGCAGUGACAAACCUAAGGAAAUCGUACCCUUCUUGGCAAUUGAAGGAAAGAACGAGGGGGAGAAGCCCAAUGGCCACCACCCCAGUGAGCUGGGAACCUGACGAUGAGUGGGAACUCAUCAACGAUGACGGUUUCGUCUACAAACAUAGGAAACGUCCUCGUGUCGACCUUCCUUCCUCUACUUCGGCACCGGGACUAUCGGAUCCGGCCGUUGAAGAGCAGAACCGCCGGCAAAGGAAGAAAAGAGCUCUUCUCAAGCUCAAACACAAGUACCAACAAGAGAUCGAACAGUGGGUACAUUUGUCGAACACCUUGAAGGAUAUGCAGCAAAAAUCCCCAAUUGUUAUUAGUCAGCAUAAAAAAUCCCCAAUUGUUAUUAGUCAGCAGCAAAAAUAUCGACAACCGAUGACGCUGCUACGUCGUCUUACCGAGUCACAACGACUUCCCCAGUCCCUCCGGAACAAUCGUCGGACUCCGCUUGCCAGCAUCUUGUCAAUGAACUUCUCUUGCAGACGGAAGCCCAAAAAUCUAUAAUUGGAGAUGUAGCAAGGCUGUGCGAUGUGGCCGAAGCCUUGUGUAGCGCAACAGAGGAGAAUUUUACGAAAUCCUUCACCGAGCUGCCGGUAUGGGCGUUGAAGCCACAUGAGCUGAUGACGUCACUCUACGAAGAUUGAUUUAGUUCAGGAGUAAAAUGUCUUUUUAAAGUUCCUUCUUCUACUCUAUUACAGACUUCUCUGAGAUCCAGGAAGGCCGAAAGGGGGAGAUGACCAAGAAACCCUUGGGUUGGGCACUUGUCCAUAGCUGCUCUUUUGGAGGAAAAAAUACGAUAAAAAACGCCAUGCCAUGGGCCUUCUCACUCCAGAAAUUAUGUGAAAUUUUAAAGAGAUUCGAGUUGUAUAAUAUGACUGGUUUGAUUGCUAUCCUUUCUGAUUAAAAAAAAGGAAAGAACGAGAAGAAAGAGAAGAAUAUGUAAUAAUUUAAAUGAGAAAGAAAAAGGAAGGAUGCGAUGAGGGAUUGGAGAUUGGAGAGCCAGAGGAAGAAAGGAAAGCAAGAGCGGCGGAGGAGAAAACAAGAGGUGAACUUGUGUUUGCCCUACUUAGGGAAGAGAAGAAAAAAGGAACACGUGCACCUCACAUGAGUAUGACGAAAAAACUUGUGAACAGUAACAUUUUUUCAAGUGUCAUAAUAAAUAGUCUAAAGACACAUUAUUAUUCUUAUAUCAGAUAAAAUUAAAAAAAUUAAAGUAUAUAUUAUUGAGUUGAUAAUAAGUGUCAUAAUAGAGGUACUAUAAUGACAAAAAACCAACAAAUGUCCUUAUAGACAUGUCAGGAAAAGCCAUUUUUGUUGUAGUGUAUAUUCUUAUGUGACAACACAGUACCGAAACACUAUGGUUUCUUUUGUUUACGCAUCUGACAUUUUUUUCAUCCAACGUUUUUAAAUAAGAAUCAGUUGAUCUUCAUUCUACAUUAAAUGUAUAUAUCUAUAUACAUACACUGAUACAUCUAUACCUUCUAUACAAAAAGACUUUCUAAUUAUCGAAUGCAAUCAUAUUACCAAUUAUCAUCGUUUAACCUACUCCAUAAAAUUAAAUUAAAUUAACACAAGUUAGGGCAACCUCGCGCUAGCGCGAGGCCUAAAAAACUAGUUAUUUUAAAAAGGUCAGACGAUCACCAUGGUACUUUUAUGGUCACUAGUAAUUAUAUUUCACGUGCAAAAUAUAACACCUUCUACAUACUAAAAUUUGUUGUGAAAUUUUGAUUAUCUACCUCAUAAUACAAAUUUUUGUAUGCUUUUCAGUUUUUUUUAACCCACUAUGGCUAUAAAGAUUAUUCAAAUUUAAACUCUUCGACCUAAAGCUUUUUUUGAGCAUUUUUUUAUUAAUUUUAAAUUGAACUUUGAUAACAAUUGUCAACACUAUCAUAUUUUACCAUAAAUUAUAAGAUUACACUUUUCUAGAUAGUACAAAAUAAUGCUGUUAAAAAAGGAAAUAUAUAUGCACACGUCAAGUGUAGAAGAAGCAAAUCUAAUCUUGUGAGUGUUAGUAAAGUAAAUAUUUAAAGACCCAUUAGAGUACUACAUGAAUUGAUUUCUUAGAUCAUUGUCAUUUAUCAACCCGAGGUCCAUAUGUGUCUUUUCUCAAUUGAAAAUAAAAUCUGCGAUGGACUUUUUAGUAAAAUUAUCAAAGUUUAACAACUUAGAAAACUAAGAUUUGAGUAAAUUAUUAAAUACUUACAAUAUCGAUAAGAUUAUUUUUUUUUGUUUUUCUUGUUUCUUUUUGGUUAAGACAAACAAAAUUUAAUUGUAGAAUUACAAUUUAUUGAUUAUUUAAGAACAAAGCACAUGAAUAGUAUUUGUUUUUUCUUCAUACUCGAGUUUUCUACAAUUUUCAUUUCACAUGAAAUCUAAUUCUUAGUAUGGUAGACAUUAUUAUUUUUCAUGUCAUAUGAGUAAAAUUAGUUAGCUUUUUAAUGAGGUUCUUUUAAUAUGAAGUGAAAUACACUAUCUUUAAAUUGUUUGCACCAUUUUUUAACUCUACAAUUAGGCAUAACAUCGUGCAAUCAAAACCCAAUUACUAACAUUAUUGAAGCAAUUGGUAACAUUUCACCUUUUAUUCUAAUUACUAAGAGAGUAAUUUUCAUCUUAAUUACUAACAUUAUUGGAACAAUUAGUAAUAUAUCAAUUUUUAUUCUAAUUAAUAUUAAUUUGAGUCAAAUGGUAACAUUUCAUUUAUUUCAUUAACACCAUAACCAAUUAGUUAGGUUUUUGAUGAAGUUCUUCAAUAUGAAGUGAGAUGCACUAUUUUUAAUUUGUUUGCACCAUUUUUGGAUUGUAUACAUAUAUUGUAUAUACAACUUAUACAACUCUACAAUUAGGCGUAACAUUGUGCAAUCAAAACCCAAUUACUAACAUUAUUGAAAUAAUUGGUAACAUUUCAGUUUUUCUUCUAAUUAAUAAGAGAGUAAUUUUCAUUUUAAUUACUAGCAUUAUUGAAACAAUAGGUAACAUUUCGGUUUUUAUUCUAACUACUAACAUUAUUGAGCUAUUUGGCAUUGUUUCAUUCAUUUCAUUAACACCAUAACUGAAAAUGAAUUAAUUCUAAUUAUUAGUCAGUCAUGCUAAAAACUAAGACAAAAAAUGCAAAUGAACAGUAUUGUUUUAUUUAUACUUGAGUUUUCUAUAAUUUUUGUGUCACAUAAAAUCCAAUUCUUAGUAUGGUAGGCGUUAUUAUUUUUCAAGUUAUAUGAGUCGAAUUAUUUAGCUUUUGGAGGAAGUUCUUUAAUAUGUGUGAGAUGCUCUAUUUUCAAUUUUUUGCACCAUUUUUUAGAUUGGAAGCAAAUAUUGUAUAUUCAACUUAUACAACUCUACAAUCAAGCUAACAUUGUGCAAUCAGAAUUCGAUUUCUAACAUUAUUGAAACAAUUGGUAACAUUUCAGCUUUUAUUCUAAUUACUAUGAGAUUAAUUUUUAUCCUAAUUAAUAACAUUAUUGAAACAUUCGGUAACAUUUCAGUUUUUAUUCUAAUUACUAACAUUAUUGAGUCAAUUGGUAACAUUUCACUGAUUUCAUUACUACCAUAACUAAAAUGAAAUAAUUCUAAUUAUUAGACAAUGGGUACUUUGGUCAUAGUAAAAACUAAGACAAAAAAUGCUUAAUUCAACUUACUUCAACCACCUUAUCUUAUCUACUAAAUCUACCAUUGUUUAUUAAUUAUAUUCAAAAUCCUUAUCUAAUUAAACAACUUGAUAUUCUCUGUCUAAUGGCUUUAUAUGUCUCUUCUCUCUCUAUUUAAUGACUUUCACAACUUCUCUAUACACCUCAUAUAUUUUUACUCUAUCAUAAUUUUAUCAUUUUCUAUUUUUCUACUCUUUUAAUUAAUUUGAUUUAAAAAUAAUUAUUAUCAUUUUCAUGCCUAACAAUUUUAAACUAAUUAAAUCAUAGGUUAUAUUUUUUUUUUGGAUGAAAAGAUAGAAGGGAAAAAUUGUACAAUUUAGCUUAUUAAGCAUUCAAUUAUAGAUGUUUAUCAAAAAGUAUAAAUAGGUUCAACAUUAAGAUUCAGACAUUCAUAUAUUUUUUUCAGUGCUUAAAAUUCAGCAAAUUAACUGUUUCAGUAUUCAGAUUUCAAAAUUCAGAUUCAGUUUUAUCAAACAGAACCUAAAUCAUCAAGCAAUGAAUCAACAGGAAUAAUAAAAAUGCAGAAAAGUAAAAGGUGUGAAACACCAAGAUUUUUAAUAUGAAAAUCCAAUUUGGAAAAAAAAUCACAUGAUCUAAUCCAAUAAAAAAAAAUUUCACUGUCACAAUAAUAGGAACAAUAAUACGAAUGCAUAGGUCUAUCUGAAACAUUAGGAUGACAGCAACAUCAUCAACAUCAACCAAAUAGAAUUUCUACCAGUUCAUUUUCUAUUUUUUAAGAAGUGGAUUUGAAAAAGUAUUAUCAAUCAAAGAGAAAAUCCAAAAUCAAAAGAGAUAGAUAGGUAAAGCUUGACAAAGGAUCAAAUGGCUAAAAUUUCAUCUCAAUCGAAUUUUAAAUCACCAUGUCUUAAAGUUUCAAAACUUCAUAUUCUCUCUGGCCCUUUUUCUCCCCAACUCUCUCUUUCGCUCCCUUCGAUUCUUCACCAAGAAUAGCGGCUGACCCUUCAUCUAGCUGAUGCAACUUGCGAGUUGCGACUAAUCUUUUCUUCUCAUCAAGUCAAAAUACCUAGGUUACUAAUCAUUUAGUCAAACUUUGACUCAGCAUACGAAUUGAGUUAUGGGCUUUGUUCUUUGGGGCUCACAAAUGAGGUGGAUUCAAUCAAGCCCAACAAUCUCCUCUCCAAUUCAUUUGAGAGGCACAACCAAAUUGCCUCUUUACAAAACAAGAGUUUCUUCCAAAACAAUGCGUUGAUUAACAUAUCAAAAUCAUUAUUAUUAAUGUGAAUUUUUUCAAGUAUUAACAACUUGGAAUCCAGUAUUUUCUGAAUCCAAUGAUAUCUCAUAUCAAUCUGCUUGGAUGGAGAGUAAAAUGUAGAAUUCUUAUAUAAAUGAAUGGUACUCGAACUAUUACAAUAAAGACUUUACUUCCCUUGCUUCAUACCCAACUUUUAAAAGAAUUUCUUCAACCAAAGAGUCUCUUUGUAUGUUUCAAUGGUUGUGAUAUACUCUGCCUCCAUAUUGAAAAUGGCGAUAUAUUUUUGUAAUUUUUUUUUGCCAUGACACUACUUUUUUUUUUUUUUUUUUUGCAAAAAAUGCCUUAUUUUAUUGAUUGGAAACUAGAAGAGUACAUGCUAUGAAAUACGUAAGUAAGGAAAACUCAAUCUAUCUAAGACGACGAAGCCUUUAACUGGGUCUAGCAAAUUUUGGGAGCAAUAAAUAUCAGACACGCGGUUUGCACUGGCGCGACGAGCAAGGCCAUCGGCGGCAGAGUUAACUUCCCGAUAAAUGUGGAGGAGGUGGAAAUGCCCUUCUUGAACUAUGCGCCAGAUUUGUCAAAUCAAAGCAUCAAUGCGCCAUGGACAGCGAGUCUGCCUGCGAACCGCAUCGAGUAGGGGUUUAGAGUCCAUCUCUACCAUAGCCCUGGUAUGGCCUUGUGUAGCGCAAGCCUAGAGACCAUACAACAAAGCAUGUGCCUCGGCCUCCAGACUAGUGCAGUGGCUAUAAUACAUGGAAAAUGCGUGAAGGACACAACCCAAGUGAUCCAUGAGGAUCCCUUCCCCGCCGAAGGGGCUCGGGUUUCUUAAGGACGAACCAUCCACGUUUAGCUUGAUGAGAGGAAAUGCCGAUGCCUGCCAAGUGAGGGUAGAACUUUCGGGGGAGCUUGAGGGUUUUAGAAAGGAACCAAUCCCGUAGAAAGGAGUGUUGUGUCCUCUGCCGUCCGAUGUGGCAAGGGCCAAGCAAUAGAAAUGGCAUGAACUUCCACAAGAAUUUGACGGCAGUUAUGGGAAGCAAAUAGAACUGUCCCCUCAAAAAAUUGAAGGUUUUGUGCUUUCUAGAUUUCCCAGCAUAUGAUGGAAGGUAAGACGUACAAAAGAGUGCCAGUUGUUGAGGAGGCAGAGGCGCGAGUCUAAAAAUUCUGGGGGCGAGCUAAUACGUCGAUAUGGCGCACACUCGGGACAUCCAGCAAACAUUCAAAGAACCCCAGACUUAGGAGAACAGAAUGAACAGGUGGUCUAUUGUCUCGCUGUUGCUACAGAAUGAACAUUUGGAAGGCAAGUUAAAUCUUAACCCCUCAAGGACAUCAGCUAGUGGGAUUGUUUGAUUCAGGAGUCGCCACAUGAAAAUGGAUAUGCGUAGCGGGAUGCGAGAGCUCCAGAUGUAUCUCCUGGAAAUCAUAGUCAGACGCCGUUGGCAGAUGAAACUAAAAGCAGAUGAAACAGAGAAGUGACCAGAGGCUACAGGACACCACACUAGCUCAUCCUGGGCCUCAUUAGUCAAGGUAAAUUGCCGAAUAUGAGUUUGCUGGCUGUCGGUAACAAAGGACGGCAAUGUGUCCAAAUGCCAUGUUCCAGCGUUAUUGAGAUCAGAGAUUCGCGCCCCUGGGGUUGGCAGGCCUGCUGGGCCGUCUACCAGUGGCCCCUCCCCUAACCAGUUGUCAAACUAGAAGGAGGAUGAGCCGUCGUGCACUAGUAGAUGAGAGUUCUCAAUCACUACAUCCUUGGCGCGGAGCAUGCUUCGCCAAACCCAUGAAUCCGAUUGUCGGGGCGUGCACAAGGAGGCAUGAGGCAUAUCCCUUGUAUAUUUUGCUGCCAUGAAGUCCGCCUAGAGGGAGUUGCCCGUCUAGAAGUUCCAUCAGAGCUUGCACGCAAAUGCCUGUUGAACAUCCCCCAACUUCCGAAACCCAAGGCCAUUUUCUUCCACCGGGUAACAUAGUUUGUCCCAGGACAGCCAGUACCGUUUGGGCGUCUCCUCAGUUGCCCCCCAAAAGAAGUUGGACAUUAACUGCUCCAAUUGUUUUAACACCCGUUUCGAGGGGUCGAGCACUGCCAAUGUGUACAGAGGAAUAGCCGCCAGCACGUGCUUAAUUAGUAUCAUUCUGUCUCCCGCAGAUAGUAGUUUACCCUUCCAUCCCACUAGUCGCUUAUUCAGAUUGUCGACUAGGGCUGGAAGUAAGAAGCUUUUGUCCUGCUUGCAAAUAGCUUGCAUCCCAAGUAGUCUAUUAGGAGCCGCUUGCACUGCAUUCCAGUAAUGGAGGAUACCAGCCGCACGUGAGCCAUGGAACACCGGCGAGGCAGAACAUAGACACUCUUCAUCGUGUUCACCUUUUGACCUGAUCCGCAUUCAUACAGUGCCAGAAAAUCCAUCAAGCCCUAAGUGAUUUCCUAUCCGCCCUACCAAAAAUCAUAUUGUCAUCCGCAAAGUUCAAAUGGGAGAUGGACGGAUACCUUCGCGGCAACCCGUAACUAGUGAUCUUCCCAGACAAGAAAAGCUGAUUUAGACCCCUACUCAGAGCUUCGGCGACCAAAUUAAAUAGGUACGGCGACAACGGAUCUCCUUGCUUGAGCCCACUCGAAACAGGGAAGAAACCGUAGGGCUUCCCGUUAACCAGCAGGGAGAACCGACCGGCAGACAAGUUGCUCAAGAGCAGGACGACAAAGUGUGGUGAAAGCCAAAAGCUUGCAUAACUCUAGACAAAAAUGGCCAAGAGACCCUGUCGAAUGCCUUUGUCAUGUCCAACUUAAAGAUGAUAUUGUUUUCACGUACCUUCCUAUCCAAGGAGCCCACCAACUCCUGGGCCAAUAAAAUGUUGUCCGCAAUUUCCCGACCUUGAACAAAGCCCGAUUGCUCAUUCGAGAUUAGGGAUGGCAGUACCGUUUUCAAGGGAUUGCAGAGCACCUUGCUGAAAAUUUUGUUAACGAAGGUGCACAAGCUAAUCGGUCUGAAAUCCGCAAAAGAGCUGCAAGCGUCCUUUUUUGAGAUGAGAACUAUGAGCAUGCGUGAAAUGGACUUGGGAAUAGGAACCCUAAUAAGGAACUCUUGGACCGCAUUGUGGAUGUCUUGGGCUAAGAAGUCCCAACAGUGUCGGAAGAAUAGUCCCGAGAACCCAUCUGCACCAGCUGCAUUGUCCCCAUUAACCCAAACACCGCCUCCUUGACUUCCUCUAAAGACACCAUUCUUAUGAGCCCGUCGUUCUGCUGCGGCGUGACUAACAAAGGAAUAUUGAGCAGUAGUUGUUGUGUCGCUUGCUCCUCCACUUGAGCUGCAGUGGGGUUGACCUGGUCCCUGGAUAGAAGGGCCAGAAAGAAAUCUACCCCCUCCUCACAAUUGCAUCCAAGUCUUCAAUCUAAUCCCCUCUCGCGUUUUUGAUGCGGCUGAUGCACAAACGCGCUCUUUUAUCCCGGACAUACGAGUGGAAAAACUUUGAAUUGGAGUUGCCAUCCUUUAACCAUUUGACCCAAGCCUUCUGCUUCCAGAAAAUCUCCUCCUGUGCCAAAGCUUGGAGGAGGUUUGCCUGGGCAUGGCUCCAUUCAAUACGGGCUGCUUCUGUAUUCUCUUGCUCCAGGCAUAUUUCUUUCCGACGAACUCUCUCCUCUGCUUAUGCUACAUUGUCGAAGACGUUACUGAAGACAGUUUUGUUCCAAGUCUGCAGGCACUUCUUCAGACGCUUUAGUUUGCCUGCUAGAGCAUACAUGCCAUACCCCUCAAAUGGCAAAUUCCAAUUCUGGUAGACUACCUCCCUGAAAGCGGAAUGCCUAACCCACAUGUGUUGGAAUCUGAAUGAGGUCGGAGUUGGUCCGGGAGGGUUGUCGAACAUGCAAAGAAGGGGCGAGUGGUCCGACGACGUGGGUUGAGGUGGUGAACGUAGAGCCGUGGGAAGCAACUGCCCCAUUCAUCAUUAUACAACACUCGGUCCAAUGUCUUCCAAAUCCGCCGCCCGUUGCGAGUAUCCGACCAAGUGUACUUACUCCCUAUCACUUGCACUUGCUUAAGCAAGCAGGCAUGAAUGAAGGAGUUGAAAUCUGCCAUCGCACCCGUGUCUUGGGGGAAGUGCCCGAGUACUCAUCUAGUGAGGUAAUGAUAUUGAAGUCUCCCUCCAAGAGCCAUGGGCGGCGGCCAAUCGUUUGAUGUAUCUCUGAUAGUGCUAACCACAAUUCCUGGUGCUCGCGUCUGGUGCAUUUCGUAUAAACAAAGGAGCAAUGAAAGGCAGUCGGGAUAGACUCGUGGGUGACUGCCAAGUGGAGGAUUGGUCACCGUUGCUGAGCACAUGCAUCGCAAACGAGCGUGACCAGCAAACCGGGGCGUCACACUUUGAGUCCUCCAUGCCAAACCUUUUCAGCAAUUUCUUGGUGUAUUUUUCUUGAUUUAUAAAAAUUCCCUCUAGGGCUUGAUGUAUUUGAAGUCCAAGGAAGAAAUUUAAUUCUCCCAUCAUACUCAUUUCAAAUUCACUUUGCAUAAUGGUGGAAAAAUCCUUGCAUAGAUACUUAUUAGUAGCACCAAAAAUAAUAUCAUCUACAUAUAUUUGCACAAUAAGAAGAUCAUUUAACACUUGCUUAGUAAAAAGUGUGGUGUCCACAAUACCUCUUUUGAAACCAUUUUCAAUCAAGAAACCACUCAAUCUUUCAUAUCAAGCUCUUGGAGCUUGUUUUAGUCCAUAUAAUGCUUUUGAGAGUUUAAACACAUGACUUAGAAAUUUUGUAUUUUCAAAAUCGGGGGGUUGAUCCACAUAUACUUCUUGAUCAAUAAAACUAUUUAAGAAGGCACUUUUAACAUCCAUUUGAAACAAUUUGAAACCUUUGAAGCAAGCAAAAGCAAGAAGCAUUCUAAUCGAUUCUAAUCUAGCUACGGGAGCAAAUGUUUCAUCAAAAUCAAUUCUUUCUUCUUGUGCAUAUCCUUUAGCAACUAAUCUGGCUUUAUUUCUUACAACUACACCUUUAUCAUCCAACUUAUUUCUAAAUAUCCACUUCGUGCCAAUGAUAGGUUGAUUUUGAGGUCUAUCAACAAGUGUCCAAACCUUAUUUCUCUCAAAUUGAUUAAGUUCCUCUUGCAUUGCCAAAAUCCAGUUUUCAUCCUUUAAAGCAUCAUUGAUAUUUUUUGGUUCAAAAAGAGAGACUAAAACAAAAUUGUCUAUCAAUUUUUUAGAUGAGGAACGAGUCUUUACCUUCUCGGAUGGAUCACCAAUUAUAAACUCUCUUGGAUGAUUUUGGCUAAAUUUCCAAGCAUUGGAAAGGUCUUUGAAUGAAUCAUCAUUCUUGUCUUCAUCUUCCUUUUCUUGAUCAUCAUGAGCCUCAUCCUCCAUUUCCUUUGCUGCUGGUUUAGAGUUUCCCUCAUCUCCAAUUGUUAGCUUUUCCAUUCCUUCACGAACACCUACAUCAUCAUCCUCACACGAACUUUUGGAAUUAUCAUCAUUAGUUUCAUCAAAUGUUAUGUGUAUAGCUUCUUCUAUCACAAGAGUUCUUCUAUUAAAGACUCUAUAUCCUCUUUUGUUAUCACAAUACCCCAAAAUAUUCCUUCAUCAGACUUUUUAUCAAACUUACCAAGAUGUUCCUUUAAAUUCAAAAUAAAACAUUUGCAACAAAAAACUUUGAAAUAUCCAACCGUAGGUUUCUUAUCAAAAAUCAGUUCAUAAGAUGUUUUAUUCAAAAUAGGUCUCAAGAGGAUUCUAUUCAUCACAUAACAUGCGGUGUUUACCGCUUCAGCCCAAAGAUAUUUUGGCAAACUACAUUCAUUCAAUAUAGUUCUAGCAACCUCUUGGAGUGUCCUAUUUUUCCUUUCUACAACACUGUUUUGCUGUGGAGUCCUUGCAAUAGAAAACUCGUGUGUUAUGCCAUUAUGAUCACAAAAUUCUAGAAAACCACAAAACUUGAAUUCUGUCCCAUUAUCACUUCUAAUCUUAACAAUUUUUAAACCAAAUAGAUUUUGCACUUUAGCAAACAGUGAAGUAAAAUUCUUGACGGCAUCAUCUUUAUGAGCAAGAAAUAUCACCCAAGUAUAUCUAGAAUAAUCAUCAACAAUUACAAAACAAUAUCUCUUACCUCCCAAACUAGUAAUUUGAGUAGGACCAAAUAAAUCAAGAUGCAAGAGUUCCAAAGGUUUAGAAGUUGAUACACACUUCUUUGGUUUAAAGGAAAUUUUUUUUUGCUUCCCAAAUUGACAUGCAUCACAAAUUUUGUCCUUUUCAAAACUGAUUUUUGGCAAGCCUCUAACCAACUCCUUUUUCGAAAUUUCCUUUAGUAAAUCCAUGUUAAAAUGACAAAGUCUCCUAUGCCACAACCAAGGAUCUUCAUUUGAAGCUUUAAGACAUUGGAAGCUAGAUGAAUCAAGUUUAUCAAGAACAACAAUAUAAAUAUCGUUAAACCUCUUACAUUUGAACACCACAUUAUAUUUAGAGUCAAGUACAAUGCAUUCAUGUUUUUUGAACAACACAUUCAAGUCUUUAUCACAUAAUUGACUAACACUAAGCAAGUUAUAACCUAAGUUAUCAACUAAGAGCACAUUAUAAACAAAAGUUCCACCAUCCUUACCAAUAUCACUUAUUCCAAUUGUCUUAGCUUUCACGUCAUCACCAAAUGUCACCUUUCCACUUGAUUUUGAUUUUAGCUUUAUGAACAACGAAGGAUCACCAGUCAUAUGCCUUGAACAGCCACUGUCAAUGAAUCAUUUUGACUUGUUUGAACCUUUUCCCUGAAAAGAGAGAGUGUUUGGUAUCCUUUAACUUUUGGGUCCUCAUUAGUUAGCAUUGUGUCUAACUAUCCACAUGCAUUUCCCUCAUUUGUUCAGAUUUCUUUUCACAUAACAAUCUCCUUUCAAAUGCCCUCUUUGACAACAAAAACUACACACAAUGGAAGAGUCUUUAGUAUGUAAUGGUUUGAUAAAUCUCAAUCCACUCCUUUUAUAUAUUGUGAAACUAUGUGCAAUUUUGUUGUCUGCUAAUGUUCUUUUAUGAGCAAUAAGAGAAGUGAUUGACAUGUUCUUUUUGAGAUAAUCUUGUUUUCUAGUUUUUAAGAUCUCAUCCAAAUUGUCCAUCCUUUUAUUCAAAUCACCAUGUCUUUCCUUUAAUUUUUCACAAACACUUGUCUUUUUAUCAAGUUCAUUUUGAACAUCACAUCCGGCUCUUACAAGACACUCAUUGUCAGUCUUUAGUUGUUUAUUUUGGUGAAAAAGUCUUGCAUUUUCUUGAAUGAGAAAAAUAGUUUUCUGUUUUAGCUGCUUGUUUUUAUCACAAGAUUCCUUCAAGGUAUUAUGUAAUUUUUCAACAAAGGAUUCAAGAUCAUCAUCAUCUUCAUCAUCACUAUCAGAUUGAGAGUGUAUGGAAGUUACCUCAUUAUCUCCAAUAGCCAUGAAAGCCAUUUGAGCUGAUUCUUCUUCUUCUUCAACUUCGCCUUCGGAGUUGCAUUCAUUCCAUGUAAUUUGGAAGUUGUUGAACCUUGGCUUUCGAUCAGCUUUUCCAUCUUUCUUUUUCUUUAGAAAGCAUUCAUUUGCGUAGUGUCUAGGCUGUCCACACUCGUAGCAUUUGUCCAAUUGUUUCUUGUUGAAUUCUUGUUUUCUCUUGUUCCUUGCAUUUGAAGACUGAUUUUGGAAUUGAUUGCUAGGUCCUCCCCUUCUAAACUUCCUUUUAUUCAAGAUUCUUUUGAAGCUUUUUGUGAUGAGAGCAAGAUCGUUGUCAUCACCAUCCGAGUUUUCAUCAUCCAACAGAGCUGGAUCAUCAUCACCUUGGGCUGCCUUCAGAGCUAUGUUUCUCUUUGCUCUCGCGUCCUCUUCCUCCUGCACUUUAGUUUUCAACUUCAACUCAUAGGAGGUUAGUGAGUUAAUGAGAGAUUCAAUAGGCACAGAAUUCAAAUCCUUAGCCUCCUCUAUUGCAGUCACUUUACUUUCCCAUUCUUUGCCUAAUGCAUUGAGAAUUUUCCUGUUUUUCUCUCCCAAGGUGUAUUCUUUGCCCAACACCUCGAGAUCUUUGAUCAAGUCAUUGAACCUGCAAUACAUUUUGUCAAUAUCCUCAAGGGGUUCUAUUUUAAAUGAUUCAUACUUUGUGACCAAGAUAGACUUUUUUUGUUCUCUCACGUUGUCACUACCCUCAUGAAUUUCUCUUAGUUUAUCCCAUAUUUCUUUGACAAAUUUACAUCCUUUUACUCUAAUGGAUUCAUUUGAGUCUAAGGCACUAUAAAGAACAUUCAUGGCUUUGGCAUUCAAUGUGAAAUUGGUUUUAUUUUGAGCAUUCAACUCAGCUCUUGUUUUUGGCCGAAACAAACCUGUAUCUGCAUCAAGAAUGUUAGCAUCAUGCGGUCCUUCAUUCACAAUAAACCAUAGUUUAAUAUCAAUGGAUUGCAAAAAGAUAAUCAUUCUUUCUUUCCAACUAACAUAAUUGGAACCGGUAAAUAUGGGAGGCCUAGUGACAGAUUGCCCUUCAACAAACAUGGCAUGAUUGGUUGUCAUCUUUACUCCAAGCUGCUUGAGCUUAAUCUCAAUGAGACCAAUCUCUGAUACUAAUUGUAAGGCCCAAAGACAACCUAAGACGGGGGAGAAUUAGGUUGAUUAAAAUUACUUGAUUUAGUUUAUGCACUUUUUCUUUAAUAAAAAUUUACUUUCUUUUCUAGUAGUGACCAGCCAAGUAAAUUUAAAGAAGAGAGCAAUGUUGAUCAGAAAAGAGAGUGUAUAUAAGCAAUGAGAAUUUUAUUAAACAAAAAAUUAAAAUAGAGUAUCAAACCGAUUGUCUACCAAGCUUUCCUCAAACUUGAAGACCAAUCACAAAGAUGAGCACCUUCUCUUUGAUGAACAAUAAUCAACUCAAUGUACUAUGGAGGGAUUACUUCUUCCUUGCCCGAAGCCUUAUUUAGUCAAGUUAGGAAGUUUUACUAUCACUCAGAUAACCCUCAACAAAACUACACUAUUGAAAUUUCAAACACAAGAGAAGUGCUUACAAGAAAAUCACAGUACUUGGAGAACAAAUCUUGCUAAGGAGACUAUUUUCUAGCUAAAAUAUCUCUUGAGAUCUUGUUAACGAAGUGUGUAAAAGUCCCUCACUAGUUCAGAAUCGUUUGUAUUUAAAGGGGACCAAAAAUGGGCUUCAAUAAUGCUUCCAACGGAUAGUAGGCAAAUGAAGAGUCAGCUAGCCGUUGGAGCCAUCGGACGUCCGACAGAUUAAUCACCGUCCGAUCCCAUCGUCCGAAAAUCAGCCAAGUUGUCGUUCGGACGUCCGAUGCGAUAUUAUCGUCCGACAGCAUCUGCGUCCGAACGUCGUCAGAGAGUCAUCAAAACUUUGCAAAAUUUCUCGGACAUCCGAUGCGAUCGAUGUGCAUCCGAAGCAUGCGUCCGAUCCUCUCGGACGUCCGAUGCUUCCUUACGAGCGUCCGACAGAGUUUCCUUCUUGAUGUUCUUCAUUCUUUCGGACGUCCGACAGCUUCCUUUAGGACGUCCGACAUGAGUGCCCUAUUUUUGCUUUUUCUUUUGGUUGAUUUUCUUUCCUUGAUACCUUUGUACCUGAUUCUCUUAAAAGCAAAACACUUAUAUUUGAAGAGAAUUAGAUAAACAUUUCAAAGUGCUUUGUGAUCAUCAAAAUCAAGAGUAACAAUGUGAUUAACGGGUUGAGGUCAUCCGCUCCAAACUUGGUGUUCUUUUGUCGAUCCUGAAACUAAUCUUUUACGGGUUUCGUCACAAGGUUGGCGACGUUCGUAUCAAUAUGUCUCUUCAAAUUUUAAUUGGUGCAAAUCGCAUUAAUUGCGAUGCCCAAAAGUAAUUCUUUGAAGAUGUCACGAAUAUGCAACAAUGAGACUUAAAAAAUUACGUGACCUAAAAGAGAGGGAUGCAACAUAACGGGUAUGGGGGUUAAGAUUCGUGACUCAAUUUUUCCUUUUAUAGAGGGAAUACGAGCGUACUGAGGUUAGAAAAUUAUAUUCGUCCAUAUCCCAUAUUCGAGGGGUAAUUUUCCUAAUUUAAUCAUGCAAAUACACUAAUCUACUCCUAAUUUCCUUAAAUGGAAUAAAAGUCUAAAUGUUAUAUGUCACACAUAGGGAUAGGGGAUAUAUAUAGGGAAAAUAUCAUGCAAAAUGGUAAGAAUCCUAAAAAGUAGAUAAAUAUGCAUGAAAUAUAGUGAUUUGUCAUACAAGCAUGAUCUAGUGCGUAGGAACGGCCUAAGGUCUAGCAUUGGACCAACCCUUAUCUGUAAGCUCUCACUAGCGUUGGAAUAGUAAGAAAUAGGAAAAAAAAAAGGCCACAACUAGCGUUGAACUAGUAUGGUGAUGUUAUGCAUUUAUUAUAAUUAAAUAAAUCAUAUAAAACAUAGUAAAAGCAAGAAAACACAUAAAUCACAUAGAGCACAUAGCACGUAAGCAUGAUAUCUAGACACAAAACCCUAAGACAGCAAGUAAACACGUAAACACACAAGCAUGUAAGCACACAAAGCAAAUAAGAGUAAAUAGAGAUUUAACUAUUACAUUUGGGGGUUCUAACUACAAUUUAUUGGGAAAAAGAAUAAAAGGAGUAGAGUAAUUUGGAAUUUAAAUAACUACCUAACUAUUACAUAUUCUAUCUAAAUACAUGUCUUAAACCCCCUAACCAUUACAAUUUGGCAUUUAAAUGCCUCUCAAAUAAUCAAAAAUUAAGUUAAAAAACAAAUAAAGUAAAUAAAUCAAUGAAACAAAAUAAAAUAAAAAAAAUUCAAAAAACGUGCAAUUACACACAUAAAUUCACAUAGGAUCAAGUAAAAUCAAAAUAAAGGAGUAGAGUGUACUUCCCUUGAAUUGGUGACCUAAUGAAAUGAAAUUUCUUUUAUUUACUCUUCAAAAUAAAGAAAAUGGUCAAGGCAUCAAUUUAUUUGACAAAUAAAUCAUAAGGAAAUGGAAAUAAAUAUGAAAUCUAUCAAUUUAGGCACUCAAAUGGAAUAUGAUUAAUAAUUAAAAAAUAAAAGUAACUUCUAUCUAAGAAAUCAAACAAACAAGGACUUAAUUGUAAACAUUGAAAAAAUUUUAGGGGCUAAUUUAUUAUUAUUACAAAACUUGGGAGUCAAAAAUUAAAGAGAAAUAAAGUUAAGGGCUCAAAGAUAAAGCCUACCAAACCCAAUGCUAAAAUUCACAAAAAUAAAUCAAAACCCACUUGCUCCACUUACUAAAAUUAAACAACAAAAAGAAUCACCAAACUCUUUAAUUCUUUUGCUAAAAUCCAAAUCAAAACUAUAAAUUUAUCAAAAUUAUUAAACCUUAAAUUUCAUCCUAAAACUCACACAUAAUCUAUCCAAAAAUCAUAUUAAAGCAUGCCAAAGAAAAUUAACAUUUUAAAGGAACAAGAUUGAUUAUUUUUUCAAUUUUCUGGGCCAUAGAAGAAUUACUUAGAAAACUAGGGGUAAAAGUGCAAUUUAAAAAAAUCAUGCAGCCUGGUACAAAGAAGCUUUCUUCUUCAUCGCAGGUUUCUUUCUUCUGCAAUUUUUCCUUCUGCAACCUUCUUCCUUAUUCUACCAGGUAGAUUAAAUGCAAAACUCAAGCAAAACCCACUAGUUUAUCAAUCUAAAACCAACAAAACUUCAACCCAUCCAUUUCAAGAAGACCUAACAAUGCAUCUGUACAUGAAAACGCAGCAAAGAAAGAAAGAACAAAACUUGCGGUAAUUGAAAUUGGCUCCACCUAAAGUCAAUGUUUUUCUAGCCAACUCAUUGAAUCAUUAAAUAUCAAAUUACUCUGAAGCCUUUUGGACGUAUCUGAAUCAGCCAAACUAGAGUCUCUAAAGCAUCGAGAUGAAACCACAAAGAGAAGAAAUAACAUGCGCGAGCAUAAGGAAGAAACCCAUGCGAUGAACUCAUCUUCACAAAAUUAUGUUAAAAUGACAGGAAGAAAAGCUAGAGUUACUUGCAAAUGUUGGUGAAAUCAAACAAACAUGAAAUCUCCCAAGAAACUACAUACAGACUCCUGGAACGAAGCCAAGGAAACUUUGUCGCAGAAAUUGCAGCGAUGAUGAACCUUUAAUUUGAGUCCCAGUUUAGUUGCUUUAGAGGUGUUUUCACUUGAUAAUUACUGAAUGAAAGUUGUUGUCAGAUAUCUAGAGAAGGUACGGAAAGAAAAACCUCCUCAAAAUAAGCACUGUCGAGACCAGAAAUGAGCAAGAAAGAGGGAUGAUUCAUCAGGCUGGUGACCAGAUUUUCUGCAAUUUUUUCUUCCUUCUCUCUCUCAAUUUUCUCCCUCUCUCCUCUGUGUUUCUUGUUCACCGCUGCCUUUCCUCCUGUUCCCUCCUUGUUCCUCUCAAUUUUUCCUUUUCUUUCUUCCCCUUUCUUCCUUCUUUUCUCUCUCUUUCUCUCUUCCUUUUCUUUCCAGUUUUCCUCUCGUUGCCCUCUAUCUCUCUGUAGUUUCUUUCUACCUCUCUUGCUUCCCCAGAUUCUCUCCUCCUCCCUUGUUUCCUCCUUUGUUUCCUUCAGCCGCUACCCUCCCUCCAUCUCUCCUUCUCUUGGUUCUUUUUUUUCUCUUUUUUUUCCUCCCCCAAACCAUUUUUCCUUCCUUCUUUUUUGCCAUUGGUUUCUUGCCCGCAGCUUUCUUUUUUCUUUUCUUGUCCCAGAUUUUUCCUCAUCUUCCUACACCUAUCUUGCCACCUAGCCUCUUGCAUAUGUUGUGCAAAAUGCCAAAACCACAUGGCUAAUGCUCACCUAUCCCACUUAGCUACUAUAUAUGCAUGUCUUUCACCUAUCUUGUUUUUCUUUUUUUUUUUUCUUGUUUUUGUUUUCAAAACAUAUUUAGGGUAAACAAAAUGUUAAUUCCUAAUAAAGAUUGUCUUGCAAAAAUUUCAUUUUAUUUGGAAAAAAUUGAAUUUGAAAAAGAUUAAAAAUAAAUUUUUAUGAGAAUUUUCCUUUUUUUCAGAAAUUUAAUGCAAAAAAUGUUUGUUUUGUUGAUUAUUUUUUAAAAGAAGAUGAACCUAAUUCAAUAAAAUUAACUAUCAUUUUGCGAACUAAAAAUAAAAUAAAAUAAAUUAAAAUUAAAAUGGAAUUAAAUAGAAUUGAAAUUUUGGUGUCUACACCUUGCCCCUCUUUUUCUGAAAUUCGAAAAAACUCGAAACAAAGAUGUAGAUACCAAAUAGUUAUCUGUAGUUAUUCCACUGCGAACUGAAACAAGCAAACAUAUGAAGGUCAGUGGGAUAAAACCUAACCCUGCCGAAAAUUGGUCAGUGGGAUAAAACUCGAACCUACUAUGAAAUUGAUCAGUGGGAUAAAACCCGAAUCUACGUAAAAAUGGUCAGUGAGAUAAAAUCCGAGCUUGCCAUAAAAUUGUUGUAGAAUACCUUUUGUAGAACUUCGAAAAUUUUGAUGGAGAUAGAUGACUUCUUCUAAAAAGAUUUGCCCUAGUGUGAUGUUAUUGGACCUUUGGACCUGCAAAAGAGGAAUAAUGAUAAUGACAAGAUAAUGCCACCACUAUCCGAUCAACCUCACUUUCGAGAAAUGUGUAAACAUGAGUAUUUGAACGUUCUUCUCAACUGUAGCAAAAACUCAACUUUACUCUGCAAAGUGCAUCAAAUUUUCUUAACUUCCAAUGCUAAUCAAGUAUGUCAUUUCGUAUCCAGAUAUUUUUAAUAAAUCACAGGGAUUGCCAUUUGAUAAAUCCAAAGAGAUAAAUGAGGCCAUAAAACACAAGAAAAAAUAUUCUACUUACACAAAAAUGAUGCAAAUUCUAGUAACAUGAAAACAACCAUCUACUUUUAUUGAAAGAAAAUUGACUUUAGAGAAAUGAACUUGUAUACUCAGAAGUUUAUGUUUGACGAACCAAAAUACUUUGAUCUCACACAAAAUACCACAUUUGACCCUUUGGAUAUCGCCUCCGGAGUUCAAUGCUAGCAACAGAACCACAACUGUGAAGAGAAAUUCAACUGAAUUGAGUUACCAGUCAUUCAACUCCAAACUCAUUUUUUCUCAUAAAACCCUACCUUAGCGCCCUUUCGGGUUUUAACUAAGACUACCCCCACCUUUUAUUUUCUUUUUCUUUUAUUUUCAUUUUUUAUUAUUUAUUUUUUUUUGUUCUAUUUUUUCCUUUUUUUUUCUCUUUUGAAAAGGCGCCCUUUCGGAUUUUCACCUAAUGAACAAAUCUUGUCGAUAGCCUUUAUCAACUUAGAAAUGUAUUUUAAGAAAUGAUGGCAUUAAUGCAACAAUCAUUCCCUUGCAAACUUGGUGAAGGUGUAUUGACAUCAUUUGCCAUGUGAUUAGAAAAUUUCCUAAAUGAGGUGAUGCAAAGAAUGGAAGUCAGGACUUUCAAUUUUUUGUAAUGUGGUCAAGUGAGGUGCUAAGAAAAGGUUAAGAUUUGAAAGCAAAUUUUAUAAGUAUUUAAAUCACUUGAGAUCGCAUCCUCAUAUUAACCCUAUUUAGGAUUAAACUAAAAUUGCCCCAAAUUAUUCUCAACCGAGAUUCUUUUCUUUAAUUUUCUUUUCCUUUUGUUCCUUUAUCACUUUUCACCUCUUGAGGCUGUUCUUCUCUUUUCUUUCAACUCAAUCUUGCCCCAAUGUGGGGUUUGCGAUCCUCAAGGAUUGCCAAACGAAAUGAUUUAUUCUGAAGGUUCAGAAGGAAAAAAUAGGGAUAGAAUAUUUAAUUGGGAAGAAAGAAAGUCUGACUUUCAUUCCAUUCUUCGUAUUUACUCUCAAAAGAAACUUCUAUUUAUCAGAUGAAGAAUUUUUUACACAUAUCCAAAUUGAUCAGCCGAGGGAAAACUUGUCCAUCAAUUUCUGCAAGAACAAGUGCUCUACCAGGCAAUAUCUUCUUGACAAUAAAAGGGCACUGCUAAUUUGGUGCAAACUUGCCUUUGGCCUUCUCUUACACUGGCAAAAUUCAUUUCAGUACUUUGUCUCCUUUUUCGAAUAAUCAUGGUUUGACUUUCUUGUUGUAAGCACGGGUCAUUCUCUUUUUCUGUUUCUUAUUCAAAUGAAUACUAAUUUUUAUCUCCUUGACCUCGAUCUCAGUGACAAUAUUAAUGAUUUCUAUUUCUUCUAAGUCCGGUUCGGAUUUCUCUUCAUAUUGUUCAAGAUUCUUUAACAAAGACUCAAAUUCUUCCUCGUUAUCGUUCUCGUCUUGAAUUUCUGAUUCCAUAAUUUUGAAUUUGUGAGGGAUAUCGAGAUUGCAGUCAUCAAAUUCCGAAAUAUUGAUAUCCAAAGGGUCAAUGUGUUUUAUUACUGGCCAUCUGAAAAAGAAUGAGAUAGAUACAACAAUGUGUAAGUAAAACAAUUGGAAAAUGAACACUGUACAUUUUAGUGAAUUUCAAAUAAAGGACAAAAUGUCAUAAUACGCUACUUAACAUAAGACUUGUAUUGAAAAGACAAUUAAUUCAAAGCUAUUUACAAAACUGAAAGACCAAAGAUGAUCACUGCGAAUGGUUUCUUUCGUAGUUCUCAACCAAAGGCAAUCCCCUACAUUUACCAAAAUUUCCUUUUGGAGAGUUUGCAGUCCGGUUUUGGAUGGCUCCUUCGAGUACAAAAGGCUUCUGGACUAUUCCAAUUAUUUCAUUCUCCUCCACAAUAUUUUUGACAAACUCCUCAAACUCCUCGUCAGUGGUAAUUGCCCCUACAGUAUUUUUAUACUCAGGAAGAGGGUUCUUGUUGACAUUCAGCCCUGACUCACCUCUUUUCCUUAAAACUAUUAUGUCUUCAGCAUCAAUCAUGUCUUGGGUUUUAUACUUUAGUGCCCAACAAAUGACAGUAGAAUGGUCAGGACUUUCAGAGUGAUAUGCACAAAUGGCUUGAGGAUCAUAACCAGUAGGAAUGCCCCUAAGGUAAAUUUUAGGAGGCACCACGCUAAUUUUACCAGCAGCCUUAAGUUGCUCGUAUAAUUGGUCGAGGGGUCGGUCUAAAUUGGUAAAGCUGCGGUAUUGAAUUUGAUUUUGGAUUUUAUUGGUUUGAGAAUAAUUAUAGGUUUGGUUAUUUGGCUGAACAGGUCUUGAAUUAAAAGAAGGUCGAGGCCGAGUUUGCAAACUUGGUUGAGAAAUCUGGAAAGGUAGUGCAGGGACAUUUGUGUAGUUGGGUCGAUGGUGAGGAUGAUUGACAGUAGCGUGAUAGACAAGACGGGAAUUUGGGUAAUACGGGUAGGAGGAUGAGUACGUGGGUCAAUUCUGAACUCUAGGUCUAGUCAGGGGGCCCUGAUCUCAAACAAAAGCAUUCUCUCCUUCCUUCUUAUUGAACUGAGGUUUCUUGCUGCUACUACUCUGACCUUGCAAAGCUUCCAGUUGCAUUUUCAAGGUCAACACGUUGACUAUCUUUCCUGCUUUGACGAAUUCGUCAAAUUCUUCUAACUUAUUUACAAUAGCUGCAAACGAGCAUCCAGUAAUUCGAAAAAUUUCCUCAAAAUAUGGUGGGUCAUGAGCUUUGAUAAAUGUUCGAACAAUUUCGUCCUCGGACAUCGGGGGUUCCAUUUAGCAGCUAAUUUCCUCCAACGCUUGGCAUACGUCUUAUGAUCCUCCGAUGGUUUCCUCUUGGUCCCCUCAGCCAUGGUGGUUCUCGUCAAUGUAAGUUCACAAUUAUACUCAUAUUGUCUUACGAAAGCGGUUGACAAAUUCAACCAUGUCCUCAUCUCAUCAGGUUUCAAAUUGGAGUACCAAUCCAGUGCAUCACCUUCUAAACUUUCGGGAAACAAUAGAAUUGGCAAAUUCUCGUCAUCUACUGGAUUUCCUAGUUUGUUUGCAAACAUUCAGAGAUGUGUCUUAGGAUUGCCCGUUCUGUCGUACUUAUUAAAUUUGGGUGCUUUAAAACCCAUAUCAGGAAACAGGCACAAUUCGUUAUAGUCCAAACCUCUUUGUUUGCUCAAACCUUGGCUCUUCCUCAUGAACUUGUCAAACCGAUCCAACAUUUUUAACAGACUUUUGUCAAUUGGUGCGGAGAAUUCCCCUACUUCAAAUUUUCCUUGUACAGCGGUAUCUAGCGUGAAUGGUUCUACAGUGGAAUAAGAAUGUGGUUCUUGAGAUUCAAGUGGCAUGCUCAGACUAAUAGAGGUGGAUAAUUUUAAGGAACUUGAGUGUGAGGAGAAUUGAUCUAGAUAUUGGAUGCAUAGGUAUGUGGGAGGUCAUGAGUGGGAUAGGUGAAAGGUUCCUCAAGUGGAUUUACGACAUGUGGAGCGAAAGAGGUUUGAGUAUAAGGUAAGGGUAGUGGUCGCGGCUCAAGUUGACCAACAGGUAAGAGAUCUUGCUGGAUGCUGCUGCUACUGCCAGCAACCAACUGAUCAAUCACGCGUCAUUGUGCGGCCAUCUCCAUGUUUAAUUCACUGAAUUUGUUUAACACUUUGCUCAGUUGAGCUCCCAGAUUUGCAAGGUUGGGUGAUGACGUCGUUGCAGACCUAUCGGAUGAUUCAGAAUGUGUACUCAUGUUUACACUAUUUCUCAAAACUCGGCUACAUGAUCAUGUAAUGAUGGGGCUUCUUUACGUAGCUAUGUUUGCAAUUAUCUGAAAAUUUAGGAAAAACCCUAUUUAGAUUCCCCUCUUGAUUAACUGCGGAUAAAAAGAAAGAAAAAGAAAAAUACGUGAGUUAAUAAAAAUUUAAGUAAUUCGGAUGCAUGUCCUAUUGGGAAGUCCUUUUUAUGCCAAGGGUUGGCUUAGAAUGAAAAUGCAAUCCUCUAGGGUAGGCACCAUACAGUAACUGAUGAAUCCGAUCAACUUAUUGAUAUUCGAGUGAAAAAUGAUUUGAAAAUUUUAGUUAAUUAGAGUGGCAAGAGAAAUUUAUCCUAACAAAAUGAGAACAAAGUCCAAAUGGAUUGAUUACUUUGAUUAACACAUAAAAUGAUGUAUGAAAGAGCCUACUUUUGAAAGGAUUACAAUAUCUCGAUUAGCUUAUUUAGUGAACCUUAGAUUGAAACCCUAAAAGAGAAUAAACAGGUCAAAUGGAUUGGAUGAAAUUGAUGAUUUAUUCAAAAAUUGACUAGAUCGCCCUAAAAAUGGGUAAACUGGUCAAAUGAAAUAAAUAAAAUUGAUAAUUUAUUCAAAAUUGACUGAAUCACCCUAAAAAUGGGUAACCUGGUCAAAUGAUUUAAAUGAAAUUGAUUAUUUAUUCAAAAUUGACCGGAUUGUCCUAAAAAUGAGUAAACUAGUCAAAUGAAUUGAAUGAAAUAAAUUGAUCAAAUAGAUCGCAUGGAGUGAUGAUUUAUUAAAAAAUUGACUGAAUUACCCUAAAAAUGGUUAAACUGGUAAAAUGAAUUAAAUGAAAUUGAUGAUUUAUUCAAAAUUGAUCGGAUUGUCCUAAAAAUGAGUAAACUAGUCAAAUGAAUUGAAUGAAAUAAAUUGAUCAAAUAGAUCGGAUGCAGUGAUAAUUUAUUCAAAAAUUGAUUGGAUCACCCUAAAAAUGGGUAAACUAGUAAAAUGAAUUAAAUGAAAUUGAUGAUUUAUUCAAAAUUGAUCGGAUUGUCCUAAAAAUGAGUAAACUAGUCAAAUGAAUUGAAUGGAAUAAAUUGAUCAAACAGAUCGGAUGGAGUGGAUCGUUUAUCCAAAAAAAAUUGACUCGAUCAUCCUAAAAGUGAAUAAACUUGUAAAAUGGAAUGGCUGGAAUUGACAAUUUAUUUGAAAAUUGACUAGAUUGCCCUAAAAGUGAGUAAACUAAUAAAAUAGAUUGGAUGGAAUUGACGAUUUAUUUGAAAAUUGACUGAAUUGUCCAUCUAUUGGUAGUUUCAAAAUUUUACAAAUUUUGUUGCAAUGGUUAAUCUAUGAGCCUUCUAAAACCAGGAUUUGGUCUCGAUAUAUUUAUCAUCUCAAUAAUGAGGAAUUAUUUGUGAAUUUCUUCAACUUAAUGUUCUUUUCGCAAGGGAUUUUUAUCAAUUCUGAUAAAAUGCCCAAAAGAUGAUUGUUAGAUGCUCAUAUUCUAAUGUGCAAAAGUUACUCUAUUAUCAUGGAAAAGAUCAGAUCCUACCUUACAUCAUGCAUUAUCCUUUUGAACGGUACAAGAAAUAUAGACGUGCAAAUUUCAUUGAUUACAUAUCCGAGACACAAUGUGGCUUAUUCCUAACGUAGGAUUCCUUAUGCAGCAUUCCCUUCUAAGAUUGAUGCAUGAUGCCAGUUUAUCAAAACGAUUAAAUAUGCAAUUUGAAAUGAAAACAUGACCUAAGGGGCCCUUCGUAUACCAGAGUGGGCCUAAAAUAAUGUGCACUUAUUAACCUACGAAUGCAAUAUAUCGGAAUUUAAACGUGCAAUAACCUAUCUAAGAGGGUAGGUUCUAAAAGAGUAUCAUGUCAGAACUCUUAUUUUCUAGUGUUUAUGAAUGCAAAAGAUGAGAAAAUAAAGAAAUGUUAGUUCAACAAAAUAACACAUAACAUGUUAGGCAAUUAGAUGAUACCAAAAGCGAAAAGAAAGAAAAAUAAGGAAAGAGGGGUGGGAUCCCUCCCUUCGUGCCUAGUGUUCCUAGUUGGGUACGGUCGACUCUAUCCUAGGCGAUUUCUAAUAUGGAUGCAUGAGGUUGGACUCACUAAUGCAUCUAGACUCGAUAAAGUUUCAGGUCCCCAAACCUUCAGACCAAAGGUGAAGGGUCAUCAAUCCCAAGGGCUAAGAGUCGAUGGUUCGAGUGAUCCCUUGGACAUUGCUACACGCACGUCGUGCCACGGCUACAUAUCCAAGUGGAUCGAUCUUAAUCCUAAUAGGGUGAAGGGGCAUGACAACCGCUAAAAGUAAAAAGAAAUGAGAGGUUAUAAAGUAAAACGUAUGCAUGUAUGAAGUGCUCCUUUUGAAAUGAGGGAUUAAAUACCAUCGCACGUGGGUGAAGAUUCUGGGGUAGCUAUGUGAGAACUUGCAAAAUUCUUUAUAUUUUCUUAAAAUUUCCUAUUAUUUUGAAUAAAUUACUUUAUAAUAUCUUUACUACUCAUUUACUCCCUCAAUAGUUGCAAUAAAUCAUAGAAGCAAGAGUUUCAUCUUUAGUUUUAUAGUUACGGUAAAAUAGGGUUUCUGCAUAUUUUGGUAGUAUGAUUACUUGGUGAGGUGUGUGUAUUAAAUUUGGUGGUUAAGAGUGAGUUUUAGAUAAGAGAAAGUGUGUGAUUAGAAGUACUAAUAAUAAGUUAGUAAAUCAUAAGUAAAAACCCUAGUACGUGCGAGUUAAGGAAAAAUGGCUUGAACCGACGCGCACCGUUUGCUACUGAUUGAGUGCACCAUUUGGACACUACAUUAUUACCUUAAUCUCCUUGUUCUUACUUGAGGAAAAUCAGCCCUAAAUAUCUCCUUAUACCAGCUGAAAUUUUGGACUAAAAAACAAGAGAGAAAAGAAAAAAUUUGACCACCAAUCAAAGUGUGACACUUGUUGGAAAUUUAGUAAACUUUGAUUAAACCAAUUUCCUUUCGUCUUAUCUUUACCUUGGCUUCAUUUUUUCUUCAUUUUGCCUUGGUUGGCCGAGCUUUAGGAGAGAAAAAACAAGAGAGAAACUUACAGCUUCAACCCUUGAAUCAAGCUUGUUUGAGUGAAAUCAACAAAACCAAACCGAUUAAACUUACCUCUUGGUGAUUGGAAGGCUUGGUAUGCUGAAAUUUUGAGAAGAUUGUGGUUUGUUUCUCACUUACAAUGAGCUUUUGGAAGGUAUAAGGCUUGAACUUGCUUUUCUCUUAUUUAAUCUUGCUAAAGUUGGUAUAGAAGUUCUUAAUCUUGGCUUGUAAUGGUUAAUUUCCUAGUUUUUGAUGGUAAGGUGGAAUUUUCAGCUAAGGUUUGUAAUUUUCAGUUUUGGUUAAUGUUGUUUAUCUAGUAUAUGAUGGUAUUGAGUUAGGAUAUGAAUGUGGUGAAGUGCUUGGUUAUGAAUUUUUAAAGUAAAAGUUGAAUUUCCAGCAUAGAUAGUGAUUCUGCCCUGUUUAUGGAACCAAACUUACUUGCAUAUUUGUCCAUGAUAAAGGCCAAAUCAACUCUUGCUCAAAACAUGAAAGUUUUAGGGAAUUGAGUUAGCUAUCUACCUACAAAAUUUCAGCUCAAUCAGAGCACUGUAUCUUGUAAAAUGACUAAAAUAUCCCUUACUGCCCAAAUGCCCUAUUUAACCAACAGCUUUCAGUUUUCUCUAAAAUUUCAAAAUUUGACCUUUAAAAUACAAGAACUGGGUGUCGAUGUCUUCAUAGGAAGGUCUCUGUCUUAGCUUCAAAACGCCAUAAAAUUUGCCCCAAUCCGAUAAGCAUAGUUUCAAUUGUGACCAAAACGUCAAAAGAUGACAAACCUGUCACUUAGACAUUCUUCUUUAAUACUAGUUUCCAGCUUUGGUCUUGGUGGUUUCCUUGCUAGAAUUGACUUGUAUUUGGAUGAUAUUGAGCCUAGUUGAAGAGCUAUUGUGGUAAGAUUGCUUAUGUGUUGAAUUUGGGCUGAGUAGAGGAAAAUAAUGAAGCCAUAAGUGGCUGAAAAAUAGCUAAAUACAAAGGGCAUGCUACCCAAAUUUUUGCUCCAUGGUUAGACGAGUGAACUUGAGACUUAAGCAAUGACUCGAGGUUGAAGCAAACUUCGAUUGUUUAUGGUAUUUGAGUUUUCUUUAGUAAGAGGUACAUAAAUUGAAAAGUUUGCCAAAACUCGUACCCUUUAACAAGUAAAAGUAGCGACCCUUUAAAAGACGAUUUUCUCGAGUUUUUAUACUAAGUGUGACUUCAAGACUAUAACUCACUUCUCUAUCGAAACUAAAAGAGCAAGCAUGAGUUUUCUAGAGUUUGAUAAGCCAUAUGACUACCACUUAAACAAGUUUCAUUUAUUUGAUUUUCUUGAAGCGAAACUCCUAUGUUUCGAACUCUAGAGAGUUUUACAUUCUUAAACGAUAUUUAUCACAGAUUUGAGGUCCAACCAAGGAGUUGGACCUGAACGUGAUUUUGAAAAGCACUAGACCAUUGGUGAGUGCUUUCAAAUACAUGAAUUGAACUUGAUACUUGUUUUAAAUUCUUUACUAACGCAAUUGGAUAAUAUUUGUUUGGUUUGGUCGGGUAAGGGUGUAUUUUAUCGUACAUGCCCUAAUGUGAUAUAUAUUUGUUCAUUUGUUACAAUUGACUCUAUAUACUUGUGCUUGUAAGUGCUGAGCGGCCGCAUGUGCCACACUCAAUCGAGUGGGAGGUGCCUCUCAUUCCCGGUUCGUACUUUUCUCGUGAUUAAAUCGAUUAGAAACGUUAUCUCAUCGACUAUACUCACUUCUUGGGGACCCAAACCCCACUGGCUAGUUAAUCGAGUCGAGCCGGCAAGGGUUUGGUCGAUUAGAUAAUGAACCAUAGGUAUCUUGUUUUGUCGAGUAGAGUGAUAACUUCUCGACUAAUCGGUAUGCUCGAGUAUUACCACACAUGUUUAUCUUGGCGUCCGGGCCUAGUAAGGGGGUUGAAUGGUGGAUAUAAAUUGGCGUUAAGUGGGGCACUAUUGGAUUGGUUACUUUACUCGAAAGUUGACGGAGUGUCAACUACUACUUGAUCAAACUCUGGUAAAGUAAUGGGAAUUUGGCUCCUGAGAGCCAUCCGUAUCCUUAUACUUUGAAAUGAUUAUUACUUGUCAUGUUAUUGUUUCUUUUAUAAAAACUUUACACUCCCUCAUUUGAUAUUUGCUAUUUGAUGUGUUAUUACUCUUUUCUGUUAUGCUCGCUACUUUGCUACUUUGAUACUUUCACUUUUAAUUAAUGGGCAACUUACUAUUUGGAACUUCACUGAGUUUUAGCUCACUUUAUUAGAUUUGUUUUCCUUACAGGGGGUACGAGCGAGGCAUGAGACUGGUACAAGAUAGCAUAGUCCAGUUUUUGAAAUUUUUACGAUUAUACUCGCGCUAGUGCUCAAUUAGGGCUGAAUGUAUCUGGAACUCAUAUCUUUUAAUAUAUUUGGGAUUGUAUGGAUGAUUAAAAUAGAAAUUAAUGUAUUUGUAUGUUCCAAACUUAGGAACUGUUAUUUUUUUUACUCUCGAGAUUGCAACCUAUUUUCUUAAAGUGAGUGAGUGAGUCCUGGCGAGAACUGAGCAGGCGGUCUGCUAAACCCUGGGGUAAGCCCUAGGGGGAGAUGGGAUCGUCAUAGAUGGUAUCACGAGCUCUUAUCGAGCUCGUGCCGAGAGAGGAUUCUCGGACUGUGGGGAUUGGCUUGUUAAGUGUGGAACAAAUGUCUAUUGUUAAGAACAUUAGAUAUGUAUGUCGGGUAAGAAUCUCAAAAGUGGUUGAUUUCCUCUCGAGUGGUGAAUUAUUAUAUUUUUUUAUUCCUGUACCCGAGUGCCAAAGAGUGAUACCUUUGUGAUAAGUCGAUAUCUCGAGUAAUAUUAGGAUAAGUCUAGAUGGCGAAAGCCAAGGCACGGGGAAUGCGAAUAGUCCAGACUUGGGAGUUAUUGAAGAUAUUAGUGAAAUAUGGGACCCUUAUUAUUCAAGUGUACAUACCUAGCUGUACUUCUUUAAGUUUUGAUUAAGUGUAGUGUGUGAGCAAUGCCUGGGGUUAAUGUCCUAUAGGAUAUGUGAAUUGCUAUGAUAUGUAUAUAGAGAAAGUAUGUUAUUUUCAAUUUGUUCUAUUAUUUUUCAUUUCAUGAUUUGAAAAUGCUUUUAUUGAGAUUUAUAGCUACUUUAUUUUCCUCAUACCUAUGUCGUCUAUUUUCACAAGAGGUAUGAAGGGUAAGAGAAGUCGGGGCCGUGAAACUAGCCGAGGACACGGUUCUAGCCGUGGCCGUGGGACUAGACAGGCGCAAGAAUCAGUACGGGAAUCAAGAGAGGAGAAAGGUGAAAUGUUUGAACCACAACCUGGACCCCGAGUUGAAGGGGGAUCAAGUAGCAACAGCAAUUCAGCAAAUGACCAAUAUUCUUACUCGACUAGUAGAGCAGCAGGGUCAAGCCCCUGUUAAUCAAUCUAGGGACCCUGACAUGGGGCAAGACAGGGCCCUAGAGAGAUUCCAAAAGUUUUCUCCUCCUAAGUUUUUUGGAGGAUCGGACCCCGAAGUAGCUGAGAGGUGGUUAGAGAUGAUGAUCAACAUUUUCGCUGCUUUAAACUAUACGGAGGAUAGGCAGGUGACUUUUGUUGUAUUUCAGUUUGAGGGACCAACUAGAGCCUGGUAGAAUGUGAUAAGGGCUAAGUGAGAGAGAGAAGGGACAGUAUGGACCUGGUUGAACUUCAUGCGUGAGUUUAAUGAGAAAUAUCUCCCACCAAUAGUUCAUGAGAAAAGAGAGGACGAUUUCAUUAGGUUACAUCAGGGAAGUUUAAGUGUAUCUGAGUAUGAAACUUAGUUCACCAAAUUAUCAAAAUUUGCUCCUAAAUUGAUAGUUACGGAGCAAAUGAGGGUGAGACGGUUUGGGCAAGGGUUGAACGUAGAAAUACAGGAAGUCUUGGCAGCUGUGCAAAUUAAUACUUUCACCGAGGUUCUUGAGAAAGCCAAGAGGAUAGAGAUUGCAAGGGCACAAGUAAAGGCUUUUCAUGCAACAAAGAAAGGUGUGCUUAGUGGAGACCAAGGGCAGGAACAAGAUGAUCUAGGUAUGCCACCCUCUAAGGUGGGUCGAGGAGAUGGUGGUGAGAAAAUUUUGGGGACACCUAAGGAAGUUACUUCAAGAGGGGCCCCAGGUGGAAGGGGACAAGCAAGAGGUACGGCGCAGGGAGGUCAGACCUCAGCUCCUCGAGUAUCUUGUGGGUACUAUGGAAAAUCCAACCAUACGGAAGAUAAUUGUUGGCGAAAGGCUCGAAAGUAUUUACGGUGUGGAAGUACUGAGCACUAGAUCACCAAUUAUCCACUGAGUAGUGAUACCCAGCUAGCUAACAACUCAAACCUUAAACAACUAAAUGUGGGAAGGAACAGAUCCAGAGUGCCUGCUAGAGUGCAUACCAUAACUACCGGCAAGUACCUAAUCCAUUUAAAGUGGUAGAAGGUACGAUUCAUGUUUUCCAUUGUCUGGCUAAAAUUUCGACUAAUGAGGAGAUCUGAGAAUUAGAGACGGACAUGUAAAAAAAAUACCCUGAGCUAUUUACGAAUAAAUGUAUAAAUUUCGAGGUCGAAAUUCUUUUAAGGGGGAGAGAGUGUGAGGACUUGCAAAAUUCUUCAUAUUUUCUUAAAAUUCCCUUUUAUUUUGAAUAAAUUACUUUAUAAUAUCUUUACUACUCAUUUACUCUCUCAAUAGUUGCAAUAAAUCACAGAAUCAAGAGUUUUAUCUUUAGUUUAAUAGUUAGGGUAAAAUAGGGUUUCUGCGUAUUUUGUAGUGUGAUCAUUUAGUGAGGUGUGUGUAUUAAAUUUGGUGGUUAAGAGUGAGUUUUAGAUAAGAGAAAGUGUGUGAUUAGAAGUACUAAUAAUAAGUUAGUAAAUUAUAAGUGAAAACCCUAGUACGUGGGAGUUAAGGAAAAACGGCUCGAACCGACGCACGCCGUUUGCUACCGAUUGAGUGCACCAUUUGAACACUACUUUAUUACUUUAAUCUCCUUGUUCUUACUUGAGCAAAAUCAGCCCUAAAUAUCUCCUUAUACCAGCCAAAAUUUUGGACUAAAAACAAGAGAGAAGAAAAAAUUUGACCACCAAUCAAGGUGUGACACUUGUUAGAAAUUUAGUAAACUUUGACUAAACCAAUUUCCUUUCUUCUUAUAUUUACCUUGGCUUCAUUUUUUCUUCAUGUUUCCCUUGGUUGGCCGAGCUUUAGGAGAGAAAAAAAACAAGAGAGAAACUUGCAACUUUAACCCUUGAAUCAAGCUUGUUUGAGUGAAAUCAACAAAACCAAACUGAUUAAACUUACCUCUUGGUGAUUGGAAGGCUUGGUGUGCUGAAAUUUUGGAAAGAUAGUGGUUUGUUUCUCACUUACAAGGAGCUUUUGGAAGGUAUAAGGCUUGAACUUUCUUCUCUCUUGUUUAAUCUUGCUAAAGUUGGUAUAGAAGUUUUUAAUCUUGGCUUGUAAUGGUUAAUUUCCUAGUUUUUUAUGGUAAGGUGGAAUUUUCAGCUAGGGUUUGUAAUUUUCAGUUUUGGUUAAUGUUGUUUAUCUAGUAUAUGAUGGUAUUGAGUUAGGAUAUGAAUGUGGUGAAGUGCUUGGUUUUGAAUAUUUAGAGUAAAAGUUGAAUUUCUAGCAUAGAUAGUGAUUCUACCCUGUUUUUGGAAUCAAACUGGCCUGCAUAUUUGUCCAUGAUAAAUGCCAAAUCAGCUCUUUCUCAAAACAAGAAAGUUUUAGGAAAUUGAGUUAACUGUCUACCUGUAAAAUUUCAGCUCAAUCAGAAUAAUGUAUCUUAUGAAAUGACUAAAAUAAUCCUGACUGCCCAAAUUCCCUGUUUCACCGACAGCUUUCUGUUUUCUCUAAGAUUUCAAAUUUUGACCUUGAAAAUGCAAGAACUGGGUAUCAAUGUCUUUAUGGAAAACGUUUGUCUCUAUCUUAGCUUCGAAACGCCAUAACAUUUGCCCCAAUCUGAUAAGCGUAGCUUCAGUUGUGACCAAAAUGCCGAAAGAUGACAAACCUGUCACUUAGACAUUCUUCUUUAAUACUAGUUUCCAGAUUUGGUCUUGGUGGUUUCCUUGUUAGAAUUGACUUGUAUUUGGAUGAUAUUGAGCCUAUUUGAAGAGCUAUUGUGGUAAAAUUGCUUAUGUGUUGAAUUUGGGCUGAGUUGAGGAAAAUAAUGAAGCCAUAAGUGGCUGAAAAAUAGCUAAAUACAAAGGGCAUGCUACCCAAAUUUUUGCUCCAUGGUUAGACGAGUGAACUUGAGACUUGAGCGAUGACUCGAGGUUGAAGCGAACUUCGCUUGUUUAUGGUAUUUGAGUUUUCUUUAGUAAGAGGUACAUAAGUUGAAAAGUUUGUCGAAACUCGUACCCUUUAACAAGUAAAAGUAGCGACCCUUUAAAAGACGAUUUUCUCGAGUUUUUAUACUAAGUGUGACUUCAAGACUAUAACUCACUUCUCUUUCGAAACUAAAAGAGCGAGCAUGAGUUUUCUAGAGUUUGAUAAGCCAUAUGACCACCACUUAAAACAGGUUUCAUUUAUUUGAUUUUCUUGAAGCGAUACUUCGAUGUUUUGAAUUCUAGAGAGUUUUACAUUCUUAAAUGAUAUUUAUCGCAGAUUUGAGGUCCAACCAAGGAGUUGGACACUAGACCUUUUGGUGAGUACUUCCAAAUACAUGAAUUGAACUUGAUACUUGUUUUAAAUUCUUUACCAACGUGAUCGGAUAAUAUUUGCUUGGUUUGGUCGGGCAAGGGUGUACUUUAUCGCAUUUGCCCUAAUGUGAUAUAUACUUGUUCAUAUAUUGCAAUUGACUCGAUAUACUUGUGCUUGUAAGUGCUGAGUGGCCGCAUGUACCACACUCAAUCCAAGUGGGAGGUGCCUCUCAUUCCCGCUCUGUACUUUUCUCAUGAUCAAGUCAAUUGGAGAUGUUAUCUCAUCGACUAUACUCACUUCUUGGGAACCCAAACCCCACUGGCUAGUUAAUCAAACCAGCAAGGGUUUGGUCGAUUAGAUAACGAACCAUGGGUAUUUUGUUUUGUCGAAUAGAGUGAUACCUCCUCGACUAAUCGGUAUGCUCGAGUAUUACCACACGUGUUUCUCUUGGCGUUUGGGCCCGGUAAGGGGAUUGAAUGGUGGAUUAAAAUUGGCGUUAAGUGGGGCACUACUGGAUUGGUUACUUUACUCAAAAGUUGACGGAGUGUCAACUACUACUUGCUCAAACUCUGGUGAAUCAACGGGAAUUUGGCUCCUGAGAGCCAUCCAUAUCCUAUACUUUGAAAUGAUUAUUACUGAUCGUGUUAUUGUUUCUUUUUAAAAACUUUACACUUGCUCAUUUGAUAUUUGCUAUUUGAAGUGUUAUUACUCAUUUUCUUGACUUGUUAUGCUUGCUACUUUGCUACUUUGAUAUUUUCACUUUUAAUUAAUGGUCAACUUACUAUUUGGAACCUGACUGAGUUUUAACUUGCUCUAUUAGAUUUGUUUUCCUUACAGGGGGUACAAGCGAGGUGUGAGACUGGUACAGUCUGGCAUAGUCUAGUUUUUGAAAUUUUUGCGAUUGUACUCGCGCUAGUGCUCAUUUAGGGCUGAAUGUAUCUGGAACUCAUAUCUUUUGAUAUAUUUGGGAUUGUAUGGAUGAUUGAAAUAGAAAUGAAUAUAUUUAUACGUUCCAAACUUGGGAACUGUUAAUUCUUUUACUUUUGAGGUUGCAACCUAUUUUCUUGAAGUGAGUGAGUGAGUCUUGGCGAGAGUUGGUCAGACAGUCCACUAAACCUUGGGGUAAGCCCUAGGGGAAGAUGGGGUCGUCACAAGCUAUACCCCCCCAAAAUGCAGGCGCGAUAAACAUAAGUGAAUGAAAGAAAAUAAACACACUAUUCAUCACAUACAUGGAUAUCGAGACGAUUGUGCGAGUUAAAUGCAAGAAACCCUAAAAAGGAAAAAAUGCAACCUAAAACCUCCAAAUGUGAUAUAUAAAAAGUUUAGAAAAAAAAGGAUUGACUAAAUCAAAUGCUCGGACUCUCUAAAGUCCCCAGUGGAGUCGCCAAGCUAUCGCGUCCCAUUUUUGAAAAAAUAAAAUUUGCGGGUUUAUAAAAUGAAUUUUGAUUAAUUUUGAUUGAAAAAUGAGUUUUUGAUUUGUUAGAGAAUAAGGACCUAUAAUGGGAUUCAAAAAGUGCAAAGAUUUUGGCCUAAAAUAAUAGUUUGAAAAGGAUUUUUAAUAAAAAAAAUAGGAGUCGCCACUUGGUAUUGAGUUAAGGUGUACCAAGUCACCUAAAAUGAAUUUUAAAUAAAAAGUAGAGAAAACCCUUUUUAAAUGACUCCAAAUCUUCGAAAAUGAGAGAAAAGUGUAUAGGAGUUACGUUUGAGGGAAGGAAAGGCAAAAAUAAAAUCCAAGAUACACUUUCAACCUAACUAGAGCUAGUUGCGUAAUUUAGUCAGAAAAUUUUCUUAGUUUAACCUAUAAAACUUAUCACAUUUGGAUGUUACUAUAUGAAUGCAAAACUAGACCUAAUGGCUAUCAGAAGGGUCAGAUGUCUUUUCGAAUUUUAAUUGGUGCAAAUCGCAUUAAUUACGAUGCCCAAAAGUUAUUUUUUAAAGAAGUCACGAAUAUGCAACAAUGAAACUUAAAAAAAUAGAAAAAUUAUAAUAUACAAAUAUACGUGACCUAAAAGAGAGGGAUGCAACAUAACGGGUACAGGGGCUAAGAUUCGUGACUCAAUUUUUCCUUUUAUAGAGGGAAUACAAGUGUGCUAAGGUUAGAAAACCAUACUCGUCCAUCUCCCAUAUUCGAGGGGUAAUUUUCCUAAUUUAAUCAAGCAAAUGCACUAAUCUAUUCCUAAUUUCCUUAAAUGGAAUAAAAGUCUAAAUGUUAUAUGUCACACAUAGGGAUAGGAGAUAUAUAUAAGGGAAAUAUCAUGCAAAAUGGUAAGGAUCCUAAAAAGCAGAGAAAUACGCAUGAAAUGUAGUGAUUUGUCACACAAGCAUGAUCUAAUGCGCAGGAAUAGCCUAAGGGUCUAGCGUUGGACUAACCCAUGUCUAUAAGUUUUCACUAGCGUUGGACUAGUGAGAAAUCGGAAAAAAGGCCACAACUAGCGUUGGACUAGUGUGGUGAUAUCAUGCAUUUAUCAUAAUCAAAUAAAUCAUAUAAAACAUAGUAAAAGCAAGAAACAUAUAAAUCACAUAGAGCACAUAGCACGUAAGCAUGAUAUCUAGAUGCAAGACCCUAAAAAAGCAAGUAAACACGUAAACACACAAGCAUGCAAGCUCACAAAACAAAUAAGAGCAAAUAAAGACUUAACUAUUACAUUUGGGAACCCUAACUACAAUCUAAGGGAGAAAAGAAUAAGAGUAGAGUAAUUUGGCAUUUAAAUAACUACCUAACUAUUACAUAUUCUAUCUAAAUACAUGUUUUAAAUCCCCUAACUAUUACAAUUUGGCAUUUAAAUGCCUCUCAAAUAAUAAAAAAUUAAAUUAAAAAAAUAUUAAAAAACAAAUAAAGUGAAUAAAUAAAUAAAAUAAAAUAAAAUAAAAAAACAUUCAAAAAACAUGCAAUUACACACAUAAAUUCACAUAGAAUCAAGUAAAAUCAAAAUAAAGGAGUAGAGUGUACCUGUCUUGAAUUGGUGAUCUAAUGAAACGAAAUUUCUCUUAUUUACUCUCCAAAACAGAGAAAAUGGUCAAGACAUCAAUUUAUUGGACAAAUAAAUCAUAAGAAAAUGAAAAUAAAUAUGAAAUCUAUCAAUUUAGGCGUUCAAAUGGAAUAUAAUCAAUAAUUAAAAAAUAAAAGUAACUUCUAUCUAAGAAAUCAAAUAAACAAGGACUUAAUUGUAAACAUUGAAAAAAUUUUAGGGCUAAAUUAUUAUUAUUACAAAACUUGGGAGUCAAAAAUUAAAGAGAAAUAAAAUUAAGGGCUCAAAGAUAAAGCCUACCUAACCCAAUGCUAAAAUUCAUAAAAAUAAAUCAAAACCCACUUGCUAAAAUUAAACAACAAAAAGAAUCACCAAACUCUUUAAUUCUUUUGCUAAAACCCAAAUCAAAAGUAUAAAUUUAUCAAAAUUAUUAAACCUUAAAUUUCAUCCUAAAACUCACACAUAAUCUGUUCAAAAUUCAUAUUAAAGCAUGCUAAAGAAAAUUAACAUUUUAAAGGGACAAGAUUGAUUGAUUUUUUCAAUUUUCAGGGCCAUAUCAGAAUUACUUAGAAAACUAGGGGUUACAGUGUAAUUUAAAAAAAUCAUGAAGCCUGGUACGAAGAAGCUUUCUUCUUCAUCGCUGGUUUCUUUAUUCUGCAAUUUUUCCUUCUGCGACCUUCUUCCUUAUUCUACCAGGUAGAUUAAAUGCAAAACUCAAGCAAAACGCACUAGUUUAUCAACUAAAACCAACAAAACUUCAACCCAUUUAAUUAACAUCAUCCAAACACGAUUGACCAUUUCAAGAAGACCUAACGAUGCAUCUGUACAUGAAAACGCAGCAAAGAAAGAAAGAACGAAACUUGCAGAAAUUGAAAUUGGCUCCACCUAAAGUCAAUGUUUUUCUAGCCAACUCAUUGAAUCAUUAAAUAUCAAAUUACUCUGAAGCCUUUUGAACGUAUUUGAAUCAGCCAAACGAGUUUCUCUAAAGUAUCAGAGAUGAAACCACAAAGAGAAGAAAUAACAUGCGCGUGCAUAAGGAAGAAACCCAUGCGAUGAACUCAUCUUUACAAAAUUGCGUUAAAAUGACAGGAAGAAAAGCUAGAGUUACCUGCAAAUGUUGGUGAAAUCAAACGAACAUGAAAUCUCCCAAGAAACUGCAUACAGACUCCUGGAACGAAGCCAAGGAAACUUUGUCGCAGAAAUUGCAGUGAAGACGAACCCGCGACUUUGAGUCCCACUUUAGUUGAUUUAGAGGUGUUUUCAUUGAUAAUUACUGAACGAAAGUUGUUGCCAGAUAUCCAGAGAAGGUGCAGAAAGAAAACCCUCCUCAUAAUAAGUACUAUCGAGAACAGAAAUGAGCAAGAAACAGGGCUGAUUCAUCAGCCCGUGACCAGAUUUUCUGCAAUUUUUUCUUCCUCCUCUCUCUCAAUUUUCUCCCUCUUUCCUCUGUGUUCCUUGUUCACCGCUGCCUUCCCUCCUGUUCCCUCCUUGUUCCUCUCAAAUUUUCCUUUUCUUUCUUCCCCUUUCUCCUUUCUCUCUUUCUCUCUUCCUUUUCUUUCCAGUUUUCCUCUCGUUUCCCUCUAUCUCUCUGUAGUUUUUUUCUACCUCUCUUGCUUCCCCAGAUUCUCCCCUACUCCCUUGUUUCCUCCUUUGUUUCCUUCAGCUGCUACCCUCCCUCAAUCUCUCCUUCUCUCGGUUCUUUUUUUUUUUCUCUUUUUUUCCCACCCCCGAAACCCUUUUUCAUUCCCUUCUUUUUUGCCUUUGGUUUCUUGCCCGCAGCUUUCUUUUUUCCUUGCUUGUUCCAGAUUUUUCCUCAUCUUCCUACACCUGUCUUGCCACCUAGCCUCUUGCAUGUGUUGUGCAAAAUAUCAAAACCACAUGGUUAAUGCUCACUUAUCUCAUUUAGCUACUAUGCAUGCCUUCCACCUAUCUUGUUUUUCCAUUUUUUAUUUUUUUGUUUUUCAAAACAAAUUUAGGGUAAACAAAAUGUUAAUUCUUAAUUGAGAUUGCCUUGCAAAAAUUUCAUUUUAUUUGGAAGAAAUUGAAUUUGAAAAGAUUAAAAAUAAUUUUUUGUGAGAAUUUUCCUUUUUUCAGAAAUUUAAUGCAAAAAAACGUUUGUUUUGUUGAUUAUUUUUUAAAAGAAGAUGAACCUAAUUCAAUUAAAAUAGCUAACUAUCAUUUUGCGAACUAAAAAUAAAAUAAAAUUAAAUUAAAAUGGAAUUAAAUAGAACUGAAAUUUUGGUAUCUAUAGUGUUUUGCUUGGAUGUUUGUUUGAGGAACUUCACUGGGCAAUAGCUCACCCCCUUAGAUUUGUUUUCCUUGCAGGAGUGAAGGUUCGAAGCGGAUAAAUUUGAACUAGUAUGUACUAAUCCUCUUGCACAUGUGCUUUUAGUUUGUAAUUAAGUUUGAAUUUUUAUUGUAUUGUAGCAGUCAAAUAUUAUUUUGGAGGUUUGAACGGUUAUUUUGAUAAUUUUAUUGUAUUGAAUAUAGUGAGUCUUGGUGAGAGUUGGACUAGCGGUCCGCCAAAUUCUUGAGUACGCCUUAUGGGGAAGUAGGGUCGUCACACACAUAAACACAUAAAACCUAUAUAUUAUAAUGGAGUAUCUAACUACAAUCUAAAAUGGAAAAAUAUAAUAAAAUAAAUCUAUCUAUCCUAACUACAAUAUAAAAUGGGGAAAUGUAACAGAAUAAAUCUAUCUAUCUUAUCUAUUACAUUGGUCUAUCUAAUUACAAUUUUUGUAAAAAUAAAAAAAAUAUUACCUAUCUAUUACAUCUUGAGAUAUUUAAAUACCCUCCAAAUCAUUACAAAAUUUAAACUAACACCCAUAAAAGUUGAAUAGAAAUUUAAAUAAAUAAAUAAAAGAAAACAUAUAGAAAAAUUUGCCAAAUUGGUCCAUAACAUUUUAAAAAAAAACUUUUUUAGUCCCUAACAUUUAAAAUCAUCUAGAAUAGUCCCUAACAUUUAAAAUCAUCUAGAAUAGUCCUUAACAGAUAAAUUAUGAGCCAGUUUGGUGCUAAUGCUCGUAUUUACUCAUUUCUCCGACUAAAAGUAGCACGUCUCUCUCAUGUGGGCAUAAUUUUAAGGGCAAAACUGGAAAGCGUAUGUACAUGGAUAAAAAAGAAAAUAGACCUGUAUAUACUAAAAUCUAGGGUUAGGGUUCUAAAAUCGUUUCCUAUGGAAGACGAUGGAGAAACAUUUUCGUCCAAUAUAAAUAAACCCUCGCCUGAGCAAGCUAGUGAAAAGCAGAUAAUCGAAGAGAAAAAAUUGAUUUGUGAAGCAGAAAUUAAUGACGCUGAACAAUGUGAAUUUGUUCCUAAUUCAGAUAGCUCAAAUGUGCCAUUUAAAGAGAGCAAACUGUUGGCGCUAGCUAUCGAAUUGCUGAGCCAGGUGGUGGCAUAGGAGGUGGAGGCCUCCUUAGAAGGUAGACUCGAAGGGGCGGAGGUCAUGUAUAGAGUGGUGGCGGUGGAUGUUGAUGUGGAAGCCAAAGUGGAGGCCGAGGUGGUUGGUGGUGGAGAGAGAUUGGAAGCAGAGGAAGUUCUAGUGGCGGGGCUAAACGUGGAGGUUUUGGAGGAAAAGAUUGGUGGAGAGAACUCUAAUAUUCAUAGCGGCGAGAAAUCGGUGAUGGAUACGGAAGCCCACUUGCAGGUGCUGAUGGAGAAAACUCCUGUCUGGGACACUGCACUGAAUUGGAGAAGGUGGUGGGCGGGGAAAAUGUUUCUGCUAUCAUUAAUCAUAUGCUUUUCGAUUUUGCAGUGGUUGCGGCUGAGAAGGUCGAAGGAAUGAUUGAGCCAAUGGGCUUUCCAGAGAAUAGCGUUGCACUUAUGCAUCUGACCUCUCCAAAACAAACUUAAUGUUAAGUGUGAGAAUUGUUGUUGUAAUUGAAGGGGAAAGGUGAAAAAGGGUGGUGGUCUCGUGCACUUUUGCUUUUAGAGGAAAAUGAAGUGUACUUUCCAGUUUUGUCAUUAAAAUUAUGCCCACAUGAGAGGGACAUGCUACUUUUAGUCGGAGAAAUGAGCAAAUACGAGCAUCAGGACCAAACAGGCUCAUCAUUUAUAUGUUAGGGACUAUUCUGGAUGAUUUUAAAUGUUAGGGACUAAAAAAAAUUUUUUGAAAAAAAUGUUAGGGACCAAUUUGGCAAAUUUUCCAAACAUAUAAAUACAUGUAAGCACAUAGGCAUACAUAAGAUCACGUAAUUAGAAGUUAAAGGAUAGUAGGGGCACCUCCCUUUCGAAGUAAUGACUAAAUGAGGUAAGAUUGCCCUAUGUAUGAUCAAAAUUGACAAAAGGAUCACAACACCAAUUUUAUUGAAAAUAUAAAAAAAAACUAGAUUCUCAUUAUUAUAUUAAAAAAUGUAAACAAACUCAAAAUACUCAAAAUUUACAAUUUAAAUGCUUGCAAUAGAAGCACAAUUAACAAUCAAAAGGAGCGAACAAUUAUAAUUGAGAAAUAAAAAAAAUAUUGGGACUAAAUUGUAAAAAUUAGAAAGUUUUUGAGGUUAAAAUGAAAUUUUCAAAAGAUUAGGGGUCCAAAUUAAAUCAAAAUAAAGUUUAGGGGACAAAGUAUAAUUAAAUUGAGGACCUAAAUGAAAGAAAUUAAAAUUUUUGAGCUAUAAUAAAAUUACUUAAAAGAUCAGGGACCAAAUUGCAAAAACUCUUUUCUGAUUUGGGCAAAAUAUGAAGAAACAAAACUGGAGCACCAGUUUUUUAAGUAUUUGAGCUGGGUUAUUCCAGCUCAAAAGAAAAAUGCAGGCUAUUCCAUAAAAAAUAACAAACCCAAUUGAGAUUUACACAAAACUUAAAUAUAAUGGAAACAUUGGAGUUAACUCCAAAACCCAGUCACAAGCCCAACAAAUAAUAAAAUGCAAGUCCAAAAUAAAAAGCUCAUCUUCUUUUCUUUCUCUUGUUUUUUAAUCUUCUUCCUCCCUUUUCUUCUUCCUUACCACCGUCGGCGACUUCUUUGGUCAUAAAAUUUCACCAAAAUACAUUUCUCCACUCGAUUUUUUGCAUAGUCUAUUUCCGACCUUGAUUUUCAACAUAACAUACAAUGCACCAAAGAGGGUUACUGUUCACUUUUUGUCGUCAUCACAUGUUGCUCAUGUGACUUAUCUAAAUUGGUUCGUCUCGGUGCUCCAGCGUCAUCGUCAUGUGCUAUAAGCAUGUCUUCAGUAUUUUUUUUUUUGGCGUGAUGCGCGGGCUAUCGGCUUAGGGUUAGCUAUACAAAACACAUUUCUCUCCUGGCUUUCCUUUCCAAAACCUCGCUGCCGCCACUUCUUCUCUCCUACCUUUCCUUUCCAAGAUUAUAAUGCCAAAAUUUCCAGUACGCUUAAAGUCUCCUCGCUCUUUGCUUAUUUUCUUGUAAGUUUGCAGCUUCUUUACUCUUAGUUUCAACGCCAAAGAAGGAGAAAAUAAAAAAUUAGAUUAAAAGAAGGAGAUAGAGAUCUGAGAAGCUGGGGCUAGAAUCCUCCGAAGUGUGUGGCCAACAUUAUUUCGAGCUCAAGGUUUGUGACUUUGCUUUAGGGCUUUUCUUUAAUUUUCCUAGAUUUAUAACAUAUUUUUGGGACUUUGGUUUAGGGCUUUUCUUUGUUUUUCCCAAAUUUGUUCUCCUUUGCUGUCCUUGAUCCUCCGUUAAAAUCAGAUUAUUUUUUUAUAUUGUUGUUCCUUAUUUAUCUUACCCUUUUCAAAUUGAGUGACUUUUCUUUGAUGUGGUUGUUCUUCAUCUUAAAAAAAAAUCUACAACAUCUCCCUUUGUCCCCUCUGUUUAUUUUCCUAUAUGCGUAUCUUCUUUUUUCUUUUUAGAAUGCAUAGAAGCCCUUUGAAUUGGGAUGUGCGAAAGUAUUAAUGCAUUACUAAAGGACCUUUCAAAGAUUUAUUUCUAUGCAAGAAACUGAACAAUAUGAGGCAAAAAGAAAAUUUCCAAUAUAAAGUGCUUAAUUUCUAUGAUUUAUUUAUUUUUUCCUAUACUAUCUUUUUUUUAAUUUUCUUUUUGGUCAAUGACAUUUUUGGGUUUGGUGGAAGCAUUUGAAUAUGAUGGCGAGGCUUCUCCGAAAUGCUUCUUCUCUGAGAUGCGCUCUGUUUCUGCAACCUCUCUCUCAGGUAAUUUCCCUACCAAACCAGAAAUACAAGAAAGGUCACGUCAAAUAGGGAAGAUUUUGUUCUUAUUUUCUUUGUAUUUUUGGAGAACAAUUUGGUUAGGAUUAAUGAUAGGUAAUGGCCCGUUGUAGAAAUUUGAAGCUUUUUUUUUUAAAUUUCCAGCCUUUUCUCAAAUAUGUUUUCCACAGCUUUGUUGAGUUUCAAUGUUUUUACACUACCUACCUAUGUCUUGUUUGUACUAUUUUUUUGAAGUUAUAGGUGUAAUAUAGUGCUCAUACUUGUUAUUAGCAGUUGGAAGUUGCGAAUAAAUGAUUAUACUAUAAUUUCCUAUCAAUUAGGAAAGUCAAAUGCUUCACUUUGCUAGCUUGCAGAAGUUGGUCCUUUUUUUUUUAAAUUAUUGAACUUGCAUACUGUAUAAAGAAAAAGUCUUUUGUUUGAUUCGUUUUCUGACAUCGUUUUUCAAUUAGUACUGCUUUUCUUUUUUUAUUUUGUUUCCCACUUUCUUCAUGAGUCAUGACAUGAAUUUGUUGUUUGUUGAUGCAGACUUAUAGGAAAGGCUUGUUAGGGGCAUCCACUCAGCUCUCCUACUUUUCCUCCAAAAGGUGCCCCCCGAAGUUUAUUUUCCUGCUGAACUGGCCUGCAUUUGGUCUUCAUACCUUCUUUUUUUGGUGAUCAUUUUGAUGGGUUUCAAAAAUAGAUAAAGUAAAAACUUUUGCGUAUGAAGUCUAUCUUUUUAGGCUUUAACCCCUUGCUAGGACCAGUUAAGACUAAUACAUAUAUUUGCUUAGUGUUUGAAUGCUUCAGACAUCAUGUUUAUUUAACGUGACAGUUGCAUGUUUUUAUCCAUAUUUUGGAGUUUUCUGUUCACUAAAAAAUUAUAAAGCACCCAAGUAUGCAAGUUUAUUGCCAUAUUUUGGCCUUGUACCUCCCUCUUGGAGUAUUUUAACAUUGAGUGUAUCAUCCUUAAUGUAACAAUCACUCGACCCUUUUUCCCCCAUGUGAUUCUUUGAAUUAGAUGAGUUCCUUUAAGAAUAGCUCUUUUGCUGAAAUUUGUUGAGUUUGAUAUGUUUUACAUUUGGCUGGGAUUGUGUUAUUCCUGCUUAAGAGUACUUACUUUUUGCUCUUUCUGCAGUAAAUAUCAAUUUUUUUUUGGCUUCAUUAGUUCAUUAUGAACAUAAGUCAUUUUUCUAUGAAAGGUAGAAGAAAAUCCAAGUCAGAUGUCAAAGAAAGAUUUGGCACUCAAGCAGGCAAUGUACCAGAUCACUGCAUCAUUUGGAAAAAGGUUCUAUCAUGUGGCUUGGCUGCUCUGCCCCUGUCAAACAAGUUCCAGUUGUGUCUACAGGUUUAUUUGCUAUGGAUAUUGCACUUGGGAUUGGAGGACUUUCAAAGGUUGGACAUCUUAUGUGUUUCUUAUGCUACAAUGCUAGAUAUUGAUUUUGAAAUAUUGUUUCAAGUUCAAUAAACAUCUGUAAAUUUCUAAACAAUCAUAUUGACAUUGUUUUAGAGUGCAAAUAUGUGACGCCCCGAAAAAAAUGAGUUUGAGAACCCGGAAAUUUUCUAAUUUUCUAGGGUUUAUUUUUUUAACGCCCGCCUUUUCUACAUUUUCUUGAUUAGAAAAAUUCCCCAAAUAAAGUUUAUGAGCAAAAAUAGUUUUAAAAUGAUUUUUUCUAGUAUCGGUUAGUUUUUGAGAAAUUAAGAGCGUAUUUUGGACGUGGGACCCGCUAGUGCGGUAAAUGCAUUAUAUUUUUGACAACUUGUAGGAAUUUUGUAUUAAGUGAUAUUAUUUUACAAAGUGUUAAGAUAUUUGUAUUGGAGAGACAAAAAGAUAAGUUUUACACCUAAAGGUGACAAGUGUCACUAUCCUAUUCACUUUUGGACUUUUGACCAUCUUACCUUAACUUUACUAAAACCAAAAUUUGACCAAAAAUCAAGCCAUUUCUUCCUUCUCAUGGCUGAAACUUGGAGAGCAAGAGAGAGAGAAAAACCUUCAUCUUUCACUCCAAUUUCUUAUUUCAAUCUUGAGUUUUAACCGAUGGAAUUGCAAAUCACUCCAUAAAAGUUGGUUACUAAGGAGAUUCCAAGGUCUUGGUGGAGUUAUUUUGGAGAAGGAACCACUAAGCUACUAUCUUUUGUGAGGUAUCAAGGUAUGGUGUGUAAAGAUUCAUUGUUUGUUUCCAAUAAUGGUGAAUUAGUAACUUGUGAUGGCUAAAGAGAUGGUUUUAUGGAUUAUAUCUUGAUUUUGGUUGAAUUGGUGAAAUUUUAUAAUUAUUGUGGAUUUUUCUGUUUUAAUAUGAACAUGGUUGUGUGGUUAUAUAUGAUGAUUGAAAAUGAUGUUUAAUGACUCUAGGAGGUGGAAAAAGUGAUUAAUUGCAACCAAUUUCUGUUUUGGACCAAAAAUUGAAAAGUGAGGGUUUUGUGAUGAACAUUCUGUCCGAAUUUUUAGGUCCUAGAUAGAGGCCGAAUUGGCCUUUUCUUAAAACAUUAAAGUUGUAGGGAAUGACAUUUUAGAGGUGCCUACAAAAUUUCAGGUCAAUCGGAGUAGCGUAGUGUGAGAAAAGUCGAAAUUAGUAUUGCUGUUCUGGUUUACCCGAAAUUGGGAUUUGCGACUGUAAUUGGUUGUUUUGGCCGGAAUUGCUUCCGAAUUGGAUGUUGAGGCCUUAUGAUGAAAUUUAUCCCUGUUUCUUAGCUUUCAGCUGGUUUUGGAAUUUCUGGAUUUGGACUUGGAGAGCCUGAGUUAUGAUGUUUCCGCUAGAAUGCAUUCUGUGAAGCUGUUUUUGUGAUUCUGGUGUAGUUUCUUGUGUUUUUGACCUGGUUAUGCUCGAAACUGGGUUGAGUGACCUUCUGUAAUAUUGUAGCCCUAUCUCUUAGCUUCAAAACGGUGGGUCUUGUACCUUCAUCCGACAAUCAUAGUGCCUUUGGUACUAUUACCGCAAAAUAACGUCAAAACCUGUUUUUCUGGUUUUGAGCUUAACAUUCAUUUCCAGACUUUUUCCUAACUUGACUUGUCUUUGUACUACUUGGAGCUUGCUGAAUGGCUAUUGGAUGAACUUGUUGUUGUGUGUGUACCUUUGGGACUGGCUGAGGAAAUAAUGAAGCCAUGAUGGCUGGAAAAGUUAGCAAAUUCAGGGGAAGUGCUGUCCGAACUUUGAAGGGACUUGUUUGCAUUGAGUUUGUGAUCUAAGACUUGGAUUUGAGCAAGGCAAUGUUAUAUGAUGGAUGAUUUCUGAGCCGUGGAGGUGAGUGACCUCAAACUAUUUCUGAAGUUAUUUAUGAACCGUUUCCUGCAUUAUUUACUUUUGGAGCUGUUUCCAAAGUUACUUUUGUACCGUUUUCUUGCAUUAUUUACCUUUAAACUGUUUCCAAAGUUACUUUUGAACUGUUUUCUUGCAUAUCAUGCGUGCUUGCAUGUGAGUGUUCCUUAUGUGCUAUAUUUUCUUGAUUUCAUGACUUGUAUUAUUGAUUGAUAACGUGUUAAGUGCUUUGAAUGAUUUCCAAAACGAGCUUUCUAGGCGAGUGUGUACUUCAUCGCACUCGACCUAAAUAACUGUGCAAUUUUCAAGGAUUUAAUGAUUAAAUGCUAGUUGCGCAUGAAUGUAAGCCGUUUGGCUGAAUUGGGCACUGCCCUUCGUUACCGAUCGACUCGAGCUAGAAGCGGACUCGGUCGGGCGAUAUGGUGACCCUGGGUGAAUUUGGUAUACUCGAGUAUUACCUUGUAGUCCGGCUACGUCCGGAUGGGUGGAGACCGGCCAACGUCCGGAAAAAAAAAAGAUGAACGAAUAAAAAGAUGAACGAGGGAUUAUUUAAAAAAAAAUGAACGUAUCCUUUUCAUGAAUGUUACUAUCGCUUUCCAUUGUACAUGUUUCUUGAAUUAUUGAUACUCCAUAUUUAAUGUUUUGUAAAUGUUGUAAUCGUUUCUGGACUUAUCAUUUGAUUUAUGACAUCAUUGAUUUAUGACAUCAUUGAAAAGAAAUAUUGUUAAACCGAUUUGAUUACUGAUUUUCUGGUUACUCGCUGAGCUUCUAGCUCACCCCAAAAAUAUUUUAUUCCCCUCCACAGGGCUCGUGGCGAAGGAAGGACUUGUAGUACUUGUUCACGUGACUGGAUGGCAUAUAUUUUGUACAGUUUAGAUUUGGAAUUCCUCCUGUAUUAUAGCUGGUAUCAAGGAUCAGAGUGGCGCAGCGGAAGCGUGGACGCUUCGCUUAUGAUUUGUAAAUUUGUGGAACAUCUGAUGUAUAUUUGAGAUUUACAUUAUAAUUUGCUUGAGAACUGUAGUGAGUGACUGAGUCCCAGCGAGAGUUGGGCAGGCGACCCGCCGAACCCUGGGGUACGCCCUAGGGAGAGGUGGGGCCGUCACAAAAUAUACCACUGAAAGGACUUUUCUCUAACUAAUUGGGACUUCAACUAAGAACUGCUAUAAUUAUUCUUGAUUUGAAUAUUUCCAUUCUGAUUAAUCAGCAUUUGCAAUUUCCAGAUUGUAUAUCAAAAGAAAAGCUUCAUCUUGUUCUUGAAAACCUUCACUGAAAUGGAAGCUUUUAAAUUACUUUAUAUUACUAUUGGUUUCUGUUAGCCUUAUUACUUUGUAUCACUAUUUUAUCUGUUUGAUGUAAUUGGAGUAGUGCAUUUUGGCGUCAAGCAAUAUUAGUAGUUCCAUGUUUAUAGGAGAUGUUACCAUCCCCAAGCAAUUCAUUCAGACUGGCUUAUGGGAUUGGCUCAAAACUUCCAUUUCUUGCUUUUAACAUGAAUACAUGAAACUUUGUUAUACUCUAUUUUUGACUUAUUUACAUGAAUCUUUUUUCUGAGUAGAAACUUAAUGCGACAAUCUUGACAGGUGAUUUUACUAAAUUGGAUUUUGUAGACUACAAUGGGCCUUGCAGAGGAUAUAAUCAGUUGGGCAGCAUUGGAUACAGCACUGAGCAGUUCUUUUCAAAGUUAAGAAAGCCUAAUACUGCUUAAAGAAAGCUUUGGUUUCACGUAAGCACGAAUUGGCUUUGAUUAGCAUACAUUCAUCUUGAGGUAUAGUGUAACAGCCCCACUUUCCCCUAAGGCGAACCAAAGGGGCUAGCGGACUGUCUGCUCAGCUCUCGCCAGGACUACGGAUCAGUUCACGUCGAUCUAAUACGUUCCGGAACAUACCCACGCGUGUAAACAAGUCAAAAUCACAAAUAAAAACAAAUAAAAAAAAUGAAAAUCGAAGCCGAUGAUGAACAGUACCGGCCACGUCAGAAUCCAGAUACUAGGCCGAGAGUAGCCAAAAUUUUUCCUUCUCCGUUUGAAAUGCGUAUCGCUCCGAAAUCCAACCAAACAUAUAUAAACAUUAAAAUUCAACAUUUACAAGCCAAAACGGCAUACCAAAAUAUCCAAAAGUUCAUACAUGUGCAACUAGCCACUUACAAGCCAACCAUUGGUUGAAACCAAACACUUAGGGUUUUCACCCUCAAGGAGCUAUUCAAAAUAUACAUUUACAUGAGCUCAACUUGCUAGUACAACCUUUCCAAAAGUGAUCAUUUUCCUGUAAGGAAAACAAAUGGAACGGAAUGAGCUUAAGCCCAGUGAGUUACUACCACAUAAGCAACAAAGAUCACAUAAGCAUAAUCUUUCAUUUCAAGUACACAAUUAAGAAGUAAAACAAGUCGGUAAAAGGAUACGGACGGCUCUCAAGAGCCCAUUUCCACGCUUACAUUCUUGAUCCAAUCUCAUUGACCCUCCGUCAAUAUUUAAGAAUACCCGACCGUAGACCUCACUUCACUCCAUUCCUUCCACCAAACAUACCCCAACCGGGCCCGCACUCCAAUCAGUAACUUUUGGUAAUACUCGAGUAUACCGGAAUCAAGAGUCUCAUUACUACAAGAUUCCCCAGUACAGUCCCCGUGGCAUGACAAUUUUCAUGACCAAGCCCUCGCCGACUCGAUCCAAUUGACUACCAAACGGGGUUGAGCUCAGUGAUACAGUAAAGCCGUUGGACAUUCGUCCAAACGACACCAAAUCAGUUUUCCAUGAAUGGAAUUCAGUAUCUCAUAUAACAAGUGCAGUAUUUCAGUAAAACAGUAAGCAGUCAUGAAUGAAAUCACAAGGGGGUGAGGGCGGUCAAAUACACCCUCACCUCAAUCACUUCCAAUAGCCAAAUAAGCCUUCAAGGCAUCAAUUUCACAUAUAACAAAGCCACAUUGUAACAUUUAAGUGAGUAGUAUACUCACCAAUCACGUAAGUGAUACUUCAUGCAUCGCCGUUAAACGAACGUCGUGCACCAACGUCACUUCCUAGAACAUGCAAACAAAUGCAAUGAGACUCGAUAACGAGUCAUAUAGCCAUACCAAUUAUAACCCUAAUAGGGUUUCAUAUGCAUAAAUAAGCAUCAUAGGUAACCAGAAAUUAAGAAAUGGCAUUAGCUUAGGCCUUAACAAAAAAACAGUUUUCGUCAUACUUUUGCGGUAAUGGCACAAAGUCCACUACGAUUAUCGGAUGGGGGUGUAAGACCCACCGUUUCGAAGCUACGAAACAGGGCUACAACAAUGUAGAAGGCCACUCAAUCCAAAUCCUAGCACAACUAGGUCAAAUAGGCCAAAUACUACACCAGAACCACCAAAAACAGGUUUACAAAUCACACAAUGCUGUAAUCAGUACAACUCAGUCUAUACAAGUCCAAAUGCAUUGAUUCCAAGGGCAUAUGAUAGCUAAGACAUUCAGCUACAUUGCAUCAGAAGACACCAACAACAAAAUCCAAACCAAUUCCAGUCAAAAUGGCCAAUUACUAGUGCAGUUUUCGCAUUCUGAUCAACCCAGAACAGCAACAGUAACAUCGAUAUAUCUCACUCUACACUAAUCCAAAUGACCUGAAAUUUUGUAGACACUUCAAACUCAUCAAUACCUACAACUUUCAUGUUUUGAGCAAAGUCCAAUUCGGCCUCUAAACCUAUGAUCCAAAACCGGACAGAAUUAGGGGUUUAUGAACCCUAACUUUUCAUUUUUCAAUCCAAACCCAAAAUUGGUUGCAAUUAUCACUAAUUCACACCUACUAGAGUCAUUCCCCCUCAUCAUCAACCAUCAUAGAUGACCACAACAUCACAUUCAUAUUAAACCAGAAAAUUCACCAAUAAAAUAAAAACUUCACUAAAUCACUUCAAAUCAAGAAAUAAACCACAAAAGGCUUCACUAUCACUACCAUUAGGCACAAUUUAAGCAUCAUUAGGUGUAGUAGGAUGUUCAACCAUCACUUACCUAGGAAACAAGAGAAGAGGAGUUGUAGACCACCUCAGCUCUUCCAAAAACUUCACCAAACUCACCACUAACACAAAAAGGCAAGAUUGUAUGGAGUAGAAACUAAUUUAUGUGAUUGAUUUUGGAAGAUUGAGCUAGUUGGAAGCUUGAAAUGUUGAAGAGUUUUCUUCCUUCUUGCAAGAGAGAGGGCCGGCCAUCAAGGAGGAGAAAUGGUGAAUUUUUAGUGAUUUUUGAAGAUAUUUAAUUCAAAUGGGUCAAAAGUCAAAAAAAGUGAAUAGUAACUCUUAAGUCAAAACCAAUGUAGUGGUGACACUUGUCACCUUCAGAAAUGCAAUCUUAUCUUUCUUUUUCCUCUCACAUCAAUCAAAUCUCACUAUCUACUUAUCUCUUAACACCCGAUAAAUUUUACACAGUAUCCGGAAUUUAACCUAAUUGGCCGAAUUUUUCCGAACUUUUCGCACUAGUGGGUCCCACGUCCGUUAUUUAUCCUUAAUUUUUCAAAAACUCUCCAAUACUAGAAAAAUUAUCUAAAAACUAUAAUUGCUCAUAAAAUUUACCAGGAGAAUUUUCCUAAGCCAGAAAAUGCAAAAAAUGACGCCUUUAAAUGGGAAAACCCUAAGAAAAUUAUUAGGGAAAAUACGGGUUCUCACAUAUAGGUCUUGAUACAGUUCAUUCUCUUCUGUGUUUUUCUUUUUCUUUCUCAAUUGAAGAUUAGAAGUAUAGGACUUUUUUAUGAUCAAUUGCAUUUGUUCUGUGUUUCCGAAGUCUGAAAAACAUUAGCAAUUAUUAAGUGUCAAAUUUUAAGCUUCGAUUAUUAUAGCAUAGAAAAUUUCCCUAUAAAAGCUUUCUAUACAAACCUUGGUUUUGCUUUUAUAAGUUGAUAAGCAACCCUAGGGGAAGACCCUCCUAGACCCUCCCAACCUUGUAAUUAUCAGAGUUGGAUCGUUUCUCCCAAUGAAAAUUGAACUCGAUUCUUCUCAUGAACUCAAGACCUCUGACACACAAAGGCAUUCAGCAACCUUAAGCAAAUAAUGAUGGAUGAAGAGACACCACGAUUAGGGAACAAGCUAAUCGAUAAAGUCAGAUUUGAAUCCUAAGCAAUGAACUCAAGAAUUCAAGAGUAAGUUCGAUUAAGAACUUGAAGGAAAAUUCCUCACGAUUUCUGGUUGUAAUAAUCAGUCUUUCACUCAUACAAUAGGUGCCUUUUAUAGGCUAAAACUAGGGCAAAUCCGGCCCAAAUAAACCUGGAAUAGGAAUUCGGUUCGCAUAAAGAGCCAGCUCUUUAAGGCUUCCCGAUAAGGCCCAAUAAGUAAUAAAAUACUCAACGACUAACAACUACUAAACUAGGCAGUCUUAAGAUGUAAGUCCCAAAGACAACCAAGAGGGGGGGUGAAUUGGGUUGAUUAAAAUCUUAACCAAAUUUAUGCACUUUUUCUUUAAUAAAAAUUUACCUUCUUUUCUAGUAAUGAUCAACUAAGUAGAUUAGAAGACAAUAGCAAUAUUGAUCAGAAAAACAAGUAUAGAUAAUCAAUGAGAAUUUUAUUAAACAAAAAGUAAAAUAGGAAAUCAAACCAAUUGUCUACCAAGCUUUCCUCAAACCUGAAGACCAAUCACAAGGUUGAGCAACUUCUCUUUGAUGAAAGAUGAUCAACUAGAUGUACAAUGGAGGGAGCACUUCCUCCUUGCCCUAAGCCUCACUUAGUCAAGCUAAGAAGUUUUACAAACACUCAGAUAACCCUCAACAAAGCUACACUAAAGAAACUUUCAACCACAAGAGAAAAGCUAACCAGAAAUUCACACCACUUAGAGAACAAAUCUCACUUUGGAGACUAUUUUCUAGCUAAAAUAUCUCUUGAGAUCUUGUAAACAAAGUGUGCAAAAGUUCCUACUUCGUUCAGACCAGUUUGAUUUUAAAGGGAACCAGAAAUGAGCUUCAUCAAUGCUUCCAACGGAUAGAAAGCAGCUGAAGAGUCAACUAGCCGUUGGGGCUGUCGGACGUCCGACGAUCAAAUCAUCGUCCGAACCAAUCGUCCGAUGACAGCCAAGUUGAAGUUCGGACGUCCGAUGCGUUUGUUUCGUCCGACAGCACAGCGUCCGAUCGUAGGCAGAGAGUUGGCAAGUCAUCUUGGAAUUUUUCGGACGUCCGAUGCGGUUGAUGUGCGUCCGAUGGCAAGCGUCCGAUCCUUCCGGACGUCCGAUGCUUCCUUACGAGCGUCCGACAGAGAUUCCUUCUUGAUGUUCUUUAUCCUUUCGGACGUCCGACAGAUUCCUUUCGGCCGUCCGACAUGAUUGUCCUGUUUUUGCUUUUUCUUUUGGUUGUUUUGCAUUUCAUGACAUAUUCGUACCUGAUUCUUUGAUAGGUAAAAACACUUAUAUUUGGAGAAGGUUAGAUAAACAUUUCAAAGUACCGAGAAUAACAAAAUUGACAUACUUAAAAGACAGUAUCUUUGAUCGGAACAAAACAAUGACUAAAUUUGUUUAUAUUAUUCCAAUCUUGUUUGCCACAUCCAAAGCAUCGUAGUGAACAAAUGCUUUCUUUGUUCCAUCAGGCCUGAUCAAAGUGUUCACUUUCUUGGUCUGUAUAAACAUUUCAAAGAACUUUUGUGAUCAUCAAAACCAAGAAUAACAUAAGACAACUACCAACUAAGCUAACAAGUAUGAGAUCAUUCUUUCACUUCAAACGUACAAGUGAACAAGGUAACUUCAUGGUCCAUCAAAUCUUCAAACUUAGCUUGCUCCUUGCUUGUAUGGUGAAUGAUCAAGGCUUGUAAAGCUUCCUUCACCUUCUUGGAUCUUAAUCUUGUCAUUGGACCACCAAUGUUAACCAAAGGAUUCUUGACCCAAGAUUGAAGUUGCUGCACACCCGUAUUCGCAUCAUAAGUUUAGAAAUAUUCCUUCAUGAUUUUAUAGUUUCUUAAUACUUAUUAUCAUAUGCUAAACGAAGAAUUGAGCUAUCAAACCUUAAAUUUAAAAAUUUUCAGUCACAAAAGAUUUUAAAUUUUAGAUCUAGAAAACACAUUCUUAGAUGAGGAUAUCUCAAGCUUCUUCGGGGAUAAAAUCAACUAUGCAAUAUGGCUUACAUGUCAAUGCCUCUGACUUUUGGAAUGGAGUAUUGUUUUAACAUAAUAAAAAGAGUCCUCCCUAUGAUGAAUAAGUUUCCACUUUGUUUUUGCAUUUUAGGAUCAUUCCAUUGACUUUGUGUUAUGCCCCUUCCAUGGUCCCCCUAUAAAAAAAAUAAUAAUAUAGUUGCUAUUUCAAUGUUUCACUUUACGACAACAGAAUGAGUCUAAUAUUGGGAUAUUUUGGAGUUAGAACUUGUCGAAUUUAUUUUUUGGAUUAGGAUCAUUUGUUGCCAGUUAACUUAUUUCCAAUUCCUUCCUUUGGGUGAUAUACAUGGAUGACCAUAUUGCAAUAGAUUGCAUACUGAAUUCCUUUAACUUCAAUUUUUUGGAAAUAGUAGAAUAUCCAAUUUAUCUACUUUUGGUGAAAUUAUGAGUUACCAUGCAAGUUGCUCUAACUUUACAACUUAUAAGAUGCUUUAGAUCACUUUUCUUUGAUACUUAAUAAUAGACAAAAUAUUUAUCAUGCUCCUCUUUUGAGGGAAAAAUGUGGGUUAAGAUUUUGUAUGAAUAUUACAAGUUUUAAAGUUGUCGAGUUUAUCUUGUUUGCUUUGGGAUCAAUCAAUGUCUCCUGACCCAUUUCCAGUUUCCAUGUAUUGGUGCCGAGGUCUAUAGCUAACUGCAAUGGAAUAUAUACUAAGAUUUUAUCGUUAUAACUUCAUGAUUUGGUUGUUGCAGGAGAACUUAGCAAAUCUUGCCAUGGGCGGCAGCAGAAACAAAAUUGCUUUUGGAUAGGGGAAAGAUGCAUUGUGUGUGGGUGGCAGCAGAAACAUCAGUUCAUUUGUGAAAUCAAGGUCUUAUAACAUCUAAUAAGCAAUUGAUAGGUAAUUGACCCCAAAAUUUUCGAAACAAAACGUCCCAAACCAAACAUAACCAUUCGGCUAGUAAAAAGAGAAGGAUUUCUAGAUUUCCAGCUUUGUCACAGUUUGGAAAUUGAACCAUAUCUCACUCAAUACAACUUGAAAUUGAGAAUGGUUGGUGGAGUUGAAAACUAGAUUCAAAAGCUACACUUCAUCAGAGCAAGUCAUUUUCAAAAUCAGUUCACAAGUGAGAGAAAAUAGAGCCACAAGAUGCAGCUUCUACCUUUCUCUCAAACAAACCAUCAGAAUAGGAUAGUAAAUUUUGCGGAACCACUACGGCUCACUCAGUUCGAACUAGAGGGUGAUUUUUAUACCGUUAGAAAGCUACAAAUGUCUAGUUUCAAAUGCCAUAAAUGGCACUCGAUUUUGACCUUUGUACAGAGAGAUAUGUUCGAUCAAAGCACACUGUUUGGAUAGCCAGAACACGUUUUCCAGAUUUCUUCCAAUUCUGAAAUUUCAAGUUUUGCUUAACCAAAUCAAAUAAUUUUUGGUAGACAAUUUCUAUACACAAUAUACAACAUUUAUCAACCAAUUUAACAGUAAAACAAGUACCAAAAAUUCAAAAUAAUCAAUGAGCAACAAGGACAAAUUUUCGGCUAGUUUCAUGCACCAACUUCCUUCGAUUUUUCCUUCACUUUCUAACCAUGUUCACCUCAAAUAACAUAUAAAUAACCACAAUCAACUAAUUGCACCUCAAACUAACUACCUAUAGGCCACCACAAGACCGCUAGCCUAACAUUUAAAGCAAGAAAAAAAAUUUCCUCAAGUCCUCUACCUAGUUCAAGCUUUGGGCUACCAAACCCAUGAAAUCUAAGUUUAAUUCUUGAAGAAAAAUGGAAUGAUUGCAAGAGUUGUUAGUUACCUUCUUAGUUCUUGAAGAGACCAGAAAUUUCACCACAAAAACUCCAAGAAAUUUCCACUAAAUGAUGUCCUCUUCCAAGCUCAAGCUAAUCUCCAAGUGGUUUUGAAGUGGGUUGCAAAGUUAGAAGUGAAAUGGAGCAAGAAUGAACAAGAUGGGGUGGAGCUUUCUUUCCUUUGUAAGGCCCGAAGACAAUCUAAGUGGGGGGUGAAUUAGGUUGAUUAUAAAAUAAUCAAGUUAUGGGCACUUUUUGCUCAAUAUGAAAUUUAUCCUCUUUUCUAAGUGAUCACGCAAUGAAUCAAUCAAUGAAUCAAUAAUAUCACUUAAGAGAAGUAAAAGAUAUAAGAAAUUUAAAGAUCACAAAAUAACAAUAAAUAAAUAAGAAGGGAAGAAUUGCAAACCAAUUGACUAUCAAGCUCCUCUUGAACUUGUAGAUCAAUUCAAACAAGUUUCUUCAAAUUGAUAAAUACAACUAAUCUUGUGUACAAAGGAAGGUUCACUUCCUCCUUGCCCCAAUCUCCACUUGGUCAAGCUAGGAAGUUUUACUAUCCCUUAGGACAACCCUCAUAGAACUACACUAUUGAAAUAUUCACUCACAAAUGAAAAGCUUACAAUGAACUUCACACCACCAAAACUACAAAUCUUCCUUAGAGAGUGUUUUCUCACUAAAACUACUCUAUAUCUUUUGUAUCUUUAGUGUGCAAAAGUUGUUUGAAAUUUCUGACCAUACUUUAUUUAAAGGAGACCAAGAAAGUGCUUCAUUAAUGCUUCCAACGGAUAGAAAGUAGCUAAAGAGUCAACUAGCCGUUGGGAGUAUCGGACGUCCGGUACAUCCGAAACAUGCGUCCAAUAGCAGGAUGAAUUUGAAAAAUCUUUUUCAAUUCUAUUGGAUGUCUGGUGUUUGCGUCCGAAAGCAAACAAUGAGUUAGAAGGAAUAUCUCAAUUCUAUAGGACGUCCGGUAUUGUUUUUGUGAGCGUCCGACAGCUUUCGUUGAGUUUGAAGGAUCCUAUCGGACAUCCGAUACUUGCAUUCGAUCGAGGUCAGUGAGUUAGGGGGAAUGUCUUAAUUCCUUCGGACAUCUGGUGAUGGAAUUCUUCAUGCGUCCGAAGUUGCGCAAUGAUUAUCGGACGUCUGAUCCUGUUUUCACAAGCGUCCGACAGUUUUCAGCAACCUUUGUUUCUUUCAAUUGCACUUGAUCUUUGAAUCUGAUUUGCUUCAUAACUGAAAGUAUAUCUUGAAGAGAUAUUAGUAUCAUCCAUUUGUUUUGUAAACAUCAAAAGCUAGGGACUACGAUCAACAUCCUUUAUUUUUCUUGAGGUUCGCUGAGACUAUGGAGAAGAGAGAGAGAGGGUUUUGUUUUGUGAAGCUUCCUUUGGAAGCUUAAGGAAUUUUGUGGCAAAAAGGUGUUCAAAAGUCAACUAGGAAUAGUACGCGUAUAAUGUCCCGAACUACCACUUUUCUCUCUUAUUUGUUACACUUGUUCACUAAUCUUCAAAUAUAAUUCCUUUAACACUAUAAUUAUUGUAACGGCCCCACCUCCCCCUAAGGCGAACCAAAGGGUUUGGCGAGUCGCCUGCCCGGCUCUCGCCGGGACUCAGUCGUUCCUUAAUCAAAUCCAGAAUAAAUCACAAGAAUAAAUAGGGCAGCAAUCCAAACUUAAAGCGGAACUUAUAUAUAUUGCUAUCUCAAAAGGAAGUACAGCCAUCAAAUGUACAAAGGUUCUCACUUCACCAUACAACCAGCCCGUGCCAAGCACUAGGGCGAGAACCAUUACAAAAGAAACAAAAUACCUAGACUAGGCUAGUCUAUGCUCUCAUCCUGCUCGCUGUCCCCUGUUAAGGAAAACAAAACUAAAGGGGUGAGCUAAAAGCUCAGUGAGGUUCCGAACAGAUAAUCAACAAUCAAUUCAAUACAUUAAACAUGGAGUAUUAAUAAUUCAAGAAACAUUUACAAUGGAAAGCGAUAGUAACAUUCAUUAAAAGGAUACGGGCUCACAUGGAGCUAUUCGUUUGUUCGGUCGUUCCCCCUGACAUUUCCCCUUAUUCCUCCAAUCAUUUGAAAAUACAUUUUUUGUAAGUAGAAUCCCUCGUUCAUCCUUUUGUUCGUUCAUCCCCUUUUCCGGACGUUGACCGGACUCCACCCAUCCGGACAUUGGCCGGACUCCACCCAUCCGGACGUAGCCGGACUACAAGGUAAUACUCGAGUAUACCAAAUUCACCCAGGGUCACCAUAUCGCCCGACCGAGUCCGCUUCUGGCUCGAGUCGAUCGGUAACGAAGGGCAGGGCCCAAUUCAGCCAAAAGGCUUACAUCAUGCGCAACUAAUGUUUCCAUCAUUAAAUCAUUGAAAAUUUCACGUUUCAUUAAGGUCGAGCACGAUAAAGUACACGCUCGCCUAGAAAACUCGUUUUAGAAAUCCUUGAAAGCACUUAACACAUUAUCAAACAACAACAACAAGUCAUGAAGUCCGGGAGAAUAUAACAAACAAGGAACACUCACCUAGAUAUGCAAAAUAACGUGCAAAAUAUCCUUCCGAAUAUUGCCCUUAGUCACCAAUGAAACCUAAGGUUGAACAAGAGAACAUAUUACAGUUUAUCGAGCAAAACAUUUAAGGGAAACAAAGAAACCCGACUAAUUAGGAGUAAAACGUGUAAAAAUGACUUUCAAGUAAGAAGAGGGUUGUUUGAACCCCAGGAUGAAAAAUCAUGUUUUAAAAUGGAAAACCGGUCAUGGUAUUGGCCAAACAAAAGUAUACAAGUUCAAAUAGAAACCUAGCCCUCGAGCGAAAAUUUGGGCAGCACGCCCUUUGUGUUUACCUAAUUUUCCAGCCAUUUUGGCUUCAUUAUUUUUCCUCAACCACAACCCAACAUCACUCAUAAGCAAUUCAAGUCAAGAGCCGUUCCAUAGGCUCACAAUAUCAUAAGAAUAAGAAUUACCACAAUCACAAGUGCAGAAAUUCAACUUAGCACAAGACAGAUUCGACGUACGAAUGCGGAAAUAACAUAUCCGAAGUUACGCUUAUCGGAUUGAGACAAAACCUAUGCCGUUUCGAAGCUAAGACACAGAGUUACAACAUUCAUGAAGGUCACUUAGUCCAGUUCCUAAUGUAACUUAGUCAAAUUCUCAAAUUACUAAACCAGAAACCAAUUCGUCGGCUGUUUAAACGCAGAACACUGUAAUGGACAUAUCUCAGAGUACACAAGUCCGAAUCAGGUGUUCUUAGAGGCAUUUGAAAGCCAAUUCAGAAUACUACAACUUUCAUGUUUUGGCAAAAAGCUAAAUCAGAAUGGAUCCUAGUCGAAAAACGUGAUAAACUGGACUUAACUGAUCACACGGACUGCUUGGGAAAUACUUAAAACAGUAAGGGUAUUUUGGACUUUUCACGUCUUACGUUGCUCCGAUUGAGCUGAAAUUUUGUAGGAACCUAUAAAAUACCAUUCUAUACAACUUUCCUUCUUUGACCUAAGGCCAAUUCGGCCUCUAACAUAGGGAUUCAAAUUCGGACAGAAUAGGAUGAAAAUUUCCAGAAAUCUGAAAUCUUUUGGUUUCAAUGAUAGUUUUCUUAAUUUCUUGCUACAAUUGCUACCAAAACCCCCUAUAUAACCUUAUAUACAACAUAUACUAACUAUACAACAAGUUUAGGCAGAAAUUAAUCAAACUCUAACUUACAUAUUUCAUCCAAAAAUCACCACAACAACUUGCAUCACUUGUAAUCAAACCCAAAACAUGGACUAUUUAACAUCUUAAACAAGAAUAAAAGGAUCAAAGCCAUAGAUCAGAUUUUAUACCUCAAAAAGAAGGCUUGCAAGAGUGAUCCUCCACUAUUUCUUGAAGUUUUUGGUUCCCUUAGCUUCCCAAGCUUCCAAACUUACAAUCAAUCGGUUUAGAAUUCGAUUUUAGCACUUGGUUGGUGUAAAUCAAGAAAGAAUUUGUUUUCUCUUGCUCUCCCUUUCUCUCUCUCUUGCUUGGCCAAGACCAGAAAAAAUGAAGAAGAAAGAUGGCUGAAGUGAAGGAUAAAAAGGCAAGAAAAAAAAAUUAAUUAAGGAGCCAUGAGGUGGUGACACUUGGCGCCACCAAAGCCAUGCAAAUUUUUCUCUCUCUCCCUUACAUUUUUGGCCACAAAUUUCGGUCAAAGGCAGCUGGAAAUGAAGGAAUAUUUUGCUCAAAUAUCAAUAAGCUCAUGUGGUAAGAAAGUGGUGGUCCAGUGGUGUGUUCAAUCGGUAGUGUGCGGUACACGUCGGUUCACACCGUUUUUCUUUAAAACACCCGUACUAGGGUUUUUACUUCCUAUUCACUAACCUUAUAUCAUUGCUCCUAAUCACAUAUUAUUUCUCACUUAAAAGUCACUUUUAAUCACCAAAUUUGAUCCUCGCUCCGUACCGAAAAAUGAUCCGGCGAAAAUCGUGAAAACCCUAAUUUGCUCCAAUUUUGAAAACGAAGAGUGAAACCCUACUUUCUAGAUUCAUUUGCACUUAUUGGAGAAUGAUUGGGUAGUAGGGCUAUAAUAAAGGAAUAAUUUCUAAAUAAAAAGGCAUUUUUGAGAAAAAUAUAAGAAAUUUGCGAGUCCUCACAAUUAUUCACACUUUGUAGUCUAGUAUAUGUUCCUUAAAUUUCCAUUUAAUCGUUUGACGCGAAGUAUGCGAAUAUUCGAUUCGCGCGCGAUAAGGAGAAAUUUGAAAACGAUUCAUGUAAUGAUAAUGUAAGUCCCAACGACAACCAAGAGGGGGGGUGAAUUGGGUUGAUUAAAAUCUUAACCAAAUUUAUGCACUUUUUCUUUAAUAAAAAUUUACCUUCUUUUCUAGUAAUGAUCAACCAAGUAGAUUAGAAUACAAUAGCAAUAUUGAUCAGAAAAACUAGUAUAGAUAAGCAAUGAGAAUUUUAUUAAACAAAAAGUAAAAUAGGAAAUCAAACCAAUUGUCUACCAAACUUUCCUCAAACUUGAAGACCAAUCACAAGGUUGAGCAACUUCUCUUUGAUGAAAGAUGAUCAACUAGAUGUACAAUGGAGGGAGCACUUCCUCCUUGCCCUAAGCCUCACUUAGUCAAGCUAAGAAGUUUUACAAACACUCAGAUAACCCUCAACAAAGCUACACUAAAGAAACUUUCAACCACAAGAGAAAAGCUAACCAGAAAUUCACACCACUUAGAGAACAAAUCUCACUUAGGAGACUAUUUUCUAGCUAAAAUAUCUCUUGAGACCUUAUAAACAAAGUGUGCAAAAGUUCCUACUUCGUUCAGACCAGUUUGAUUUUAAAGGGAACCAGAAAUGAGCUUCAUCAAUGCUUCCAACGGAUAGAAGCAGCUGAAGAGUCAACUAGCCGUUGGGGCUGUCGGACGUCCGACGAUCAAAUCAUCGUCCGAACCAAUCGUCCGAUGACAGCCAAGUUGAAGUUCGGACGUCCGAUGCGUUUGUUUCGUCCGACAGCACAGCGUCCGAUCGUAGGCAGAGAGUUGGCAAGUCAUCUUGGAAUUUUUCGGACGUCCGAUGCGGUUGAUGUGCGUCCGAUGGCAAGCGUCCGAUCCUUCCGGACGUCCGAUGCUUCCUUACGAGCGUCCGACAGAGCUUCCUUCUUGAUGUUCUUUAUCCUUUCGGACGUCCGACAGAUUCCUUUCGGCCGUCCGACAUGAUUGUCCUGUUUUUGCUUCUUCUUUUGAUUGUUUUGCAUUUCAUGACAUAUUCGUACCUGAUUUUUUGAUAGACAAAAACACUUAUAUUUGGAGAAGGUUAGAUAAACAUUUCAAAGUACCGAGAAUAACAAAAUUGACAUACUUAAAAGACAGUAUCUUUGAUCGGAACAAAACAAUGACUAAAUUUGUUUAUAUUAUUCCAAUCUUGUUUGCCACAUCCAAAGCAUCGUAGUGAACAAAUGCUUUCUUUGUUCCAUCAGGCCUGAUCAAAGUGUUCAUUUUCUUGGUCUGUAUAAACAUUUCAAAGAACUUUUGUGAUCAUCAAAACCAAGAAUAACAUUCUCCCCCUUUUUGAUGAUGACAAAACAAAAGUUUGAAAUGAAAUUUGAUGAUUGCAGUAUAAGCUCCCCCUUUCUCAAGAACUCCCCCUUACUUAGUGGAUCAUAAAAUUUUGAAAAUUUUGAAAAACUCCCCCUCACUUGGCUACCCAACCGAUUUAAACAAUUUUCCAAAAAUAUGACAGCCAAUCCAAAAAUAUCAGCCAAUCCGAAUUUAAACAAUCAAUCCAAAAAUAUGACAAUCAACCGAUUUAAACAAUUUUCCAAAAAUAUGACAGCCAAUCCAAAAAUAUCAGUCAAUCCGAAUUUAAACAAUCAAUCCAACAUAUCCAACAUCACCAAUCAUCAAUCAUCAAUCAAUCCAGUCCUCUCCCCCUUUUUGUCAUCACAAAAGGGCAACCAAUCACAUCCAACACAUCCACAAACACAUUCAUCAAUGCAAACCAAAUUCAUUGCACCAAAAUACUUAAACAUCCAUAAACACAGUCAUCAUUCAAAAUACUUAACAUAAAUAUACAGUACCAACAAGAAAAACAUUACAAAUGUUGAACAUUACAAACACAUAAAAUAGACAAACAGAAUGCAAAUGUCCUAAAUAGUGAACUAUGUGGAUCCAGGUGUCCUCCGAGAGAGCUGAUAUUGGUCGAGAUCCUCCUCUUCAGUUUCUUCAUCAUCUUCAGCAGCCUUUUCAACUGGUGCCUUGCCUUUAUUUGAUGUGGAAGUGCCAUGAGGAGUCACAGGGGUUGAUGAACCAGGGUCUGGAAUUGAUGAACUCGGAUCAGUGGGGCGUGACUCUUUGUCAUGGGAAACUUCCUCAACCACAGGGGGGGAAACAGGAGGUUCUUUUUGUCUAGGAAGGCAGUUUGUUGCUCAGAGGACAUAGUGAGCAUUAAACCAUGUUCUAGAAGAAGAACAUGCUGUUUGAGUUCACGAAAAAGCUCAAUUACUUCAUCACUGGAAAAGGAAGAUGCUUUAGUGGCAGACUUCCUAGGGUGAAUGGGAGUGAGUGAGAUGAAUGAAGGAUCAUGUAUAGUCUUAGACCUCUGUUCACUAGAUGAUGCCCCCUUAUAUGCCCACAGAUUAUCUUUAAAAACAAGAAUUUUCCUUUCAAAAUAUGCUUUGGUAAAGGCAUAAGAAGAUGCUUCUUUGGGACAAACACCUAGAAUGGGAACUUUGUAAAACUCAAAUAUUUUUUGAAGAAACUUUCCAUAAGAUAAUUUUCUACGAGAAUCAGUGGCGUAGCGAAGUAAAAACUUGCACAUGACAAAACCAAAAUCAAUACGAAUUUUUUCUCGAAAACAAUAAAUGAGAUACAACUCCAUUUUGUUUGCAUCAGUUCUGUGGCCAUCAGUGGGUACAAGCAGGUUUGAAAUGAUUGAAAAAGCGAUUAAAUUCACAGGUGCAAGAUCAUUCAGUUUAGCAUCAGUAGGGGAGGAAAAACUUCUUUUAAAAUAAGUCAACAUUUUAGCCCCAUCAAAAUAGUUAUCAGCAGUAGGGAGUUCUUCAUAGGAAAAGAAAUUGGCAAUUUUAUCUUUGCAUGAACGUUCAAUGGUGGUAUUUAAAAUGGAAUUCACAGUUUCAGAAUCAAAGAUUAGGUCUAUCCCAUUUACCCUGGACAUGAUCUCAGUUUGGUCAGUUCCUUUCCUAAGAUUGGCAAAAAAUUGAUGCAGCAUAUCAGGGUAAUAGACAUUGGGCAUAGAAAUGAGAUGUGACCAUUUCUGGAAAGCAAAUAGACUCAGAAUGGAUUCUAAACCUAUGGAGCGAAAUUCAGAAGGGUUUACAGUUCGCUGAGGGAUGACACCUUUCUGGGAUAUCCAGGAGUAUUUGUCUUUCGCAGCAUCAUCAAAGAAUGGAGGGAGAGGGGCUGAUUUAGGAGGCGGUUGAGAAGAGGUCCCCUGUCCAGAUUCUGGUUGAGAAGUGGGUUGUGGAGUAGGUCGUGACAUUUGACCCUUUAUGGCUUCUCUCUUGAAGCGCUUGGAUGAUCGUUUGACUGUAGGGAGAUCCUCAUCCUCAUCCCUGAGUGAAAGCUUGCGUCCGGCAGUAACCUUUCCUCCUCUAAGAUUCACCAUUGUGCGAAAUGUGUGGAAUGAAAGAUGCAAAUGAUGCACACAGCAGUAGGGAAGUGAAUCGCACAGAAAUUUUGGGACAAAAAGGCCUUGAUCAAGAGUUGCCAGAGCAGUUAUGAAAGAGUAGGGUUUUGAGGAAAAUUUGGGAAUGUGCGAAGUGAUAGAUGAUUCUGUGAAAUGAUCAGGAAAAAUGACUCGCAAUUGAUCAGGAACUGUUUUGGUUGAGUCAAUUUGGGAAUGGGGGCUUCAGAAUGAUAUGAAUUUGAGAGUGAGAGACAAGAGGGUUUUCAUCCGAGAGGAAAUAAAAUGGGAAGAGUCUGAAGCAAAUGAGGAAGAAAGUUGUUUUUAAAAAAUGAGCCGUUGCACUGUCGGACGGCCGAACGAAGUUGUGCGUCCGACAGUUGCGUCCGAACAGGUGCAAUCUGGAAAAUGGCUGAAGAACAUCAUCGGACGUCCGUUCAUCCUCUUUCGGACGUCCGAAAGAAAGAAAGACUUAAGCUGAUUUUUCAAUUAUCCCUAAUUUUGAUCUUAGAUGAAUGAACUGAUCUAAUGGCAAAGCUUUUGUAAAUAUAUCAGCAAAUUGAUCUUUAGAACAAACAUAAUUUACACAAAUUUCGCCUUUUUGAACAAGAUCACGAAUAAAGUGGUGCUUUAUAUCUAUAUGCUUAGUCCUAGAAUGUUGAAUGAGAUUUUUGGUCAGAUUUAUGGCACUAGUAUUAUCACAGAAUACAGGCAUGCAGUCAUACAACAAUCCAAAAUCAUUCAAAGUAUGCUUCAUCCAUAAAAGUUGAGCACAACAUGCACUAGCGGCAAUAUAUUCCGCUUCGGUUGUAGACAAAGAGAUUGCAUUUUGUUUCUUGCUAAACCAAGAGACUAAACAAUUUCCAAGAAAAUGACAAGUUCCACUAGUACUCUUUCUAUCCACACGACACCCUCCAAAAUCAGCAUCCGAAUAACCAUAUAGUGCAAACUCAUUAGAUCUAGCAUACCAAAGACCAUAGUCUAAUGUACCUUUCAAAUACCUAAAAAUUCUUUUUACAGCAUUCAAAUGUGAUUCUUUUGGACAAGAUUGAAAUCUAGCACAUAAGCAAACAGCAAACAUAAUAUCAGGUCUACUCGCGGUUAAAUAGAGUAGGCUUCCGAUCAUACCUCUAUAAUGCUUUUCAUCCACAUGAUUACCUUCUUCAUCUUUGUCAAGCUUUGUAGAAGUGCACAUUGGAGUUCCAACUUGCUUUGAGUCCUCCAUUCCAAACCUUUUCAGCAAUUCCUUGGUAUAUUUUGCUUGAUUUAUAAAAAUUCCCUCAAGAGCUUGAUGUAUUUGAAGUCCAAGGAAGAAAUUUAAUUCUCCCAUCAUACUCAUUUCAAAUUCACUUUGCAUAGUGGUGGAAAACUCCUUACAUAGAUACUCAUUAGUAGCACCAAAAAUAAUAUCAUCAACAUAUAUUUGCACAAUAAGAAGGUCAUUCAACACUUGCUUAGUAAAAAGUGUGGUGUCCACAACACCCCUUUUGAAACCAUUUUCAAUCAAAAAACCACUUAGUCUUUCAUACCAAGCUCUUGGAGCCUGUUUUAGACCAUAUAAAGCUUUAGAUAGUUUAAACACAUGACUUGGAAAUUUUGUAUUUUCAAAACCGGGGGGUUGAUCCACAUAUACUUCUUGAUCAAUAAAACCAUUUAAAAAAGCACUUUUAACAUCCAUUUGAAACAAUUUGAAGCCUUUAAAGCAUGCAAAAGCAAGAAGCAUUCUAAUAGAUUCUAAUCUUGCUACGGGAGCAAAUGUUUCAUCAAAAUCAAUUCCUUCUUCUUGUGCAUAUCCUUUAUCAACUAAUCUGGCUUUAUUUCUUACAACAACACCUUUAUCAUCCAACUUAUUUCUAAAAAUCCACUUUGUGCCAAUGAUAGGUUGAUUUUGAGGUCUAUCAACAAGUGUCCAAACUUCAUUUCUCUCAAAUUGAUUAAGUUCCUCUUGCAUAGCCAAAAUCCAGUUUUCAUCCUUUAAAGCAUCAUUGAUAUUUUUGGGUUCAAAAAGAGAAACUAAAGCAAAAUUGUCAAUCAAUUUUCUAGAUGUGGAACGAGUGUUUACCUUCUCGAAUGGAUCACCAAUUAUAAGCUCUUUUGGAUGAUUUUGGCUGAAUUUCCAAGCCUUGGGAAGAUCUUUGAGUGGAUCAUAAUUUUUGUCUUCAUCUUCCUCUUCUUGAUCAUUAUGAACUUCAUUUUCCAUUUCAGUUGCUGCUGGUUUAGAGCUUCCUUCAUUUCCAAUUGAUAGCUUUUCCAUUCCUUCUCGAACACCUACAUCAUCAUCCUCACACGAACUUUUGGAAUUAUCAUCAUUGGUUUCAUCAAAUGUUAUAUGUAUAGCUUCUUCAAUCACAAGAGUCCUUCUAUUAAAAACUCUAUAUCCUCUUUUAUUCUCACAAUACCCCAAAAAUAUUCCUUCAUCAGAUUUUUUAUCAAACUUACCAAGAUGUUCCUUCAGAUUCAAAAUAAAGCAUUUACAACAAAAUACUUUGAAAUAACCAACCGUAGGUUUCUUAUCAAAAAUCAGCUCAUAAGGAGUUUUCUUUAAAAUAGGUCUCAAGAGUAUUCUAUUCAUCACAUAACAUACAGUGUUUACCGCUUCAGCCCAAAGAUAUUUAGGCAACCUACAUUCAUUCAACAUAGUUCUAGCAGCCUCUUGGAGAGUCCUAUUUUUCCUUCCAUAAAUAGGUAACAACUAAUAAAAUAUGACAAAUAAUAACAAAUAAAAGACAAAUAAAAAGGUAACAACUAAAAUGCAGACAAUCUAAAACAAAAUCAUGAAUUAGAUGCAACAUACAAAUUAUUUAAAAAUUUGGUGUCUACAGUUUGCCCCUCUUUGUUUGAGUUUUGAAAAAACUUGAGACAAAGAAGUAGACACCAAAUACUUACCUGUGUUAUUCGGCUGCAAAAUGAUUUGAACGGACAGGAAUUUUAAAAACGGGACUGACCCGAACAUGAAACUAAACGGGACUGACCCAAAUAAAAAUUUAAAAAAACGGGACUGACCCGAACAGGAAUUUAAAACGGGACUGACCCGAACAGGAAUUUAAAACGGGACUGACCCGAACAGGAAAUUUAAAACGGGACUGACCCGAACAGAAAUUUAAACGGGAUUGACCCGAACAGGAAAUUUAAAACGGGACUGACCCGAAAUUUGAAUUUAAAACGGGACUGACCGAACAAGACUGACCCGAACAGGAAUUUAAAACGGGACUGGACAGAAAUUUAAACGGGCCCGAACAGGAAUUUAAAACGGGACUGACCCGAACAAGAAUUUAAAACGGACUGGCCCGAACAGAAAUUUAAACGAACGGGAAAUUUGACCCGAACAGGAAAUUUAAAACGGGACUGGCCCGAACAAGAAUUUAAAACGGGACUGGCCCGAACAGGAAUUUAAAACGGGAUUGGCCCAAACAGAAAUUUAAACGGGAUUGACCCGAACAGGAAAUUUAAAACGGGACUGACCCGAACAAGAAUUUAAAAACUGGCCCGAACAGAAAUUUAAACGGGAUUGACCCGAACAGGAAAUUUAAAACGGGACUGACCGAACGAACAGGAAAUUUAAAACGGGACUGACCCGAACAAGAAUUUAAAACGGGACUGGCCCGAACAGGAAUUUAAAACGGGACUUCACUGGGGAAGUUUAAACAAUGAAUUGAGUUUUUUUUUUACCUGAGAAUAGUUCAACUUUUGUACCAAGAGGGAAAUUUGGAUUUCUGUGACUGAAACGAUAGCUGAUGCUGUUUCUUAUGAUCGAGUCUUGCAAAUAACAUCUAUCCUUGUUUACUGGGAAGCUUUGUCUGACAUCAGUUUAGGUGCCAAAAAGAGAGUGACUGCUUUUGUUUGUGAAUGCAACAUUCCUGCAAGAAAAGAAGAAAUAAUGGACUUGCCACCAUUGUUUGAUCCGGUUUGCCUUGAGAAUCGUGUAAACAUGAGUCUUGUGAUGCUUUUAUUUCGGCUCGGCGGCGUCUGCCUUAGUCGAACUUGAAACCUUUCAAUUUCUGAGACUGAUAAAAUACGGAUUUACCACGUCACCCAAUCCAGGUGGUAGCUUUGUUGUAUGUUACUCCCUGUAACUGAUGAUUGAAUCCCCUAUCUUUGCACAAACCUUAGGGUUUAUCAUUCAUUUGAAUUCAAUGGUGCAAGAAUGAUGCAUGAAAAUUAGUCAUAUAAAAUCAACGUAUAUGCAAGAUGAUUUCCUAUGUUAAGCAAAAAUGAGCAUGCAAAAGAAUGUAUACAAUCAUAAGCAUUCAUACACAAAUAAUUGAGAACAACCAAGAGGUUUAUAAAGAUACAUUUUGCAAAAGAAUAUUUGUAAAGAAUAAUACAAAUUUAGCCGAUGAAUAUCAUAUUCAAGACUUUGGAUAUUUUCUCUUUGGAACCCGAUAUUGGCAGAAGUAUCACAAAUAUGAGGAAAACCCUAAAUGCACCAGGUCACCAGCUGUUCCUUCUUGAGCUUGUCUGUUGAGAAAACCUACCUUGGCGCCCUUUCGGGUUUUCACCAAGGUUGCCCCCACCCUUUUUGUUGUUUUUUCCUUUUUUUUUUCUUUUCUUUUUUCUUUCUUUUUUUCUUUUCUUCUUCUUUUUUUCUUUUCGAGGCGCCCUUUCGGGUUUUCACCUAGAGAACCAUGAAAUAUCUCGACCAUUAUCGACUCAGAAAUAUGAAUUGAAGAUUUCUGGCAUCAGUAGAAUGCAUUCCCCUUGUGAGAUUAGGCGAAAGCAUUAUAGACAUCACCUGCCAGUUGAUUAACAAAUUUCCUAAUAGAGAUGCAGCAAGUGACGAAAAUCAGGACUUUGGGCUUUUGUAAUGAGGUCCGGUGGGGUGUUUUUCAAGAAAGGUUGAGGCUUGAAAGCAGAUUUGAUACGAGGGGUGAAAUAACUUGAGAUUGCACCCUUUUGAAAACAACUCCGAAACUGAGGAAAAUUUGCCCCAGUUUGAUCAGUUUUUCUCGCUUUGCGUUUUUCAUUGUAUUUUCCUCACUUUUUGCAUUUUUCUUUGAAAACUAAAUUUGCCCCAGUAUAGGGUUUUCUUUUUUCUUUUUCUUUCUUCUUUUUUUUUUUUCUCAAAAAUAAAUUUGCCCCAGUGUGGGGUUUGCAAUUCUCAAGGGUUAUGGUUAUCAAAUGAAAUUUGUCAAUUCUGAUGGCUCAAAGGGGACAAGUAGAGAUAAAAAUGUUUUUAGUGUAAAAGAAGAUGGCCUGACUUGCAUUUCGCCAUUUGCAUGAAUUUCUAAAGAAAAUUUGCAUGAUCAAAUGAAAAACUUUUUGCACAUAUCUGAGUUGAUGGGUUGAGGGAAAACCCGUCCAUCCAUUUCCGCCAAAAUAAGAGCUCCGCCAGGUAAUACCUUUUGGAUAAUGAACGGCCCUUGCCAAUUUGGAGCGAACUUGCCUUUAGCUUCAUCUUGCAUUGACAAAAUUCGCUUCAGUACCUUAUCACCUUCUUCAAAUGCCCGCCGAUGGACUUUUUUAUUGUAAGCUCGGGCCACACGUUUUUGAUAGCAUUGCCCAUGACAGAUAGCAUUGAAUCGUUUCUCAUCUAUCAAAGUCAAUUGCUCAUGGCGCUGCUUGAUCCAAUCGGCCUCCUCCAAUUUAGCUUCCAUAAGGAUUCGUAGUGACGGAAUUUCAACCUCAGCUGGUAAUACAGCUUCCAUCCCAUACAUAAGUGAAUAUGGCGUUGCCCCAGUCGAUGUCCGAAUAGAAGUCCGGUACGCCAUCAAUGCAUAAGGCAACUUUUCAUGCCAAUCGCGAUGCUUUUCUGUCAUUUUGCGAAUGAUUUUCUUCAAAUUCUUAUUUGCGGCUUCUACAGCUCCAUUCAUCUGAGGCCUAUAAAUGGCAGAAUUGCGGUGUUUGAUUUUGAACUGCUCACAUAGUCCAUCUACCAUGUCAUUGUUCAGAUUCUUGGCAUUGUCCGUGAUAAGCGUUUCGGGUACUCCAAAGCGACAGAUGAUGUGAUCUCUCAGGAAAUUGGCCACUACCUUCUUCGUGACAUGUUUGAAUGACUCUGCUUCAACCCAUUUGGUAAAGUACUCGAUUGCCACCAAUAUAAAUCGAUGUCCAUUUGAAGCAGGAGGAUCGAUUGUACCAAUCAUGUCCAUACCCCACAUUGAACAAGGCCACGGGGCGGUCAUGCUAUGCAACUCAGUGGGUGGAGCGCGUAUAAUGUCACCGUGCAUUUGGCAUUUUAUACAUCUCCGGACAAAGUCUAUACAAUCAUGCUCCAUAGUAAGCCAGAAGUAUCCGGUUCUCAUGAUUUUCUUUGCUAGCAAAUGGCCAUUCAUGUGAGGUCCACAAACGCCACUAUGCACUUCUUUCAUCAUAUAUUGAGCUUCAUCUUCAUCAAUGCACCUUAAAAGGUUCAAAUCCGAGGUUCUUUUGUACAACACUUCUCCAUUUAAGAAAAAUUUUGAAACCAUUCUGCGCAGAAAGCUCCUGUCUUUCGAACUAGCAUGCUGAGGGUAGGACCCAGUUUUGAGAAACUCUUUAAGAUCAUUAAACCAAGGAGUAGUAUCCGAGGACUCGUCUGCAGCCCAGCAGUGGGCUGGCUUGUUUUGAAGUUGAAUUUGGAUUGGUUCGAUCUUCAAUUCAUCAGGAUACUGGAUCAUAGAAGCUAAAGUAGCCAAAGCAUCGGCGAAUGCAUUCCUGGCUCUCGGGAGAUGUCUAAACUCCAAAUUUUGAAACUGCUUGGCCAAAGUGAGCAGACUACAAUGGUAGGGUAGAAUUUUCGAAUCUUUGGUUAUCCACUGUUUCAAAGUUUGAUGCACGAGCAAAUCUGAAUCACUGAAAGCUAUCAAUUCUUUGAUUUCUAUUUCCAACGCCAUUUUGAGACCAAAAAUGCAAGCUUCAUAUUCAGCCAUGUUAUUCGUGCAAGCGAAUUGCAAUUUGGCAGCGGCAGGGUAGUGCUUCCCUUCGGGUGACACCAAAACAGCUCCAAUUCCAGCUCCGAGAGAAUUCGAAGCUCCAUCGAAGAAAAGCCUCCAUUCAGGACUUUGUUCACUUACAUCAUCUGUAGCGCCUACAAAUAGGACCCUCUCGUCAGGGAAAUAAGUACGGAGUGGUUGAUAAUCAUCAUCCCUUGGAUUUUCCGCCAAAUGAUCAGCUAUAGCUUGCCCCUUGACCGCCUUUUGUGAGGUGAAAACAAUGUCGAACUCUGAUAGAAUUAUCUGCCAUUUCGCCAAACGCCCAGUCAGCAUCGGCUUCUCCAAAAGAUACUUCAAAGGAUCAGACGGGGAAAUAAGAUAAGUGGUAUGGCUCAACAGGUAGUGUCUCAACUUUUGGGCUGCCCAGGCCAAUGCACAGCAGCUUUUUUCAAUGAAUGAAUAAUUAGCCUCGUACUGCGUGAACUUCUUGCUUAGAUAGUAAAUGGCUUGUUCUUUCCUUCCGGAUUCAUCGUGCUGACCUAGAACACACCCUACUGCUCCAUCAAGUACAGAUAAAUACAUAAUCAAAGGUCGGCCCGGUUUGGGCGGCACUAAAACUGGUGGAUGCAACAAAUAAUCUUUAAUCUUGUCGAAAGCCUGUUGACACUCCUCAUUCCAAUACAACGGCACAUUCUUUCUCAAUAAUUUGAACAACGGCUCGCAUGUGGCAGUUAGUUGGCCGAUGAACCUCCCAAUAAAAUUAAUCUUCCCUAAGAAGCUUUUCACGUCCUUCUGAGUUUUUGGCACUGGCAUAUCUCGAAUUACUUUGAUUUUAGCUGGAUCUAUCUCUAUGCCCUUCUUGCUGACAAUGAAACCCAACAGCUUACCCGCAGGUGCUCCGAAGGCGCAUUUUGCAGGAUUUAGCUUCAAAUUGUACUUCCGCAAUCUUUCGAACAAUUUCUUCAGAUCAACCAAGUGGUCCUCUGCCCUUUUAGACUUGAUUAUAAUAUCAUCCACGUAGACCUCCAUCUCCCGGUGAAUCAUAUCAUGAAAUAGGGUUGUCAUGGUCCUCUGAUACGUUGCUCCAGCAUUCUUUAAAGCGAAAGGCAUGACUCGGUAGCAAAAGGUACCCCAAGGGGUAAUGAAAGCAGUUUUCUCCCUAUCCUCUUCUGCCAUCAAAAUUUGGUGGUAGCCAGCAAAACAAUCGCAAAAGGUUUCAAUCUCAUGUCCGGCAGUAUUGUCUAAGAGAAUGUGAAUGUUUGGUAGAGGGAAAUCAUCUUUAGGACUGGCUUUAUUAAGGUCUCUAUAGUCAAUACAAACUCUUACUUCUCCACUCUUUUUUGGAACAGGGACAGGAUUUGAAAGCCAAAUUGGGUAAUGGGAAACAAUGAUAAUGUUGGUUUUGAGUUGUUUUUCAAUUUGCUCUUUUAUUUUGAGGCUUAUAUCUGGUUUGAAUUUUCUGGGUUUUUGUUUUACGGGUGGAAAAGAAGGGUCUGUGGGUAACCUAUGCACCACCACAUCAGUUGAAAUACCAGUCAUAUCAUCAUAGGACCAUGCAAAUACAUCCUGGAACAUGGUCAAGAAUUCAAGCAUCUCCUUUUUCUGCCUUUCAUUCAAAUGAAUACUAAUUUGCACCUCCUUAACCUCAUCCUCAGUGCCAAUGUUAACCUUUUCUGUUUCUUCCAGGUUCGGUUUUGGUUUUUCCUCAUAUUGUUCAAAGUCCUUUGCAAAAGAAUCGAAUACCUCCUCAUUAUCACUCUCGCUUUGGAGCUCGGAUUCACAGACCUCCAAGUCAUGAGUGAUAUAGAGAUUGCCGUUAUUGAAUUCCAGAAUUGUGAUAUCCAAAGGGUCAAAUAAUUUUAUUUUUGGCCAUCUGAAAGAAUUAACGAAUGUGGGAUAAUAAGCAAAUAAGCAUACAACAAACAAAUGGUCAAGCAAUAUAAAUAUAAACAAGCGAAUAAACAACACAACAUGACAAGAAAAACUUGUGCACUUUCCAUAAAGCCUUUGAUUGAAAGCAAAUGGAAAUGAAAACUUAACAAUAUUUACAUGCGCAAAUGUUAGUCAAAAGUAAAAUUGUUUUCAUUGGCUAUUUACAGAUGCAAAAGUAUUUUCAUGAAUUCACAUGAAUGAUAAACCCCUUUCAGUUUACCGAAACUCCUUUCGAAUGGGCAGAGCCUCGGCUGUCCAGUUGGGAAUUGAUCCAUCGAGGAUGUCAGGAAAUUCAGCUUCGCCUGGAACACUAUCUUCAAAUGUUGCCCCAACGAACAAUUGGGCCAAACUUGCUUCAAUUUCGUCAACUGGGUUGAUUUCUGACAUGAUCAUCUCGGCUGGUCGUGGGAAAGUAUAAUGCAGGGGUGGAAUGUCAAGAGCCCUUUGCCUUCCUUCCUUCUCCGCUUUCUUGCGCUCCUUCAUCUCUCUAAUGUCCUUAGUAGUUGGUCGGAAACCCAAACCAAACGAAUCAUUUUUCUCCACAAUCUCCACUGGCUUUAAAAUUCCUUGCAGAUCUCGUCCCAGCCCUUUGUCAAAUUCAUAGCCUCCACGGAUCAUCUCCUUAGCCAUCAUGACACUGGCCUUUGAUAAAGCUCGCUCCUCGUUUGUGAUCCAACUUACAGAUACGAUAUCAGCUGUGCUAUGAGGAGUCAUGGUGACAUUGCGGCUUCCAUCUUCUUUUGACCCAGAAUCGGUGAUUACAAGGCAAUCUUCUUCGGCAAAUAUAGUUAUCAGCUUGUCAUUUACUACAAACUUCAGCAAUUGAUGCAAUGAAGAAGGCACCGCCCCAGACUUGUGAAUCCAUGGCCUGCCAAGCAAAACGUUGUAAACACUAGGAAAGUGCAUGACUUGGCAGGUUAUUUGAAAUUGUGCGGGUCCCAUCUCGAUCACUAAGUCUACUUCUCCUAUUGGCUCUCUUUGUGCUCCAUCAAAACCUCGGACUAUGGUCCCUGAAGGCCUCAGCUUGACAUUUUGGAAUCCUAGCUUUUCCAAAGUGCUCCAGGGACAGAUAUUAAGAGCGGAUCCAUUGUCAAUCAACACCUUCGGCAGCAUUUUUCCGUUGCACCUUACAACUAUGUACAGGGCCUUAUUAUGUCCAAUGCCCUCCGCCGGCAAUUCCUCGUCAGAGAAAGUGAUUUGCUUGGUAAAUAACACAUUUCCAACUACAUGAGAAAAAUUAUUAACUGAAAUGUCCUUAGGGAUUUGAGCUUUGGUCAACACCUCAAUCAGCGCGUCCCUAUGCAUGUCUGAAGAGAAGAGUAGAUCCAACAUGGAUAUCUGGGCAGGCGAUUUACUCAGCUUCUCAACUACAUUGUACUCACUUCUCUGAAGUCUCUUAAGGAAAUCCAAGGCUUCUUUCUCGGUGAUUGUUGGUUUGACGAGCGGCUCGGAGUUAUUUGCUUGAAUCGGAAUGGUAUUUUCAAAUGGACUCGCAACCUUUCCUGAUCUGGUGACCACUGACACUUCCUUUUUUGCAAUUGACUUUUCCCCAAUCUGUACGUCAGGUUCAUCAUAAUUCCAUGGCACUUGUUGCAGGCUUAAAACAGGCUCUUGCUUCGGGAAUUCAAUAACCACUGGCUCCAAAGCCUCACUUUCGGCUGGCGUGAGAUCCAAAAUAAAGGGCUUUUCGUCCUCUUCAAAUGGCAAUUCUAUGACAAAGGGUUGGUCUGUGACCCCAAACACUUCAGCUUCCCUUGUCAAUUCUUUGACCGGUUCCACAUACUCCGUAUCAUCCAGAAUAAUUCCAAUGAUAUUGGCGUGUUCCGGUAAAGGGUUCCUAUUUACGUUCGGCCCUUGCGCCUCCCUUUUCCGGAUUACAAUCUCCCCGGCUUCAACCAUAUCUUGGAUUUUAUGCUUAAGCGCCUUGCAAUCAAAGGUGGCAUGUCCGGGGGCCCCAGAAUGAUAAGCACAGAUAGCUUGUGGAUUAUACCACGCGGGCAUGCCAUAUGGGUAGGUAGGAGGGGGUACUGUACCAAUUUUCCCGGCGGCCUUCAACUGGUCAUACAAUUGGUCCAGAGGCCUGCCUAAAUUGGUGAAUGUACGGCUAGGUGGUCGGUUGUAAGGUUCAGGAGGUUGAGGAUGGUUGUAAACAGGUCUAUUUGGUAGAGGAAAUCUUAGGUUAUAUGGAGGGCGAGGUCGGUUUUGAGGUGGAUUUGGUUGGGAAAUUUGAAAAGGGGCUGAAGGUGGGUUUGGAUAGCUUGGGCGAGGUCGAGGGUGGUGGAUGUUGGUAGUAUAUACAGGAUGCGGAUUUGAGUAGUAAGGGUAAUGGGGUUGGUAGAUUGGGCUGUGUUGGUAUCGGGGUCUGGGUGAAAGGUUUUGGUUCCAAAUAAAUGUUGCAUCCCCCUCUUUCUUUUUGAACGGCGGCUUUUUCACAUUGCUUCCUUGACCUUGUAAAGCAUCCAACUGAGAUUUCAGGGCAGAGACAUUGACAAUCUUCCCGGCUCUCACAAAGUCAUCAAACUCCUCAAGUUUAUUUACAAUUGCAGCAAACGAACAUCCAGUCAUACGGAAAAUCUCUUCAAAAUAUGGAGGAUCAUGCGCCUUUAUGAAUGUGCGAAUAAUUUCAUCCUCAGUCAUCGGUGGCUCCACCUUCGCAGCUAUCUUUCUCCAUCUCUUGGCAUAUGUCUUAUGAUCUUCAGAUGGUCGCCUUUUCGUUCCUUCCAGAGUAGUCCGAGUUGGCGCUAGCUCACAGUUAUACUCAUAUUGUCUAAUGAAGGCAUUGGACAGAUCGAGCCAGGUCUUCACUUCCUCCGACUUUAGGUUGGAAUACCAGUCAAGCGCAUCCCCUUCUAAGCUUUCUGGAAAUAAUCUCAACGGCAAAUUCUCGUCAUCCACUGGCUUGCCCAACUUGUUAGCAAACAAGCGCAGGUGCGUUUUAGGGUUGCUUGUUCCAUCAUAUUUGUUGAAUUUAGGGGUCUUGAACCCCACCGGCAAUUGCACGUUCGGAAACAGGCACAAAUCAUCAUAAUCCAACACCCCUUGUUUGCUUAAACCUUGGCUUUUUCGGAUGAAUUCAUCAAAACGAUCCAAGCGUUUAAGUAGCUUCAUAUCAAUCUGGGUAGACGACUCUCCCAUUUCUGGCUUAUUUUGAAAAGUGUGCUCCGGUAUCACGGGUUCUGCGGUGGUUUGAUAAAAAGCUGGUGGGUUCUGAUGCAUGUUUGGGUCGCUUUGAGGCUGAAAUCCUUGACCAUAAGGAGGGUAGAAAGGCGGAUUUUGAGUAAAAGCAUAUUGUGGGUUAAAAGUUCCCUCACAGGUGGUUUGAAAUGGAGGAAUAACAAAUGGUAACGUGGUCUGACUGGGAGGAAUAACAAAUGGUUCAGAUUGUGGUUGUGUGGCGGGCACAGGCUCAGGUUGCACUCCGCUACUAACGAGUUCGUCGAUCAACCUCUUUUGAGCGGCCAUUUCGGAUGCCAUUUCCCCAAAUUUUGCGAGUAAUUCAGUCAACUGAACCCCAAGACUUGCAGCUUCCGGCUGGGUAGUGGCAACGGCCUUAUCGGAUGAUUCUGGUUGAGUACUCAUGUCUACACGAUUCCUUUGGGCUUUACUUCGGGAUCGCGUAAUAAUGGGGCUUUUCCGAAAAGCUAUUUUGAAAUUUACCUGAAAAUGCAAAAGACUUCUUUAGAUAAACCAAUGAUUACUGAAUUUCUGCAAUUUAAAGAGAGAAAAAAAAAGAGAAAAGAAAGAAAAAAAAAACAUGAGUUAGUAAUUAUUCAAACAAUUCGGAUGCAUGUCCUAUUUUGGGGGCCCUUUUUGUGCCAAGGGUAGGCCUAGCAUGAUGCAACACCUUCGAAAUGGGACCCGUAACACAAACCUGUUUUUGACAAUAAUUCCAAAUGAGGGCAAAAGAAAAAUCAUUUUCAUUGAUAAACUUGCCAAUAUUUACAUCAUAUCACGAAGACGAUUCCGUACAAGAUUACCAAAACUUCUGAACCUAUCUAAUACAGAGUCCUUUGUUUCCCUAGCAUAUGGAAUUCUAACACAUUCAGUUUGGUCAUAUAAUUCUGCACAUUUCCUUUUCAGCUCUUGACGCCUUCCUCGUUCCUUUUCAUACAAUUGCUUGCUUUGCUCGGCCAUCCCUUUGUAUGCUUCGACAGACUUACUUAACUGCAGAAUCUCCUUAUCCCUUGCUUCAAUAAUGGCUUUUAACCUUUCCACCUCCUUGGCUGGCUCAUCUUGUGUUUCUUGUAUGGCGGACCUUCCUAUCCAGUCUUCAUAUUGCGGAGUGGUUAAUCCCCUUUGUUUGAGUUCCGGAAUGUACUUGACGCGUUCGUCAUCGGAUAACGUUUCCCAGGCCUCAUCAAUAAGAGUCUUCAUUGGAAUUUCCUUCGGACAUAUCCCUUUGUCGAAAACGAUGACAAAUGGAGUCAGAUCAACUGCGGGUGGUACAUCUUGGACUCGCCCUAAUUGUCGGAGAAACCUCCUCGGAUUGUAUGCCAUGAUACCCUGAGUACCCCAUAAAGGAACAAAUUCGGAUGCCUUGGUAUGAAGAAUAGGUUUGGUACAAUUGGUCCAAUCCAAUACCCAUCUAACAUUUUGAUUGGUCAUAUUCGUCAAGAAAUCCACAAAUUCGGACGCAUUACACGGCAAAUUGCUGCUAUCAAUCCUCUUAUGAUGUGUGAUUACCCAGUUAUAUCCGGACAUUGGUAGACUCUCGGGAAUAGCCGGUCGUCUCAUGAAGUGUUCCAUCCCCCACACAUGUAAGAUUAAAUUUGAUCCACAAAAGAACUUUCCCCCUCUCUGACAGGUAGAGCAGGCUAUGAAAAUAUCGGCUAGAAUGGUUGGAAUAAUAGAACAGGGCUUAUUAUUGAUUCCUAAAAACAGGUCAUACAUGAUUUUGGUGAGCUUGAAGGCUAUCUUUUUGUCUUUCCUGGGAAAAAGAUAAGUUCCCGCCAUGACUAAUCCAUACACCCAAAGUCUCUUUCUAUACCACAUUUCCUUAGAAGUAAACAAGAAGUCCCCUCGAUGUCUUUCGAAACCAUCCCUUAACGCGAAUCGGUCAAACAAGAAUUUUGCCUCUAUAUUCUGGUCUGACUCUUGUACUACUGACUCCUUUAAACCGGUAAAACGACAAAACUCCACCCUGUCAGAUGCUAAUGGGAAUAUUACAGCGGUUCCCUGAACCGGCAAAUUGAGAAAUCCAGCGAUCUCCUCAAUUGUUAUGGUCAUUUCUUCUUUCCCUAGCCUAAAAGUAGAACAAAUGGGAUCCCAUAAGUGCACCAAAGCCUCUACCAAAUAUCCAUCGGACUUAAUGUCUUUAAAAUCCCCGAUAGGUCCCAAUCGAGUGGAUACUUGAUUAAUCUCGCUUGGCGAAAGUAAUGUGGGCCAUUUUUGCACCUCAACUGGUAUUGCUAACAUCUGUUGGACGCGGCGAGGAUUUCCCAUCUAAGAACGAAAACCGAUGUCAAAUACCUUACCUACGGGUCCCACCCCUCUAGUUAAACAUGAAUUUAAACGUGCAAUUCCCAAAAUAGGGUUAGAUACCCACGGGAAAAAAAAAUUGGCUUAUCCCUAAUAUAGGAUUCCCUAUAUGGCAUUCCCUUUCUAGGGUUUAUGCAUGAUGCCAUUUAUUAAAGCAGUAAAAUAUGCAAUAUGACCUAAAGGACCCUUGAUUUGCCAGGGUAGGCCUAAAAUGACAUGACAUUAUUAUUUAUGCACAAAAAUAUACAAAAACUUCUUAAACGUGCCAUAUCCUAUCUACACGGGUAGGAUUCUUAAAAGAAGGUCAUGCCAGACCUCUUAUUUGCUAGGGUUGUGAAUGCAAAAACAAGAAACAAGGAAAGUUAGUUCCACAUAUAAUCACAUAACACGUUAGAUAAUUAAAUGAUAAAAAACAGGAAAAGUAAAUAAGGAAAAGGAUGGGAUCCCUCCCCUCGUGAAUGGUGUCCCUAAUAGGGUAAUGCAGACUCUACCCUAGGUGAACUAUAUGGAUGCAUGAGGUUGGGGUUCACUAAUGCAUCUAACUCGAUAAGCUCAAGUCCCCAAGCCUUCAGACUUAGGGCCAAGGGUCAUCAAUUCCAUGGCCCUUUGUCGGUGGCUCGAGCGAUUCCCCAAACACCGCUACGCACACGUCGUGUCACGGCCGCAUGUUUGAGUGAAUCUAUAAAAAACCUCAACCUUCGACUAAAAACUAAGGAUAUUAACCCAAAGUUUAAAGCGGAAGAGUGAGUGACCCAUUGGAUCGUGCUACGCACACGUCGUGUCACGAUCACACGUCCAAGUGGGUCUCCUAAUCCUAAUAGGGUGGAGUGGCGUGACAAGCCACUAAAAAGAAAAAUAAAGGGGGAUGAAUAUAAAGCGUAUGCGCGUAUGAUAGUGCACGUUUUGGAGGGGAGGGAUCGAGAACCAAUGCGUGGCUCUAAGGGUGACACACACCCCCCCAAGUGCAAUGACAAGCGCGGUAUAAACAAUUAAACAUUCAUUCAAACAUCCAAUCAUACAUACGUGAGUGAGGGAGCUUGAUACGUGAGCGAAUCAAAAAGUCCUAAAAAAUGAAAAAUGCAACCCUAAUAUCCAAAUGCAAUUCAUAAAAGGGGUAGAAAAAAGGAAAAAGAAUGGUUAAAUAAAAAAUGCUCGGACCCACUUAGGAAGUCCCCAGUGGAGUCGCCAACUGUCGCGCCCCAUUUUUUUGGAAAAAUAAAAUGAUUGUUUUUUGUGAAUUUAUUGAUUUGGGAAAAAUAAAUUUUGUUGAUAAAAAACAAAAAUGGGUCUAAAUGGGACUUUUGAAAAUGCGACGAUUUGACCCAAGAAAAAUAGUUCAAAAAGGGUUUUUAUAUGAAAAAUGGAGUCGCCACUUGGUAUAGAGUUAGGGUGUACCAAGUCACCCAAAAAAAAUGAAUUUUUUAAAGAAAAAAGUAAGAAAACCCUUUUUAAACGACUCCUAGUCCACGUAAAACAAAGAAAAAGGUUCGGGAGUCACAUUUGACGAAGGGAAAGGCAAGGAUAAAAAUCCAAGGCACCCCUUCGACCUAGCCAAGGCUAGUUGCGUGAUUUAACCCUUAUUUUCCUAAUUUUUCUACCCAAAGUAUGUAUUUGCAUUUUGGACAAAGACUAAUGAAUGAGAAAUGCAAUCCUAAAUUCUACGAUGUCUCUCGUGAGGUUUUUGGUCCCAAACCACAUGAAUUGUGGCGGCCAAUAAAGGGAAACCUCAUAGAGGUCGAUUGAUGCAAAUGGUGACUCAAGUGCAAGUGUGCAAGUGUAUGAAAAUCAAAGUGUUUGUGUGUGCAAAUGAAUGAAGAUAGAAUAGUACAUAUAUAAGUGAAACUUGAAUUUCAUUUGUGAAGUAAAGUAAAUAAAUGAUAAAAAUGUAGUGAAAAAUAUGGAUUGAGAAAUGUAAGAAAAAUGUGAUUAAAAGAGUAUGGAAGUGAUAAAAACGAAAGUAUGACCCUAGGGGAAUGCAACAAGUCGGGUACGGGGGUUGACUUCUAACUUUUUGAGGUUUUAAUUUUCCCUUUGAUUAGAAGGAAAAACUAGCGUGCUAAGGCUAUUUUGAAGCCACACUCGCUCGUUUCCCUUACCCAAGGGGGUUUUCACGCAAAUGAACUCUAACUAGCAUGAGAUGCAAGUCCUAAAGUGAAGGGGAAGGGGUUUGAGGAACAUACCAAAUGAUAAACUAAGGAAAAAUGCGUGAUAUGUGGUGAUCAUGCACUUCGUGAAAAAGGAGAAAAAACCUAUUGGGUCUAGCAUUGGACUAGCCCCUCCUAUGAAUUCCGACUAGCGUUGGACUAGUGGAAACGAUAAAAGAAACCACAACUAGCGUUAGACUAGUGUGGUGACGUACAUUCAUCCAUUCCAUUCAUCUAUACUUAAAAAAAACGAGUAGACAUGCAAAUCACUUAAAUCAUGUAGCACUUAUCAUGCUCGACUAAAUGCCAGAUCCUAAUAAAGCAUUUAACAUAUAACACAUAGGCAUGCAACCAUUACAUUUACUAACUAAAACAAAGGGGAAAGGGAAAAUGGACCAAAUUACUUGCUACGCCCUAUCUAUUACAAGCCAAGAGGUGUACACAUACCCCAUUGAUAGAAAUCGAAAGUAAAUGAAAUAAAUGAAAUGAAAUAAGGAGUGGCUAGAAAAGCAAGUAGACAUGCAAAUUUCAAUUAGCACAUUAGUCCACAUAGGAGAGAAACAAAAGAUAAAAGAAAGUUAUACCUCCCCUGUUCGUGAAGCUAAUAAGUGGAAAAGGUUCUAAUUUGAGCUAAAAACCAUUAAACAAAAGAUUAAUGUACCAAUUUAAUAGUAAAUCAAUCAACACAAAUUAUUCAAAAACAAAAGUUAAGGAACCACUAAUAGAUACGAAAUUGAACCAUUGAAGCCUUUCAAAUAAUCAAACAAAUCCAUAUUCGUCAAAUAGGGAUCCAAAUGAAAAAUGAAAAAGACAUUUGAAGGAUCAAAUUGAUGGAUAUUUCAAUUUCUAGAGCCAUAGUGCAACAAAAAGGAACUUGAGGGGUCAAAAUGCAAAUCUUAAAAAAUUAUUUCAUGCAAACUCAUGCAAAUGAACGUGAGAUUGUUUGCAACAAGAAAACAUUUCUGCAAUCAAACUAUCAACCGCAACUUGCAUUCUCACAAGCAAAUAUCAACCUUAAUGCCAAAACUUGAUCAAAACCAUUCAACCAAAAAAAAACAUCCAAACAUACAAUGCAAUUUCAACAUUCAACAAGACAAACCAGAGAAGGAAAAUUGCGCAAAGUGCUAGAAGGUAGCUCGGCAAAAAACUGUUUCGUUCAUUUUUCAAAACUGUCUGGUAAUGGUUCAAGUAUUCAAAACCCAAAAGUGCAAACUCAACACCACUCACCCACUUCCCCUUUAACAUCGGAUUAGGCUAGUAAAAGAUAAAAUAGAAAGAUCAAAACUAGCUUAUGUGGGUUGUUGUGGGAAGAAAAAGAAAGCAGCAAAUUAUGAGGAUGAAAACGCAGCAAAACAAAAAAAAAAAUGCAGCAAGAGUUUCUGAAAAACAAACAAGCAGGUUGCUACAUUUUCCUUCUCAAACUCAGAUUUCUUAAUCACAGCCUUAAGCUAAGCAAGAGACUUCAUGACUUCCAACCACAACAAGCAAGAAACAAUAAAGGAACUGAUGCAAAAGAAAAUUCUGGACAAAGCAUUCAUGCACAAAAAGCUAGGUAGCCUGAUUGAAUUCUUUCCCAGCAGAUACUCAAACCCAAUUCAAACAUUUCAGAUUCAAUCAUGCAAACUCAUCUUCCCCUGCCCCUUUUCACACAAGACAUAAUAACCAACUAGAAGAAAACGAAGUAUGGACAAGAAACGCAGGAAAAGCAAAUGCGACAACACCUAUUCUGCUGCAAUUUUUCUGCUGCCAUUUUGCAGCUUCAGGAAAAAUCUUUCCACAACCAUUCUCAUGCAAUCUCUUCUUGCACUUAGGCAUAUUCAUGCAAACAACCAAUAAAAGGCUUGAUUGAACUGUCAUCUAAAUAAGAUACCAGCCUGGAACCGAAAUGAAAGAAUAAACAAAAGACUAAAACCGUAAGACAUGAAGAUUCGGCCAGCUAUGUACAUUUUCCAGCAAUGUAGUAGUUUAUUUAUAGAGCUUUUGUCCCUAAUUUUCUUCAAUUUUUACUUCAACUCAACAUGCAAAAGGUGAUUAGCAAUCUACAAACUAGUCUUAACAUCCAACAUAAGAAUCUUAGCUAAAAUUCGAAGGAAAACUAGUCAAGUGCUCAACUCCUUUCUCUCGGCCAUGCUGAAAAAUAUUUUCCUUCCAUAAUUACUUCAGUUCAUGGUCCAAUUCACCAGCUUUUCAAGUGUUAAAAAAUCAAUAAGAUAAACAUGAAAACUAGAACAAGAUGUUAUAAGACAUUUUACUUAGGAUUAUAGCCAAUGAUCAUGGAAUUUUCCAAAUUAACAAGAGUGUUUCAACCUACUCUCUCUCGGCCAACAAAACAGAUUUUCCAGCAAGUUAUUUCGAAAUUUUCAACAAGGUUUCCAUCCAGAAAAUUCAACAUGCAAUACUAGAUAUAGGUCAUAUAGGGCAUACAACGGGAUUUUCCAGCUUCAAUCACCAAAACAUCCAUUAAUACUCAAAAGAACCACCAUCGGCUAAGCUGAAACUUUUCCAGCGGCCAUGUAGUCCUCCAAACAAGAAUUCCAGCAACAAAACUCAAGCUUGUCACCAUAAAACUUACAUGCAUCACCAAAUAAAGAGCAAUCUAUCAGGUUUGAUCCAAAACCAAGUUCGAACAAACAUCAAAAACACUAACCAACCAGAAAUUCAUUCAGUUCCUCUCGGUUGACUUGCAUGCAACCAGAUUUUGUUUUCCUUAAAUUUUCUUGCUUUCUCACAGCUAAUUAACUUCAUGCAAAGCUUGAUCAUCCAGUUUUUAGUUAAUUAACUACACAAUUAAACUCAGAUUAUCACAAAUUGGCCAAUUAAGGCUGUAAAUUUCCAGCUUACUCAUUCAGCACUCCAAUUCUUUCGAAACCAGUUUUCUUGUGACUUAAUCUAUCAUCCAACCACAUAACCACCACAUGCAAGCUUAUAAUCAACAUCAUCUAUCCCUAAACAACUAGUUUAGGUCCAGAAAUUACCUCAGCUUGGAGUUCACACACACGGCUAGCAACAGAAAUAUUUUUCUUCCUCUCGACAGUCCAGAAAUUGCAGCCCGCUAGCUCUCCCUCUCCCUUGCUCAAGCUUGCGACUAGGAUGGAGGAAAUUUGGCUCUCAAUUUCUUCACUAGCUCACGGAUGGAAGGAAGAAUGAACAGCAAGUCUCUCUCUUCCCUCCCUAGUUUACGGACAGAAAGGAAAAGAAUAAAAGGCUCGGCUCUUUCUCUCCCUCACACACUCUCGGCUCACGGCAGAAAAGAAAAAAAUGGAAGUGCAAUGUUGUGGUGGAUUGGAAAUCAUAUCCCCCCCGUGGAGUGUGUAGGUAGUGGAAUGUAUAUAUUGAAGUGUUUGGAGUGGAGCUAAGUCGGCACUUGGAAUGGAAGGUGCUGGAAUGUGAAGUGGAAAUGGAACCGGCAGAAGUGGAGUUGUGAUUUUUUUUGAUUUUUUGAUUUUUUUUUUUUUUUGAAAUUAACUAAAUAAAACUGAUAAUAAAAAUAGAUAACAAACAACAAAAACAACAAAAACAAAAAAAAAUAAUAAUAAUUUAAUUAACAUUGGAUAGAAACUAAAUAAACUAGAAUCAACAAAGCACAAUUUUCCAUUUUUCAUCAAUUUCCUCUUUUCUCUUUUCUUUUUUUUUUCACAAAUUUUACGUUAAAACUUAAAACUAAAACUAAAACUAAAACGUGAACAAAAUUAAUAUGACAAAUAAUAACAAAUAAAAGACAAAUAAAAAGGUAACAACUAAAAUGCAGACAAUCUAAAACAAAAUCAUGAAUUAGAUGCAACAUACAAAUUAUUUAAAAAUUUGGUGUCUACAAUGCUAUUAAUAAGAUAUUAUUGUUAAAUCAAAAUCAAAGAAAAUUUAGUGAUGACAUAAUGUUAUCACUAAUUUAUUCAAGAUUAUAAUGACAAGAAAAGUCGUCACUAAUUAAAUUGCUAGUUUUUAAUAUUGUCAAUUGCUAGUUUUUAAUACUUUUGUGAAAAUAUUGAUAAUGGUUGAGAAAAUUUUGUUACAUUACCGCAAGUGAUAAAUGUACUUUUGUUCUUUUUCAAACAUUUAUUUUAAUGUUUAAUUUUGUUUAAAACUAUUGUACUAGUAUAGAUUUGCAAGACAAAACUUAAGUUCUCAAUAGUUAAAAAAUUCAUUACAGAGAAAACACAAAGUAGUAGUUGCAAAAUGUGUAUAAAUUACAGAUAUUUUAAUGUGUAUAAAUUACAGUUUAUUUUAACGUUUAAUUUUGUUUGAAACUAUUUUACUAGUAUAGAUUUGCAAGACAUAGAUUUAUGGGUAAUUUCUUUUUUUUUUUUUUUGCUUUCACAUAUUUAAUUUAUGUUAAAUAUAAAACCUACCAGUUUCCCUUUCAUAAAAAUAUUAGUGCAACACUUUUUGAAUUUUACUUACAAACAUUUAUGUAUUUAACAUAAAUUAAAUGAUUCAGAGUGAAAUGCCUAUAAAGAGCAGAAUAUUUGUUCAUGUAAUGGAGGAAACCCACAAAGAGUUGGUACUUUAUGGGCCAUUUCUUUUUUUAAAAAAAAAUUAAUUUAUGUUGAAAAGAUAACCUGCCAGUUUUCGUUUUAUAAGAAAUCAGUGUAACACUUUUUGAAUUUUACUUACAAAUAUUUAUAAAUUUAUCUUAAAUUAUAUGUUUGAGAGUAAAAUGCCCAUAAAAAGUUGGUACUUUGAAUAGAUAAUGCUUAUUUGCCCAUAAACUACACUCCCUGAAGGCUAUUUUGUUAAUUACUUUGUAGUACUUUGUUAUUCCUUUGCUAAUACUACUUGGCAUGUAGUACAAAGGAUAAAUCUGGCAUAAAUUUCUUAUUCCAUUGAUAAAAAGACAUGCUUGCCUUAUAACUAUUGUAAUGAAAGAUAUAUCUUUAGAGUUCAUAACAAAUUAUUACUUAAAUUUGAGAAAAUUAUAAAAUAUUUAUGCAUAGUUUAUCAAGAUACCAUUCGCAAUUUCCUAAUAACAAAAUAGGGGCUAAAUUGUAAAAGCUAGGGUGCCAUAAUAGAAAUAAUAAAAUUUGUGUAUUACAUAUGGGGGUUAAAUUGCAAAAGUUAGAGUGCCAUAGUAGAAUUACUGAAAUUGGUGAAUUACACAUGGGGCUAAAUUACAAAAGUUAGGGAGUAAUAAUAGAAUUAAAGAAAUCGGUGUACUACAUAUGAGGCUAAAUUGUAAAAGUUAAGGUAUCAUAAUGGAAUCAAUGGAAUUUUUUACAACAUUUGGGGCUAAAUUACAAAAGUUAGGGUGGCACAGUAGAAUUAAUGAAAGUGACUUAGAAAUAAGUACUUUAAACAGUGACGAUUAAUUCUUGUCACUAAAUCCGAAUCGGUAGAGUGACAGUGACGAUAUUAGAAGUUGUCACUAUAUAGAUCAUUUUAGUGACAACUUUUUCAAGGUCGUCACUGAAGACUUAGUUGCUUUGAGCAAUUAUGACAACUCUCCUUGUCGUCACUAAACAACCACGUUUUGUGACGACUUUUGUCGUCACUCAAAAAUGUUGUCACUAAUAACCAUAUUUCUUGCAGUGUAGUUUGUGACGAAAAUAACGGGUCGUCACUAAACAUUUAGUUGCUUUGAUGCAAUUGUGACAACUUUAGGUAUCGCGACUAAAGAAAUUCCUUUUGUGACAACUUAUUGUCAUCACUACAAAAUAUUGUCACUAAUAACCUUUUUUUUAGUGAUCAGUGACGACAACAAAAACUCGUUCGUAAAUAGGCCAAGCAAUAGUGAUGAUACUCUUAAUGUCGUCACUAUUGUGUGUUCUAAACACUCCCGCGCUCUUGCUAAAUUUUAGCGGGAAUUUACUAGUGACGACUUUUCUAAGUCGUCACAAAUGAGUUGGCUCCCAUUAGAGGUUUGUGACGAGUUAGAAAGUCGUCAAUAAAGGAUCCACUUUUGUGACAACUUUUUUUCGUCACAGAGAAAAGUUGUCACUGAUGACCAAUUUUCUUGUAGUGUCUAACAUAUGCCAAACAACCCCAAACACGAAGAUAGUUUAUGAUAAGUUACAUUUGUGUCAUUAAUUUUAUAAUUAUUUCCCUAUUUUAUCUUACCAAAUAUUGUGUUAAUUUGCAGAUUCUAUUUACUUUUGGUAAUUUGUGCUGGUUGCAGAGAUUUGGAUAAAGAGAAAAAAAAAGAUGUGAGUUUUUUUGCUAAAUUUGCUGAUCGGUAUGGUCACGUCAAAGUUAAACUCUGCACAUCCUAAGGAGGCUCAGGAGUGAACACAUAUUAUCCAACUGUGCAUUUAAGUCUCGAAAGUGGGGUCACAGAUGUUUAAUCAGAUGAUUGUUAUAGACUUUCUAAUUUGAUUUGAAUUAGUAAUAGUAGUUUUGUGAGGACCAGAAAACUUAUUUUAUAUUGUAUCUUAUUUUCUUGGAUACAUUUUUUUUACUUUAUUUUAUUUGCCUUAAUUUCCUGGAUACUUUAUAAGUGAGUCAAGAUUUUAUUAUUUGUCUUUUAUAAGUUAGAGCAUUUAUGAAAAUGGGACCCACUAGUGAGGUAUGUAUGAUAAAUUUGGAAGAUUAGGAGGAGUUGGAUACAAAGGGAUAUUAUUUAUAAGGAGUGAAGAGAUCAUUAGAAGUUUGCUAGAUAUUUUAGUGCUUGAAAGAUAAUUAGAUAAGGAUUAGCUCUUGAUUUACCAUUUGUCAUAAAACCAUAAAAUCUUAACUUUGACUAAGACUAAAUUUUCUUCUUAUCCAACCAAGAUAAUUAGGUCAUUAAUUAGACACUAAUCAUUGCCUUACCAAGUGUCACUUUCUUGCCCUGCCAAGUGUCACUUUCUUGCCUUGCCAAGUGUCACUCAUUUAUGGAACUUUGACCAAGACUUCUCUUGAACUUUCUCUUAGAAGUUGGGUCAAAAUUCCCUUCCUUUCUUUCUACUUCUUGGCCGAACUUCCUAGCAAGAAAAGAGAGGGAAAAACACUAAAAUUUCAACUUGGUCCCUUGCUUGAAUCCUUGAACAAUUUAUUCUAGAAUCUUACUUCAAUCCAUAGAAAGUUGUGACAAGGAAGGAAGAAAAGCUCUUGUGGAGAGAUUUAGGGAAAAAGGAAGCUCUUGAUUGCAUUUCUUCCUAGGGUUUGAAGGUAUCAAGUUAAGAAACCUUCUUUUCUUUCUUAUCUUUCCUUUUUUGAUGGAUAUAUGACUUGAUUAUGGAAGGUUUGAGAAAGAUUUCAUGAUUUUGUGAGGUUGAUUGAAUUUUCCAGCUUUGAGUUAUAAUUUUCCAGCCUUGAAAUGAAAACUUCUAGUUUUGAUAUGACUUGUGGGCUUGGAUAUCUUGUUGGAGAAGCAUUUUUAGCUUUGUUAUACGAAUUUUCAGCUCUAGAAGUUAAUUUUCAGCCUUGUUAUGCUAAUUUUCAGUCUUGGAAUGUGAUUUUCAGCUUUGUAUGCCUUUUAGGUCUUGACAUGGGAAUUUUGAGCUUUAGUAUGAAUUUUUAGCUUUGCUAUAGAAUUUUCCAACUUAGGUUGUAAUUCUAGUUUAAGGCAAAAAUUUUCAGCCUUCACAUAGUUAGUUUUGUAAGCAAUUUCUUUGUUAGAAAUUGACAUUAUAUGUCUUAUAACAUGUCGGUUAGUUUAAAUUGUGGAUUUGUUAUAUAAACAUGAAAGAAAGUUGGGGAGUUUGGCUAGAGGAGAGUUUGGAAAAAACAUUCUUUGGCUUGUUGAAAAUUUCCGCAGAGAGCUCUGCACAGCUUUAGGAAAUUGGUUAUAACUUCAUGUAGAAAAGUCAGAAUUGAGUUCCGUCUAUUGCCUUUGAAACUAAAUUCAGAGUACCUUCUACUGUAUAAAUUUUAGAAAUUUUCUCAAUUUCUAUGAAUAUCUGUUAUUUUUCAAAAUUGACCGAAUUUCCACACCUGUUCUGUUUUUCUACCGAAUGAAGCAGCAACUUGAGACUAUAAUUUGAUUGAAUUGUGGAUAGAAUCUUAGAAAUGUGUCUUCUGAGAAAUUGUAACCCUUUGAGUCAAUUUUCUAAAGAUAUAAAGUUUAUAAAUUUUGGAUUUAAGAAGCUUGAAAUAUGAUUUUUCAAAUAGUAUCACACAAAACUGGAGAAAAUUCUGUUCUUCAAAAGCUGUUCUUGCUCUCAUUUCCAAAUUCAAGUUGGAGUUGUAGAACCAUUUUGAGUUUGGUUUUAUGAUUGGAGUUGCGAUAACUUGGUUGGUUUGAAAGUGUUUUCCUUUAAAUAUUAUAGUUUGGAGUAGUGGAUCUCAUGGCACUUCACAUACUUGAUUUUAGGACUUGAAGGUGAUGCCGGAAGUGCUCCUAAAGCAAACACUUAAGCUUGUUGCCGUGGUGAGUGUUCCAAUUACAUGUUCCAUGUUACCUGACUGAAUAUGACUUGUUGCUAGAAAUUGCUCGGCACUUGAAUUGUUACUCCAUAGGUGAGCGUGUACUUUAUCGUAUUCGAAUUAAUUUAACUAAAUACUUGACAUCUUGUUUAUGCAUGAACAAGUGACUUGAUAUAUAUGUGACUUGUGACUUAAUCUUGUCUAGGCGAGUGUGUCUUUAAUUGCACUAGAGCUCCGUGAACUUGAAAUACUUGACUUUUGCAUGCGAACUUGCAUGUACCUGUGUAUGUUUGUAGGUCGUCUGCAUCUCUUCUUGCAGCGGUUGAACUGGGCCCUUGGACACUUAUCCAAGACAUAGUGUAAAUUGGAACUUGGGUUACUCAUGCGUAUGCAUGCAUGUAGGUCGGUAAUGGCUGAACUGAACUCUCGUUGAAUCUCUUGCUUGAGACCAGCCCUAGAGCGGUUAGAUAAGUUAGCAACCUUGGGGUAAAGGAAGAAUUUCCUAACCUGUUUUCUCUUGACUUGAACUCAUGACUUGCUUGAUACGGAGCGUUAGGUGACCGCUAACAGCUUCAAUCAUUACCUGCGUAAGCGUUGGGUAAUAACCAACGACUCUACUCAUGAAUUCUUGAAUACCUGGAGUUUUAAGCCAUAUUAUGAAUACUUGAUUCUUGAAUACUUGGGGCCAUAAGCCCAACCCCAUGACUAGUUGGUAGAAUCGAGCCGGUAAAAGGUUUGGUCAAGAGACUGAUGAACAAUGGGUACUUGAUUGGCGUUCGAGUCUGGUAGAGGGAUGAUCGGUGGACAGAGAUUGACGUUUAGUGGUGAUCUACGGACAUUAUAAUGCCAUGGUUGACAGAGAGUCAAUGGAUCCCAGACAAGUUACAGUGGAACCUGCUCCUGAGAGUAGCCUAUAUCCUUUUGGCAUAAAUGUGUUUUUUAUUUCCGUACGCUAUUGCAUGACCGAUCUGGUUACCUGCUUUACUAUACCUUAUAUCCUGGUCUGAUUGAGUCUGACUUGUUUCCUGAUAUCCUGUGCAUAGCAUCAUGUAUGCUAAUUCACUUGCCUAUUUUCUUGGAAUCUCACUAGGUUUGUAGUUUAUUCCAUGAAUUUGUUUUCCUUACAAGAUGAGAACAUGAGAGUGGAAAUUGGAAAAGGCAUCGACUUUGUCUAAGUUUUGUUAGUUGCUUGCAUGAGCACUCCAUAGGUUUCUAGCUAGCUUGCUUGGUUUGAUCUUUGUAAGGUUGACUAUUUGACUAUAUUUAUCGAUUGUAUGGGCAUUUGAGGUCCAGGAGUAUAUACAUGGCAUAUUGUAACUGUUAUUGCUCUUAAUAUUAAAGUUAUUUUCUUGUAAAUUUCAUGGUACGUGAGUGAGUUCUUAUGAGAGUUGAGCAAGCGGUCCACCAAACCCUUGUGUACGCCCUAGGUGGAGGUGGGGUCGUCACAAGUUUAGUAAGCAUAGGAGACUAGUAAAAAAGGUAGUUUCCUUUCUUUUCGGCUGAGAAUGACUAGUCACUUAGAAUAGGUUUUUAUCUUGGCUUUUGUUGGCCGCACGGGGUGUAACUUUAGCACUUAAUAAAUAUGACCUGAAUUUUUCUAAAACAAAAAUUAUAGUUAGAAGCUCCUUUUCAAUGGUGGUGUAAUUGAGCUGAACUCCAUUUAAGGCCUCGAUGUACAGUAAAUGGCACCAGCAAUGUUUCCUACUCUUUGACCCAACACUGCUCCCACUGCAUAGUCAUUGACAUCACAUAUAAUUUCAAAUGGAAGGCUCCAAUUAGGGGUUGGAUGAUCGGUGGUGAAAUUAAGAACUCUUUCAACUAGUUAAAUGCCGAUUUACACUCGUAAUCGAGCUCAAAUGUCAUCUCUUUUUGCAAAAGUUUGAAUAGAGGAGUUCCAAUUUUCGAGAAGUCUUUGAUAAACUUGUGAUAGAAGCCUACAUGUCCAAAAAAGGCGUACUUCCUACACACUUGCAGGGUAAGAUAAAGUAGACACGAUAUCUAUCUUGGCUUUAUCAAUUUCAAUACCUCCGGAUGACACUGCAUGACCUAAAGCUAUCUCGUACUCAACCAUAAAAUGACAUUUUUUUUUAAUUGAGCACUAGAUUAGUUUCUAUACACCUUGUCAAAAUUAACUUCAAAUUAUCAAGACAGUUAUAAAAAACUAUCACCAUAUACGCUAAAGUCAUCCAUAAACACCUCUUUAAUUUUCUCCACAUAUUCAGAAAAGAUAUUUACCAUACAUUUCUGAAAAGUGACGGGGGCAUUACAUAAUCUGAAAGACAUUCACCUAUAUGCAAAGGUUCCAAACGGGCACGUAAAGGUGGUUUUCUCCUGAUCUUCUGGUGCAAUUGCAAACUAGAAGUAAUCUGAAAAAUUGUCCAAAAAAUAUUAAUAAACUCGACAAGCUAACCUCUCAAUCAUUUGAUCAAUAAAAGGGAGAGGAAAAUUAUUCUUUUUCAUAACGGCGUUUAGUUUUCAAUGGUCGAUGCAUUGGCGCUAUCCCGUAGGUUUUGAACUGGAUAGCAUUUUUGUCAUUAAUUUUAUAAUUAUUUUCCUCUUUUAUCUUACCAAAUAUUGCGUUAAUUAAUGGAUUCUAUUUACUUUUGGUAAUUGGUGUUGGUUGUAGAGAUUUGGAUAAAAAGAAAGAAAAGACAUGAGUUUUGCACUAAAUUUACAGAUCGGCAUGGUUACGUCAAAGUUAAACUCUGCACAUCCUAAGAAGGCUCGAGAAUGGAUGUGUAUUAUCCAGUCAUGCAUUGAAGUCUCGAAAGUGAGGUCACAGAUGUUUUGUCAAAUGAUUGUCAUAGACUUUCCAAUUUGAUUUAAAUUAGUAAUAGUAGUUUGGUAAGAAUAAGAGACUAGUCAAUUAGAUAGUUUCCUUUAUUUUCGGCCGAGAAUGACUAGUCACGAGACUAGUCACUUAGAUUAGGUUUCUAUCUUGGCUUUUGUCGGCUGCACGAGUAGGUAGACAUCUUCUUCCUUUUUCCUUUCCUUCAGAUAUUUUUCAUCUCUAAUUUGGAGAAUGUUUUUGUUUACUAGUUCUACAAUUUCGUGUGGGAUAUUCUCAAUGGAGAUGAACCAAAUAUCUAUUUCUAAUCAAGGAACAAUGAAGGACUUGGUUCAUCUGAAAUUAUAAGAUCGAAUUAAUUUUAUUUGUUUCUUUUAUUUACUGGUAUUCACAUAUUCUCUGAUUUCAUGUCUUACGAUUGUUAUAUUAAUUGAAUAUCCAGAGUCCGGAAUUUAGAUUAAUCUAACAACCUAAAGUCAAUUAAAGCAUUAAAUCCGUAAUUGUUUAAUUGUUUUAAAAUAAUGGCAAUUGACAUGAUUGGGUUUGUGUUAGGGGAAUGAACGGGUUAACUUAAAAUAACUUUCGUAGCGUGUUAUUUCAUUAGAAUAUGGUUUCUCUAGUUUGUAAGGCAAUUGAAAAUUGAAUUCUAAAAUCGUACCUAGGAUUAUAUCGCGAUUAAAGUAGUGAUUAACGGUUGUACCUUAAUCAUCGAUACAGUAAGGAGAGGUUGACUGUCAUUGCUUGUUUAUCAGUUAAUAAUUGAAAUUAUCAUUACAUCGAUGAUCAAUUAAAUUAUCCAUUUCAAAGUUAUUCCUUGGUUAGAUCUUAUUUAUUAUUGAUUCAAUUAUAAUAAAUUGUCACUUAGUUUUUAUUUAUUUUUAUUUCUAUUUGAGUUGUUUAAUUAUCUCCAUUUCCAUAAAAAUUUUCCCAUACUUUGAACUCAAGAGAAAACGAAUUUCCCCAGUCCUUAUGGCUUCGAACCUACUUACCACUAUAUACAAAAUCUAUAUAUUAUUUAAGCAGGUAUUUAUUAUUGUAUAGUCUCGAUACCUGUUAGUUUAAAUCUGGUUUUCUUUUAUUCUAUAAGUCAUAAUAUAUAAAUUGAGUUUGUUUUCUUGGCACUUUAUUCAUUAUGUAAUUAGCUAUCAAAGCUAUUUCUCCCCAAAAAUUCUUUGGUGCAUUUACAUUGAUCAUUAUUGCAUUUGUUAAAUUUAUUAAAGUUCUAUUUUUACGCUCUGCUACACUAUUAGAUGCAGAUGAAUAAGGCAGAGUAGUUUGAUGAACAAUUUCUAAAGAUUUAAUACAAUCAAUUAGUCCCAAAGAUUCAUAUUCAUUUCUUUUCCUCUAUCACUUCUAAACUUUUUAAUUUUCUUGUCAAAAUGAUUUUCAAUUUCUUGUACAUAUGCUACAAGUUUUUCAUGUGCUUCACUCUUAUGUUUCAUAAGAUAUACAUAAGUGUAUCUAGAAAGAUCGUCUAUAAAAGUUAUAAAAUAUCUUUUACUACCACGUGUAAGAAUGUCUUCAAAUUCACAAAUAUCAACAUGUAUUAAUUCAAGUAAAUCACUACUCCUUUCUACUUUUACAUGUGGUUAUUUUGUGAUUUUUGUCAAGCUAUAAUACUCACAUUUUUCAAAUAUCAUUUUGAAGUUUAGGCAACAAUCCAAUCUAACUCAUAUUCUUUAUGUAUUUAGAAUUAACAUGACAAAAUCGCACAUGCCAUAAAUUAGUACUAGAAGCAAUAUAAACAGAACUAGGAGAUACUUUAUUCAUUUCAAUAUUUAAUUUGAACAUACCAUCAUAUGCAUAACCUUUUCCAACAAAUACAUUAUUUUUUGUAAUCACAUAUUAAUCAGAAUCUAUAGUUUGCUUGAAACUAGCUUUAUUGAGAAGAUAACUUGAAACCAAAUUCUUUCUGAUUUGGGGAGUAUGAAGAACAUCUUUCAAAGUUAAAGUAUAGCCAAAGGUGAAUUUUAGAUUCACAUCACUAACACCUACAACCUUAAUGGUAUGUGAGUCACUAAUCUUCAACAGGAGUGUAGUUUUUGAACCAAUCUUUAUUAUGGCAAAUGUACCUAGGAACACUCGAAUAUGCCCACCACCCUUCAUGAUUCUCUAGCAUGUUCACCUCAGUUACCAUAGUCACUAGAGGCUCUUCAGCUGUAUGAGUUUGAGGUUUAUCACCAUACUUUUUGGGUUGUCCACGUUUUCUAAAAUAACAAUCUUUGGCUUGGUGGACAAGCUUUCCACAAACAAAACAUGGACCCCUCAAAGCUUUAUAAUUACUAUUAGAGGGGGUUUCCUGGUGCUUUUUGGGUCCUUUAUUUUGAUAUGGUGCUUUAUUCUUAUUUUUUCAUAUUUUUUUCUUCUAGAUCUCAAGUUUGCAUUAUUUUUAGAAUUCUGACCUCUAGAGACAUUAUCAGUAGAAGCAAUAAAGUGUACCUUAUUAGUUUGACCAUUACCAUUGGUCUCCUCGGAUUUAUCCAGCAUCCUUGCCUCCUCCUCAAUUCUAAGUCGAGCCAUGACGUUGACGUUGACUAGUGUGAUCUUCGACUACUUGAGGCGUAGUCCCUUUUAAAUAUCUUUUCAAGAAUUUGGUAAUUUGCCAAUUAUAACAGUCACUUGCAUUUGUUGAUCCACUUUGAUGCCUUUAGAUUGAAUUACAUGAACUAUGUUGUAGUUCAUGUACUUGAGGGAGGACAGAUUUGUUUUCUGCCAUUUGAUACUUGCAAUAGUGGCUACAAGCAUACUUCUUGGCUCCAACUUCUUCAGUGUCAUAUUUCUUUUGCAAAGCUUUCCAAAUCAUUUUACCUGUGGAAUAAGAAGUGGAGUAGUAGUCAUAAAACUCAUCAGAUAAGCAAUUAAGAAGAUAGUUUUUACAAUCUGCUUCAUCACUUCUCCAUUUUUGAAUGCUUUGUUUGUACUCUUGCUCAUCCAUGUCAUCAACACGGGUUUUGGUUGGAUUCUUGGCUGUAAGUACCCAAGCUAUGUUUAAGAGUUUUAGGUAGAAAAGUACAUUUUUAGCCCAUCUUUGAAGUGUUCGCCAUUGAACUUGAAAGGCUUGUUGAGGUUUGUAGAGCUUUUGACAGGUGUAGGGACAAUAGAAUUAGUUUUGCCCUCCAUUUGAAUAACGUCUUAAAAUUGUUGGAGGAGAGUACAUGAACAAUUUCUGAUCUUCAAGUUAACCACCUUAAAUUUGACAACUAUUAAGAAGUCCGAUAGGGUUGAGGUGUGUAAACCACUCUCUUUAAGAUGAUACGUACCCCUACAGUAUUUUUUUUAAUCGAUGCAGAAGAUCUAGCGCACCGCUUCCAAGAUACAAUAACCUAACUCUAUGAUUGGUUACUUCCCUUUAAUCUACACAACCAAGAGAAGCAGAAACUUCCCAAUAUCUUACUUUGUCCAAAGAAAAUUAGAAUGGGGGAGAAAGAAAUGAGUGUAGAGAAAAUAGUAUUUAGAAUAAUCUUUUGUUAAGAGAAAUAUCUAAGAAAUUUUCCAAAGAAUUUCACUAUUUAUAGGCUACAAAAACCUUUAGAAAAUAGGUUGAAUAUCCACGCUCAAUGUAUAAUGGUUUGUUUGUCAUAUUAAAUUGUAGUUAAUUUGUAGAAUUUGUAACCUAAAAAUUGAUUCAUAUUUGAAUGGCUUAUAAUGACUCAAUAAUUCUUCAUUUGACCAAAUAAUUCAUUUAUAGCUCCUAUUCAAAUAAUUGUAUAAUAACUUCAUUCAUCCUAACAUUAAAAUUCCCAUAACUCCCAAAUAAAUUAUAUUAUAACUCAUUGUAAAGAUUUGGUCAAGGAAAAUUUAAAAUUUUAUUAAAAUACACUAACAAUUUACUAAUUCAAGAAGCUGUAAUUAAGAAAUAGAGAAGACAACUCGGAUAAUUAGGGACUAUUAUUGAUGAUGAAUAAUUAGGGACUAUUAUUGAUGGAAGAGUACAGAUGAAGAUGACGAUCAGUCAAGGAAGAGAAAUUGGAAAUCCAAGAAUUGCCUUCAACCAACCUCCCUUCUCUCUUUUAUUUGGCGACUACUGAUCCAAGUUACAACUAACGAGAUGGCAUACACGAAUUUAUUCACUAAGUCCCUAUCAUACUUGCUUUAUUACAAAAGAACCCUUGUCAAUAAAAGUAACACAACAGUGAAAUUGAAAGAAGAAAAGGAAAAGUAAAUUGAUUACAAAAUUUCACACGACUAGAAUUAGAAAAUUAUCAGAAAAAGAAAUGGUUUGAACUUACUUGAAACUUCAUGUGGACAAAACUGAAAUUCUUGAAUCGUGAUGGAAGCACUAAAUGGGGAUCAGAAUCAACAAAUCAAAGAUUUGAAGGGGAAUACAAAAAAAAAAGAAUAAGGGAGAAUAUGCGUGUUUGAGUGAGAAAUGAAUUUGAGAUAAAAAUCUUCAUUUACGAAUGCAGGGCUAUAUAUAGGCAUGGAUACGGGGCAGGAGCGGUCGUCAGACGACUGUUCCUGAACGGUCUCCUCACAAUAAAAAAUGUGAGGAGACGAAUGAGCCAAGUCAGCAAGGCUGAAGCAGGGCACAAAAACGACGCCGUUCCAAAUAAAAAAAUGUUGACUUCCAAACGGGAGCAGACGGAGCAAAUGGAAGAGAAGUAGAUUUUGAAAUUCAAGUUGAAAUUUUGAAUUAGCCGCAGAAAACAAAAAUGAGAGAAGAGUCUUGGCGUGCUUCUGAAAGAGCUCUACUCUGACCGACCGCUUAUUGAAGGUAGAAAGCUGAAGUUAGGGUGGGAUUCGACCUACUGGCUCUUUCUAGGUGAAGUGGGUGUAGUCUACUCUGAUGAAAGUAGCAAUUGACAGAAAAGUGGGUGGAGAGGCAGGUGGCAAGGUAGAAGCAAACAGAAACGAAGCCAAAGUUUGGACGGAAAACUGAAUAGCUGAAGCAGCUGUGGUCUUCAACUGGGUAUAAGAGUGUUGUGUCUAUUUUGAAUGCGCGCAAGGCAGGCGAUAAGGUAGAAGCAAACAGAGGAAGGACAAAAUCUCAUGAAGCCAGAUUUUGUCCUUCAACUUAAUAGCAGAAGCAGCUAAGCUCUCCGACUUCGGUGAAACGUGAAGCAUAUUAGCAGACCAAGGUAACAUAACUGAACCAUGUCAGUAACUGUGGCCAAUAAUUUGUCACCCAAAUAUACAUCUGUUAAAUGAAGGAUGAAAUUAGAGUCACUGAAGACAUAAUAUGAAGAUGAUAGAAGAAUAGUGAAGUUAUACUGUAUUUGCAUGUGUGUACCGUAUCUGUGUGUGUGUGAGCAUUCAACUUUUCAGUGAUAGACUAUAAUGGGAUAGUAAUUUUUGGAAAACCUAGGGGCAUGUAUUCAAGUAAACCGUCGAACGGAAUUAGGGAAAGAUGAGAGAAACAAAGUCACAUUUAACAAGUGAAUGAAUGUACAUCCUAUUAUAAAUUAGUUACAUGUUAUAGCUACUGUAUUACAAUUGAUAUGAAUCAUUGUACAUCUAGUAAUUGGUCCAUGCUCAUGGAGCAAUAUUAGUUUGCUCCUCUCCUGACCAUGCAGUAUGUAUAAAAUGGAAGCGUAGAGUUGAAUGGGGUGAAGCAGAGGAAAAGACAUAUAUGUGAAUAAUAAAUGGGUGAAUCUUGUGUUGUAAGUAAAUUACAUGAUGUAAAAAAUAUAUUACAAUGAGUAGAAAGUACUUGUUUGGCCCUCAAAAUGUAGAAAUAGUAGAAAAUGCGGAAUUGGCUUAUGCGGUUGUCAUUAACGAAUGACAUAAGGUCCAGUGAGUUAAAAAAUCUAGAAUCAAAAUAUAAUCACUAGCGUGGAUGUACAUACAAUUAAAAUAGAUGUACAUUGUGUAACCAAUACAUUACAAUCCGUAUAAGUUAGUGUACAUGGAGUUGUAUUUGUACAUAGAUUGCCUUAGAGUAAAAGUAAGGUGAUGUGAAUCAUUAAUCAUAUUGAUAAGCGUAAUAAUAGAAUUUGGUAUACGAGUAAUGUAUGAUUCAUAACACAUUAUAAAGGGUAAUAUACAUUUAUGUUGUCAUUUAUGUACAUACUAUUCAUGAAGUGUUGCAAAUUAGGGUGUUUGAUGCAUAAUUGACAGGAGUAGAAGUAAUGGAUUGCACCAAAUUGGCAGAGGAUGGGAUCCCUGAGUUAAGAAUGGAGUUCAACAAUGAAGAGGAUACGUACAAGUUUUACAACAAGUAUGUUUUUAGAAUGGGUUUUAGUGUACGUAAAGACUAUCUGAAUAAAGACAAAGACGGCGUGGUCACAUCUAGGAGAUAUAGUUGUUGCAAGGAAGGUGUGAAGUGCAAGUACGAAGGUGAUGUGAUGCCAAAGAGGAUAUGAGCGUCGACGAAAAUAGGGUGUGGAGCUAAAAUGGUUAUCGUGUUGUUUAGAAGAACAAUGAAGUACCGUGUGCAUGACCUUGUCUUAGAGCAUAACCAUGAGUUGCACAUUACUCAACGUGCGCACAUGAUGCCAUCACAAAGAAAAGUGAGUGAGACUCAAGAAUUCCAAACUAAAAUAAGCGAAGACGCUGGACUUUCAUUGAAACAGAGUCAUGAGCUUAUGGGAAAGGAGGCAGGUGGGAUGGAAAAUGUGGGAUAUACUCGGGAAGAUCUGAAACGAUAUCUUCGUACUCGACGGGAAAGGAGUUUGAAAUAUGGAGAAGCAGGUAGCAUGCUGAAUUAUUUUUAAAAGCAAACACUCGAGAAUCCAUCGUUUUUUCGUGCUGUAUAGCUGGACUGUGAAGAGCAGAAACGAAUAUCUUUUGGGCUGAUGCAGGAUUGUUAAUUGACUACAAUUUUUUUGGAGACAUAGUCACAUUCGACACAACCUACAAAACAAAUAAAGAAUACUGACCACUUGAAGUGUUUGUGGGUUUUAACCAAUAUAGGUAAAUUGUGAUAUUUGGUGCUGCUCUUAUGUAUGAUGAGAUUAUAGAUUCUUUCAAAUGGGUGUUUGGUACAUUUCUUAAAAUAAUGUGCGGAAAGCAUCCAAGUACCAUACUAACGGACCAAGAUCACGCCAUGGCAACCGCUUUUUCAAUUGUUAUGUUUAAAACAUUUCACGGUCUAUGUACAUUUCACAUAAGGUGUAAUUUUAUGAAACAUCUUGGUAAUCACUAUAAGGAAAAUAGUGAUCUUUCAUACAUGUUUGGUGCAUGCAUGUAUGAGUUUGAAGAAAUGGAACAAUUCAAUAGGGUGUGGGAGGCGAUGAUGAAGAAACACAAUCUUGAAAAUAAUGAAUGAUUUUUCGGGUUGUAUAUAAUUCGUGAUAAAUAGGCAAGGUGCAUGAUGAAAGAAAGAUGGACCGGAGGAAUGCGAAGCACCCAACUUAGCGAAAGACUAAAUGCAGCAAUUAAAAAUCAUUUGAAACUGGAUCAUGACCUUGUGCAGUUCUUUAGACAUUUCAAUCGGGUGGUUGAUGAAAAGAGACACAAUGAACUGAUUGCAGAAUAUGAAAUGAGACAAAAGCUCCCCAUAAUAGGGUUAAGACAAACACCAAUACUUGUGCAUGCAUCAGAGACGUAUUCACCGACCGUAUUUGUUGUAUUCCAAAAUGAAUAUGGCGAGUCAACAGCUAUGGUUUUAUUGAGACAACAAGAUGCAGCGAUGAUUGUGGAGUUUGCGGUCAUGAGGUAUGAUGGAGGAUCUGAAAGAAUAGUGGUAUUCAAUCGAAAUAAUCUAAAUGUACGUUAUAGUUGCAAAAAAUACAAGAAUGAAUGCAUUUUAUGUGGGCACACGUUGAUGGUGUUUGAUACCGUGGGCAUAAAAAUAAUUCCUCCUGAAUACGUUAAGAGGCAAUGGACAAAAAGAGCUCGGUCUGGAGACUGUUUUGAUCGGCGAGGAUGGGAAGUUGUGGCUGAUCCUAAAAUAAUGAUUUCAACUCGUUAUCGGGAGCUCGCUUCAGCCAUGAUUAAGGUCGCAACUCGAACAGCAAUAUCGGAGAAUACCAACAAAGUAGCAAUCACUAUCAUAUCCGAUUUAGCAAAGAGAGUUGAGUUCCUCCUCUCAGAAAGCGAAGAGCAACCUUUGCAAAAUCAAAAAAAUCUGAAUAUGGAGCAACGGGAUAAAAUUGAAAUUGUAAAUGAAAUGGGGGAGGCAGUAGUCGCAAGAGGCAUUAAAAAACAAGGCGGUGGGAAGAAAAGUAGAGUGAUGCGAAGUUGUGUCGAUAAAUUUGACAGAGUAAAAAGAAAAUUUAGAUUAUCAAGAACUACACAGACUACGGUAUGGAUCAAAUUUUGGUACUUGGAGAACAUUUAUGCUAAAACUAAGUUAUUGUUAUACUAUUAACUAAAGUUUAGGUACCAUUCAUUAUGAAAUAAUAUUAUUGCCGUGUCAAUACUGUAGGUCUCAGAAUCGGAGCCAACAUCGAUUUUAUUUGUGAAAUACAUGUUUAUGGGAUGCCGUUCAUCUACUGACUCUGUUUCGGUUAGUAUAAAAUAGACAUGACUCUUGUUUUUAUUUGGAUGUUUCUAACAGUAUAAAUAGUUACAUUGAUGUUAUAUUGUGUGAUAAUGUUGUUACGGCCGUCAUCCCUCCUGAUAUACCUAUUUUAUUUGUCUUAUACAAUGAUUUGGCCCAUACAAAACUCGUAGACGCAUUCAAUGAGUCAGACAGUGAAUGACCCUCCAAAUGCUGUUGCUCCCGAUAUCGAUGAAAGUGAAACGGUAUGCAUACAUUUAGUAGUUAAAAUAAAGAUCUUCUUGUUCGUGUAGUAGAGCUACCUUUUUUUCUUUAAUUGUAAUGGUGGGCACCCGAACACUGUCAAAUCAUGCAAAUUAUGUAGUUAACGUAUGCUCGCUUUAAUAACAUAUUAUUUUUUAUUAUUCGAAGGUCCACCGUUUGACUAAUCAGGGGCCUCCUGCAAGUGUCCCUACAGAAUGGAUGCAUCCCAGCUUUUCUAUUUUUUCCAAGCAUAACUCCAUCAGAGAUGUCUUAAUGGUCUGAUAUAUCAUUUUUAUUAUAAUGUCUAGUCCAAUUUAACUUUAUAAGUGAGCAAUAUAGGCACUGGCAAUGAUUUGUUGACAGUCAAUUACUUAUACUAUGUAAUGUAGGAGGAGCGUGCAACAAUUUCAAAAUACUGUGAUGUUGAUACAUAUCAUGUAUUUGCACCUUCACCCCAGAUGAUAAACUUUUAUCGUUACAGCACAUAUUUAUGUAAUGUUGUUAAUUAGAGACUUGGACAUCGUAUAUUAUUAAUCGUAUGUUUCAUUAAUAAUAUUUGCUGAUUUGUCAUCGUUACACAUUUCAGGGAAGAAAUAACACCCAGAAAUUGCAACUACGCGUUAACGUCGCCUCCCCCGAGAAUGAGGUUGAUGAAUGAUGUGUAACUAUACUUUUUGAAAGAGACAUUAAGUGGUUGUCCCAACCUGAGAAUGCUGCAUAUGUGCAUUACAAGCAGUUAAUAAGUUGUUACAACUUAUUGACGAGAUUGUAUAGGCAUCAUUAAUGUUUCACUCUUUUCAAAUUUAGACAAGUGGAUUAUAAUUAUAAUCGCAUCUAGUGGUAGUAGUCAUCAAUAGUUUGUAUUGGGUUGUAUAAAAUUGUUAAAAAAUUAUAAAGUUGGUAGAAAAUUGAAGUAACAAUUUUACAAUAGAAUUGAACAUGUUUUUUGCAAUCGGAUAUUUUUCACUAAAUCGACCAUAACAGUUGAAUGGCUGUCGUGAUAUAUAUACCAUUCUACUACAUUUAAUUACAUACCUUAAUAACAUAUUUAUUGGCAUAGAUAGUACCGCCAAAGGUACGAUGUAUAAGAUAACACAAUUUAAAGUAUAAAUUGUCUUGAUUUUGUUACGAUGCUAAAUUCGAAUUAUUAUUGGGUUAUUUUUAUAAAAACAUUAUCAUUUAGGCCAUUUAUUUUGCAUUGCUUGACGAAUUUAGCGCACCAUUGACAUGAUGUAUCAUAGGCACAUCAAUUGAUAUUUCAAGUUUUUAGGUUAAUUGAAUUAUAGUCAAGUCAGGUCACGACCACAUGUUGGUAAUAGGUGGUGCGCAUAAGAAAAUGAUUCCUUAGAGAACUAAUUUGUAACGUUAAAACGAAGUUUUACAAUGCAACAAAAAGAAAGAACGAACAGUACACAAUGGGUUACAACCAGUAAGGGAUAUGUUACUGUUGCGUUACAACUAGUUACGAUUGUUUAACAGGCAUGACUAAUAUCCAAAUAUGGUAAGCAAUUUGUUUGAAUAGAGAUUAUAAUGAGUAUAGUUUUAUCGCUACCCUGAUGAACAUUGGACUACAUCUCUUGUUAUCAGUUGUAUCCCAUACAACACCUAAGAACGCCGUCAUGCAUUAGACAAUGGGGUAUGUACCUUUGAAAGUUAUCAUCGCUUGAUUCAGUAAAGUCAGAUAGGUCCGGGUCCGAUAUAAGCAUGGCUAUGCUAAAAUAUGCUGAACAUCAAAAUGUUUUCCAAUACCAUGUCUUUUUGCGGCCUGGAUCUCGUGGAACCUGUGAAGCCUACGCUCCAUUUACAUAACUUCUCGCUGUAGUCUAUGUAAUACGCUUGCAUCAUUGGCUUGUGGUCCUAUAACAAGAUCCGCUAACCUUGUUCUCGGGAUGCGGAGGCCAUGCCAGCGACAAAAUACCUCCAAUUCCAUUCUUCGUUGACGAACAGGCUCCCAUAUGUGUUCAUGGUCCAUAACGAAAUAGCCAGACGGUAGAUGAUCGUUGACGGUAUUUUUAAGAAUGUGACCAGCUAGUCCCAGAGAGUUAUUGGUGUUAAGUGGAGCGUUUCUAAACUCGCAUUUGGUAUCAUAUAAAAUCCUCCCGUCUGGUGUUUCGUACCUGCUUAUGGAAUUUGUUGGAUCCAACGAUACUUUUCAUCUUUUUUGCCGAACAUUUGAUGGUGAGCUUGUAUGAGAUCCUUCAUUUGUGAAUUGCAUAACUAUGCUAAUACCUACUACUUUUUGGUUGGAUGAAAGGAAAGAUCUACUGAUAAAGAAUUAGGUGGGAGAAAAAAAGAGGCAUCAAUUUUUUAACGGAGCACCUGUUUCAGACCAUGCAUAGUAAAUGAUUUCUUCUGGCAACUUGACCAACUGCUUGCUGUAUCAUUUCAUACUGUUCUCCACGGGAUAGUACUCCUGGGUGAGUAGUUGAAAGCAUGGCAACCACCUAUUAAUGAGAGAAUAGACUCAAUGUUUAGUCGAAUGUAUAGUGUGUGGAUGAAAUAAUGGUUCAAUUCGAUUGGGUCAUGACCUGUACUCCAACAACAAUUGGGUCAAGUGAAUACCCAGUUAUACGUCAGUCACCUUACUUUUCAAGUGUAACAAGAAGUUACAACCAGCAUAUGUACGUUACAAGAAGUUAAUAAGUUGUUACCGCUAAUUGAUGUGCUUGUACAGGCACCUUGUCAUUUGCCUGUAUGUUAAAACUUAGACAAUUUGUUUACAAUUGUACUAACGAUGAGUAUUACAGAUAGUAUUACAGGCACUUCAAUAGGUAUUACUCAUUCAGUAUAUAAAUGAACUUACAAUUGGCGGCUCGGUUUGGUUCCACAUGACCACAUAAUAAGUAACAGUUUCGCAGAAGAACAUGAUACUUCGUUGGGACAAGUAAUUUGAAAAUAGGGUAACUAAUAUUUAAAAUGCAACAAAUUUUGAUUACGCCAUGUACAUGUUGAGUUACAACCAGUUAUAUAUAUGUUACAAUUCAUUACAACUAAUGAAUUUGCAAUCGACAGUUUUUCAUCUUAUCUAGUUAAAACUAAUGAUAUUACAAUUAGAAAUUCCCUGAUAUUACAACUAGUGAUACUACAACUAGUUGAUAUCUGAUGAACCUUUCCUCUUCUCUUGUUUGUGCAAUUGCGCUUGGCACAAACAAUAAGUCCUCCCCCAACACAUAAAAUUUCUUAGACACUUUAGUAAGUGUCUAAUGAGAACAUAAAGAUGGUCGAUUCGAACCCCAAAAUAAUUGAUGUAGUGAGGCCUUCUCGAACAUCUCAUUAAAUUAACAAGAUCUUCUCGAACAUCAUGCAACCUAUUGGCUACUAUUUGGCACCCAAGAACUUGAUUUCUGUGUGAGGAGAAUUGAAGAAUACUAAUAAUAAAUUUCAGGCACGGGUUCAUUGCCAGAACGGUGCUCUUCUUUGUUGCACGUCUAGACUUGUGCUUUAUCUCAACGUCAGGGCCUCCUAAAAAGCAAAGAACAUGCAUUUCAUGAGCAAUUUAUUUGUUGUUGUGUAACAAAUUGUAAAGCAUUUUGUAACAGUCUUCAAACACAGUAUAACUAACAGUCUAAAAACACCAAUCAAUUAAUUUUUAAACACACUGUAACUGUCCCAAUAACUAUUUUAUUUUCAAACACACCGUCACUUGUCACAAUAACUAUUUUGUAACAAGCUACAAACACACUGUAACAUGCAAUCAUCAAACAUGGAGUUUUGUAUUAAUUUUCACACUCUAACUUCCCAAUGAAGCAUUUUGUAACAGUCUUCAAUAACAUUCAACUUCCCAAUAACUAUUUUGUAGCAACCUAUAAACACUUCGUAACUAACAGUCUUCGAAUAUGGAGUUUUGUAGUAAUUUUCAAACUAUACUCUCCCAAUAACUGUUUUAUAACAAUUUUUGAACAUACUGUAACUUUUCAAUAACUAUUUUGUAAGAACUUACAAACACUUCGUAACCAACAGACUUCAAAUAUGGAGUUUUGUAUUAAUUUUCAAACUGCAACUUCCCAACUAACUAUUUUAUAACAGUCUACGAACACACUAUAACUUCCCAAAAACUAUUUUGUAACAACUUACAAACACUUCGUAACUAACAGUUUUCAAAUAUGAAGUUUUGUAUUAAUUUUCAAACUGUAACUUCCUGAAUAACUAUUUUGUAAUAGUCUUUGAACACACUGUAACUUUUCAAUAAUUAUUUUGUAACAACCUACAAACACUUUGUAACUAACAGCUUUCAUGUAUGGAGUUUUGUAUUAAUUUUCAAACUGUAACAUUCCAAUAACUAAUUUUGCAACAAACUACAAAUUCACUGUAAAAUGUCUUCAAAUACGGAGUUUUGUAUUAAUUUUUAAUUUGUAACUUCCCAAAUAAUUUUUUUGUAACAAUCUUUAAACACACUGUAACUUCCCAAUAACUAUUUUAUAACAAUCUUCAAACACGAUGUAACUAACAGUUUUUCAAACACACUAUAGCUUCCCAAUUGGCUUAAUAUGACAUUAGGCUUAUCUGGAUGUGGUUGGAAUAAAGUCAUACUUAAUUAUUAUACUCAAUUCAGUUUGUCAGGUCCGCUUUAUAUGCAGCUGACAUUGGUGUGUUAUGACAAUAUGCCUACAAGUUUUCGAUGAUGACUAGCGAGAAUUCAAACCCAUAUAGAUAGCAGCAUGAUGGUAUAAACAGAGUUACCGUGUGUGUAUAUAGCUAUUACAGUCAUGUUUCUUGAAUUAGAACCUUAUGAAUAAUAUAACUGUACCAACCUUUCCGCGUUCGAUCAUAUGACCGCAACCUACAUGGUAUUUCUGGCUCAUGUAGAUGUGACGUCGAUGCACUGACGUUCAAAGGUGGUUGCAUCGUUGAUUCACCUUUUUCGGCAGGUUCUAUGACAUUUGACCUAUAUUGCUCCUGCUCUUGCUCUUGAAGAUGUAUAAUGCUUCCUUGUUUAGUUGUUGUCAUGGUGGCCCCUUGUUGCAAUCCCUGACUGAUGUUAUCGGGCACGACUGAUGAGGUAGGAAUUGGAUUUUUCAUACCCAUUACAUCUUCAUUCAACUCUGGGGUUUGGGAUGGUUUCAAUAUUUGUCCUCGUAUUAGCAUCCUCUUCUUCACUCUGCACUGCAUUAUGCUCGUCUUCUUCAGACUCUUCCGCAUCAGAUUCAUCAGCAUCAUCAUCCUCAUCGUUGCCCCCUUCUUCGGUAGAUUGACAUUUCAGCUCUUCUUCGGUAUCAGGACUCUUGUGCAUUGUAUAGUCCUCAUGCAUAGGUUUUUUUUCCUUUGUCCAGUGCUUCAAGCCCAGAACUAGAAGCUUUUGCUCUUGACUGAGAAGCGAGCAUUUCUGUAAUCUUUAAUAUCCUUCGUUGGCUAUUAACAGCAAUGUUAUACAUCUCAUUUAGCUCAGCCUGCAGUUAUAUGACGACUUUACCAAUCCAUAUAUGACCCACAUGCUCUUAAGAAUGGAAUACAAUAUAGGCAUAUACAAUAGUAUAUUUAAGUGAAAGUUCUUAAUUUAACAUUUGUACUGCUGGCAUAGGUUCUAUAACUUUAAAUUCUAUGGUAAUAAAUAAAAUGGUCACCGCGAACAUUGAAUUUUUAUUUAUUUAUAACAUGAUUAUCCAAAAGAUCACUACAUUUAUGUAUUUACACUCAUCUGACUUAAUUCAAGAUAACUUAUUUGUUCAAUGUAAUAUUGGGAUUGGUUUCAUAUAUUAACAUGUAACUGUAUGUAGAAUGAAGCUGAUAGGCCUAUCAAUGACCCGUAACGUUGACAAUAAUAUGCAGUAAUUACGUCGAAUCAAACAAUAAAUUUCGUUAACCAUGGAACAGACCCACUUACAUCGAUAUCGGCAUGCCCGCUGUUCAUCAGCAUCCCUACCAAAUCGGGGGGUAGUUCAGCAAUCUAGGCACCAUAUUCAUUUUCUUCCGGAUCAUCUCGUCCAACCUUUAUCAUCAAAUUAAACCAAUCUUUUCAAUAGCAAAGCCAUGCAAUACAUACACCAAUACUUUUUAUAUGAAAUGAGGUAAACAAUAAAUAACUUGUUACCAGUUUUCCUUUUUCAUAAGCUCCAAGAUUCUUAAUCUCCAAUGCAUCCCUUUCAGAGAUCAGAGCAUCUGUCCAUGCCUUUGCUCGUGGAGUAGUCCUUGGCACUUUAUGCUUCAGUAUUUGCACUCGGUCAAGAUAAUGAAUCUGCAAUACAAUAGAGCAAUUAAUUCAACUACAGAUAAACUUGACUCCACUUGAACAUCGUUGUAGACGCACUCAUUUGAGCAUAAUCUAAUCAAUCCGUCACACUGAAUUCGACAGAACGUGGAAAUACAGACAGUAGUUUACAUACACGCAAACAUGAUUACUCUCUAGUGCAUUAUCUAACCAUUAAAGCAUACUUCAAUCAUGAUUACAACUACCUAAUCUUAACAACAGAACGAAGAUACAACCGCCAAUGUAUUGGUGCUGCUUUUCACUUUUCUUUUGCACCUCUAGUACCUUAUUGCAUAGUACAAUCCUCACAUACUCUGCCUAGUUCAAUAUAGCCACCCUAUUAACCAAUUGUGUACAGGUCCAAAGCUUUAUUUUGUGCUCGACUCUAGUGCUUGGAGCCAGUAGACAUCCACAAGAAAAUGCCACAAACAGUCGUAUGAAUUCUUCCCCUGCAUUCAUGGCUACCAACUCAUUCGGCAGCUCUUUCCAUUGGUAUGCGACUUCGUCCGGUUCCCCUAACCUUGGUUGUAUCGAUGUCUUCAACUGGAACGGGACCUUCAUUUGGGAUCCCCAGGAUUAAACUAAUAUCCUUGGAUAUUAAAGGCAGCACACCAUCUCCAUGUACAUUCAAAUUGCUCAAUGUCGGAUUAAAAUUAUCGACGAGCCAGGUAGCUAUGCCACUAGGUAUCCAGUGACACUGUAUGUCUAGCAGCCCUCCAAACCCUAUGUCUCUAAUCUGCUGUUUCUUAGUUUCAUCGAUUCGUGAAACUAAGUUUGACAUUUGCUUUGGUGAGCAACGGAUAGUGUACUUCUGAUUCUGCACCAUUUUUUAGAUAUAUGCAUUAGAAAAAUAUAUAGUUUCAUUAAGUGUUUGACGAAUCAUGACGUGUAUUUACCUUGAUCUGAACCCGUGCUUUUCGCACUAUCGGCUUUCCUAAACGUUCCAUUUCUUUCUCGUACUCUUCUAUCUCUUUCAAAUACUCCUCCUUUCGCUUCCUCAAUUCUUCCUCACUCAACUUAUUAUAUGCUGCUCGGACAAUAUCAUUAUACUGCAUUGAAUAAACAAAGUCAAUAGACACGUUAAACUAAACACAGAAUAAUUGCUCAUUUCACUAUUUUUUCGUUAAGCAGCCCAUCAAUUCAAUGAUUGCAGUGUUUAUUUUGUUAGGACAUCAUACCUCUGUCAACUUAACACCCUUCGCCGAAACCGUGCGUUGAUACUCUUUCCUGUCCACAUUCAAAGCUCCAAAGGUAUUUGUGCUAUUUAGUAGCAUUAUUUUUUCCUCAAAUUCAAUAAUCUUACCUGAACUUCAUCCAUGGAUUCAAUGGUGGGACUGGUUCUGCUACCUCGCUUGUUCCCACUGUAACCAUUUUUUCGUCUCCAUCUAAACGAUCAUUCCUUUUAUUGCUUCUUUACCUUCCCAUCCGGCCCCUGAAUAAUUAACAUUGUAAUGCAUUAUAAUGAUGACAAAUCUAACCUGCCACGACCAUACACAAACACUGGCCACUUACCUAUGUGUUCUGUACUACCACUUGUUUCGACGAGUUUUUCUCUGUCUGCUUCCUGAAGUGUGCUUCCUACUCGCAUUCUUGCCAUGUAAACUAAUGUUUUUAACAAAUAAAUUGCACUUCAAUUCCAAAAUUUUAUUUCUAGCCACAGGCAUAAUAUACCAUGAAGUAAUGUUAAACAUAAUAUAUGAGUAUCAAAUAUUAGUCAUACUAGUUAUAGUACAACUUGUAACAUUUUUUUCACACUGAGUAAGUCAUUCUUCACAGUUUGUUAUUUAUUCCAACUACCACUAAUCUACAUAAUCUGUUGUUCUACCUAUCAGAUUGUACUUGGGAUCAACUUCUUCUUCUACUUAUCAUGCUAUUGUACAAUACCAAUGCAGUAGAAAUAGGAGGCAACCAAUUUAUAAUAUUUUCAUGGAAUUUUACAGACCAGUUCUAUUACUGUAACUUCUGACCUACUAUGUGUAACAACUAUCAAAGAUGAUGUCCAACCACAACAAUUACUGUACUAGUAAUCUUCCUUUUCACAAUUUGUUUGCCUCAAUACCAAAGUUUCUGGUUAAUUAUACCCCAUUUAGUUAUUUCAUAAUCUAUUCUCCUACCCAUCAAGUUCGAUGCAAUCACCUUCUCCUUUACUUAUCACCCUAUUCAACAAUACGAAUGAAGUAACAAACCCGUGGAAUAAUUUUAAAGUAUGUUCAGCCAAUUUUACAGAACACUUCUAUUACUGUCACUACUAAAUGACUGCGUGUAACAAUUAUCCAACAUGAUGUGCACCUACAAUAAAUAGCAAGAUUCGUAACUGUUUUUCCACACUGACUAUGUCACACUUCACCAUUUGUUAUUCCUUCUGCCUCAUAUUGUCAACUUAUAAUCUACUCUCAUACUUAUUCACUUCCAACCCAGAAACUUGUCUCUCUUUAUGCAACUAAACCAAUAAUCAUACACCAAUAUAGUACAAAAUAUGAGACGCACAACUGAGUACAAAACAUUUGAACUCUGUUAUUUCUCUGUACCUGUUAAACCACAACAUGUAACAAUUAUCCAACACUGUGUUCAUGCACACGAACUAAUACAAUAAACAUACACCAAUGAAGACCCAAAUACGACAUCCCAAUUUCAAACUAACAUUUCUAUUCUGUUUCUGUUCUGUUCUUGUUAAUCCAUAACAUGCAUUAGUUCUCCAUGUUUUAUGUUUAUGCAUAACAACGAAUGUAGCAGUGUAUGAUACACUCAACACGUUGUACUAUCUACUUACCACAUACUAAUUAUAAUCUACACCCAUGUUUUACACCUACGAACUCCCAAACCCAUGCACACAUUUUCUCAAGCAGUUGUGCCACAAGAAUUUCCCUCCUUUCCUACUCUCCUAUUUCGAUGCUCAAAGACUAACACAUAAUACUCCUAUUACGCUGUACUUAUUAAUUACUAUACACAAAAUCGUGAAGUAGUGAUAUCCCUCUAAGCAACAUCAUACUGUAUGCCAACAACAUUCACAAGUAAGGUCCUUCCAUUUUUUUGUCAAAUUACAUGCAUAGUACUACAUCAUCCUAGGACUCAAAAUUGUUUUACCUAACUGAUUUGCAGUCGUUCACUACUCUGGAUCCCACGAUCUUCCACUCUUCAAACUUGGGUUCACAUUUCUUCUUCUUUAAAUAAACCCGAAUCACCAAAAAAGUUGUCCACGGCUCCACCACUUCUUACUUCUCCUUGCUGUGAUUUUCCUUCAACAAUGCGCACUUCCACAACUUUUCGCAAUGUCACGUUGGAGAGUGUUGGCCAAUCUCCUCUUUUUCUCUGUUAUUUCUCCUCUCGUAGCUUUUCGCAGGCAGUUGUGAAUUUCAGCAACUGCUUUCGUUUGGUUUGGGUGGGAGUCUAAGUGCGACUCUUCAUUUUCAACCUUUCGUUUUGGGCGGGAGGAUGCUUACUAAAGGUGCUAACCUUCUGUAAGUUGCCGUUACCCCAAAUACGUCUAUAAAUUUUUUUUUCACUUCUCACUUACUAAAAUGACAUCGUUUUGGGGUUGCUGAAAGCCUUCUGACGUGGUUCAUUUCUCACAUUUCGUUUCUGUUAGUGAGAUGACCGCUCGGGAACGGACUCGGGGCACGGACGGUUGCACCUGCAACCGUCCCUGCCAAUUUUGGUUAUUAUCAACUGGCCGUAACUUUCUUUGUAUAUCGUGUAACUUUUUUUUCACAGGAUGUAUUUUCACAACAGAUAGUGGUAGGUCCCAUACUUGGUGCGGAAAUCGAGUUACAUGAUGUAAUCUCAGCCGCACAAAAUUUUGAUGGCAAAUCUUAGCCCUUAAUAGUAUGACCGUCCCUGCCCCAAAUCCCUCGGGAACGGUCAAUCUGAUGACCGUUCCCGCCCCAAAUCCAUAUAGGCAUUGUGGAAAAGGGUAUUUGAAUUUCAGAACCAUUAUUCUAUAGAACAACACGUAAAAGGCUUUUUUUCAGGUUUUUGUUUGGUCUGUAACAGGUUCGAAACUGUACAAUAAAAAAAUCAACUCAAAAAAUUAAAAAUUUGCAUAUAGUGGUAAGUAGGGUCGUUUCCAUAGGGAUUUGAGAAAUUUGCUUCUUUUUAGAGUGAUACUUAUGGGGGGAUUUUUGGAAAAUUAGAAAAUAACUAAUUAAUUAACUACGAAAACAAUUCACAAAAAUAAACAUGAAUUAAUCAAUAAUAGAUAUAACUCUAGCCAAAAGUGUAACUUUUCAGAUAGUAUUCACAUAACUGACCAUUAAUGUAAAGAUUGUUCAAUUAUUCAUUAAUGGAUUGGUUAUAACCAUCAACAAACUCUGAUAGUCAAUUUUUUCUUACUUUUUUGAUAGUCAAGAUACGACCGUUAACUAUUUUUUUAACCAAGAAAUAACCCUAGGUACGACCAUAGGAUUUAAUUUUCUGACUGCAUUAAAAACUAGAAAAAUCUAACUCUAAUCAACAAACAUGCUACGAGUGUUUGUUUAAUUAAAUCAUACGUUUCUCUAACAUAGAACCAAUUACGUUAGUUGCCAUUAAUAUUAACCAAUCAAAUAAUUAUGGAUUUAAUUGAUUAAUACAGCAGUAGAUUAUUAGGUUAAUUCAAAUAUCGGUCCUCUGAAAUUCAAAUAACAAAAUAAUCAUAAAAAGUUAAAUCAAAAAACGUAUAAAUUUCAAUGAAUUAAAAGAAAAAAUUAAAAAUCAAUUCGAUGUCACAGAUAUUUAGAACCGCAUAAUCAAAUUGACUUUUGACUAGAAAAGAAAAUUUAAUUGCUUAUCAUUGAGAAAAAUCCCAACGCGAAUUAUGGUGAAUCUCAAUGAACAUGCGGCCACGAAGAAAAGCAAAGAGCAAAGGUUCGUCGUUUUCUUUUUCCUGAGCAAAGAGACGCGAUGUUAUCACUUAUCACUAAUAAAGCUGACUCUAUGGUCCUAACUUUUCUCCUAGUAUGUAGCUAUUUAGAUAAAGUCAACUUCCUAAUUGGAAAAGAAAAACUUAAAAAGAUAAUUUCCUUGUUUUCUAAUUACAUACUCUAACUAAUAAAUACAGAAAUCUUCUUAAUCUUGAGUUAAGGUCCGUUCAGAAUUUGACUCAAAUAUAUAAAUUUGAGAAGGAAUUUUUAGCAACAAGUCUCCACGUAUCUUCCCACUACCAAUUCCAUUUUUCUAGCAUUUCACAUUUAAUUUAAUUUACAAAAUAUAUUCCUCUCAACUUCCACAUCUACUCUUUAUAUUUGAAAUUGUUGGUUACUUUUUAAAAUCAUGUCAUUUCAAAUUGUAUCGAUAUAAAUUUGAGAAGGGAUUUUUAGCAACAAGCCUCCACGUAUCUUCCCACUACCAAUUCCAUUUUUCUAGCAUUUCACAUUUAAUUUAAUUCAUAAAAUAUAUUCCUCUUAACUUCUACAUCUACUCUUCACAUUUGAAAUUGUUGGUUAUUUUUUUAAAAUCAUUUCAUUUCAAAUUGUUGGUUAAUGUGUAUGUUAUCCUAUUUGAACUUCAACCCAUCACGUUUCCGAUUGUCUUGCGUUAUUUAUGAUUUUACAACAAUUAAAACUUCUAUAUGACCAUAAAAAGAGAUAACAAAUAUAACAUCCUUUCAUGCUUUCUUAUUAAUUUAAAUAAGUAAGAUUAUUUACACUCCAUUUUUGUUAUUCACCCUUCAAUAAUCAUUUUGAUCAUAUAAUUUUCAUUAAUUAGACUAUAUGAUAAAACAAAUGGUGGAAUUGUAAAUAAUAAAAAAUGGAGUGCAAAUAACAUUUUCUUUAGUAAGAAGUGACUUCCAUGCCUUUCUAAUUUAAAAAGGUAGUGGCUUCGCUUAUAUAGGAAUUUGGUUUGAAAUUUAAUAGUGGGAGGGUAAAUAAAAAGAAAACAUUGCCAAACUUAGUAAAAGUAAAAAAGUAAAUGAUAAUAUUUUAUCUUUUAACUUAUUAAUCCUAAGUAAAAUGGCAAAAUUAAAUAGCAAACAAAAAGGAACUAAUGUCGUGGAUUUAAAAAAUCAAGAAUGAUACCAUUCAUGAAAUCCAAAUUAUGAAAUCACUAAAUAAAAAACAAAGUACUACUAGCCUUUUAGCUUGGAAUUUUUUUUUGAAAUAUUCAUUUUUGAUAAAAAAAAAUAAUGAUAAUAACAACACCAAUUCUACCAAAAAUUUUUAAAAAAAGUGACAUUAUAGCUUAAGAGAAAGAUAUAAAACAUUCAACCCUAAAAUACUACUUAAUUUGUAUAUAUUUGGCCCAAAUUUGACAUUAGAUUUGAAUAAGAGUGCAAAACCCAAACACUAAGGAUAAGUUUUGGUAUCAUUAAUUAUUUUAUGUAUUCUUAUUGCUGUCUUCAUAUGUAAAUAUGUAUUUGCUAUGUUAAAUAUAUAUAUAUAUAUAUAUAUAUAUAUAUUGAUUGUAGUACUUGAGGAUAUUAUAGUUAUUAUCAGUUUUUCAUUUCCAUUUUUAGAUACUAAUAAUUGCAACCAUUGUAAUUAAUUUUCAAUUUUAUAUUUUCAUUAUGAUAGGUAAAGUUAAAUAUAUUGGGUCACAGAGAUAUGAAUUUAGAGAUUAGGUAAAGGGGGAGGAGAGAGGGAAGAAAAUGGUGAGGAGUUGAAAAAUAGCAAGAAAGGUUGAAGAAAAAAUACGGGUUAUAAGGAUAGACGGAGAAGGGAGAGAAGAAAAAAGGAGAUUGCAGGGAUAUGACAGAGAUGACAAAAAAAAAAAAAAAAUAGAGAGAGCAGUACCAUAAUAGAAGAUAUGAAAGUCGUAUGAGGCAUUGAUGACUAGCUGGCGUACAAGAGAAGAGGGAAAUGAUAGUAAUUUUUAAUAACUUUGAGAAUUCUAAAAACACAUAUUACAGAGAUUUUUUUUUAAAAUAUACGUUAAAGUUUAUGAAAAAUGCUAAUAUAAAUGCAGUCAACAAUUUUAAGGGCACAAUAUAGGAGAAAGGUUUUUUUUCUAAAAAUAGAAGAAAAUAAAUUGGUUAUAAUUUAUUUUUUUAUAUUAUAAGUUUUGAUAUAUGGGUCUAACAUAAUAUGUUUUGUCGGAUAUUGAUAAAUUGACCUUUUUUUAAAAAAACUCUUCUCACCUUACCACCCAACCUAACAUCUCCUUAAAUGCGUUAACAAUUCUUUUAUCAUAUAAAUCAUUAUAGAUUAAAUUUUUUUUCAAAAUAUUAAGCAUACGCUUCUUUAAAAUUUUUAGUCUAUAUAUAUAUAUUUAUUAUUUUGUACCACAAUAUAUAAAUAUAUACAAUAUUAAUUUAAUUUGAAAUAUAACCCGUGCUAAAUUUUUUUUCAAAAUAUUAAGGAUACGCUUCUUUAAAAUUUUUAGUCUAUAUAUAUAUAUUUAUUAUUUUAUACCAUAAUAUAUAAAUAUAUACAAUAUUAGUUUAAUUUGAAAUAUAACCCGUGCAUAGCACGGGUCAAAAUACUAGUUUGACUCAAAUUAGGGAACUUCUACUUGCAGGAAAAUUCCAAGUCUCUUGGACUUGACAGCAGGUCUUGACUGUGCUUACAUCAAACUGGUCCGAAGCCAUCUGAAAAAUUGCCCAUUUAAUCACUUUUUGCUCCACUUUUCUACAAUUAAUGUCAUUAACCAAAUAUAAGUAGAAACUACCAAUUAAUACAACAUUUGAUCAAAAAUCAAGGGGAAAAUAUUUAAAAAAUUACUAACAAAAAACACCCUUUCAGUCCCUAGCAAUUGCAACAUUUUUUUUUAUUUAUUUGAUUAUUUGUUUAUUUCUUUGGCCUUUUCCUUUUGAUCUUUUUCCCUUAAAUGCGAACGCCUUAGGUAUUUCAAUAUGCCAUUGAUUCAAUUUCGCAACUUCCUUUCAGAGUGUAGUAUUACUUGUGCAAACUUAAUGUAUUGCUUUCUUUGGAUCGCAUUGAAUUAGAAUCUCAGUGAUUGACAUUUGACACAAAAUCGUAGUUUACGCAUGCAAUAGCUAAAUAACUUAAAAUAACUUUAACUUUUUUAUUACUCAUUUUAAGCGAAAAUAAAAACUGUACGUGCCAAUUAUUUAAACCAUAUGGUGAAGAUUUUUUUUUUUAGUUAAAGCAAAAUAUUUUAUUUUGUUCUGGGACAGAAGAAAGUUUUUAUUUAGCAGGCCCAUAAUUAUAAAGCUAAAUGAAAAGUUACCUGUUCAAACCUCACUAACAAUGCACAAAAAAUCCAGGGAAGCUGACGGACAUAUUGUAAAGUGUCGCAAUUCAUAAUCGUGAAUGAGUGAUAAUUCUAAAGCAUUAAUACUGAAUUCACCUUCAAUUCAAUUUCAAUGAUCUUAUCCAAAGCCUAAUCGAAAAUUUCCACAAGCACAAAUUCCACUUUUAAUAGAUCCAAAAAUUCUUUUACAAAAUAAUCCACAAGUCCCAUUAACAAAAAAACAGAAAAGGCAGAAAGUUAUCAAUCCAAGAUCCCAGCCUGCUGGUAGCUUUCGACAGAGUCAACAAGAGUUUCUUCCACUGGCCUAUAUCUCCAGCCCAGCCUCUGCAAUUUUCCUGAGCUAACAUUUCCUCGGCCUUGAUCAUCCUUCACCUCUAUAAAUCUGCGAAUAAAUGAACUAUUUGAAGAAUAUAUGCAGACAACAUAAAUAGUUCUUGUAGAGACUCUUAGAUGCCACAUUUAUGGAAAUCAAGAUGGACAUGAACCAAAAAAAAAAAAAAAAAAGAAUCAGGACAAACUGGGAGUCAGAAAAAUCAGACAAUUUCAAAGAUAGUAAUCCACCUCUUAGGGUACUUAUAGUUGGGAUAGUUUUUCCUCAGAAUUUCCACUGUAUCCUUUGUCGUAGUGAGGUGAGAUGAACAUAUGUACCGCCCCUCAGCUUCAGGUCUACCGUAAACCAAAAGCAGUGCUUCAGCCACAUCACGCACAUCUACCAUAUCCCGGAAUUUGUUUUCUAUUUCUUCAUAUCCUUCUGUGCAGCCAGGGAGCGGAAAAAAAGAGCAGUUUAAUCUCAAAAAAUUAUGUUAUCUAAGCUAAUCUCUGAGUUCUUUAAUGCAUAUAUGAAAAAUACAAUUCCUUUGAUAAAUCGUACGGCAAUAAAUUCAUGCGACUUUUGAACUGCAAAGGACCUACAAGUCACAACAUUAAGCUUUUGUAUCUUUAACUACGGCUCAAAGCAAUCAUGCAAACGGUUGAAAGAUGCAACCUCCUCAGAUGCUAUGCCUACCAUCUGUCUCACCUUCCAUUAGGUUAAACUCACAAUUUCACAUCAAUAAAAUUUGAAUAGCUUGUGUAUAUGUCUGGAAAGAUUACAGUGGCAUUAAAAAAAAAAAAAUUUAGCAUCAUUGGUAGUUUAACUUUCCCUGCCAUCAAGCAGAAAAUUGAAUUUCAUUCCCACAGUAAAAAACAGACACCACAAUCUUAAGUUUUUUAUAUCACUUUGCAAAUCUUAAGAUCAUUGUCAAAAUCAUAGACUAUCAGAAUGGCAGACAGCGUAUGGGUUUAGAAUCUGAAAACGUUUCAGCUGGCUUGAAGAUUCAAAAACAAAUGCCAAAAAGACAGCAAAGCAGUUAUCUCCAUGAAUAUAGUUUCAUUCCUAGAAGGUCAACCACAAUCAGAUAGAUGGAUUUUGCAAACUUUAUUGGGCAUCAAUUCAUUGUGCAUCAUGUAAGUAACACUGGGAGCCAGAAGCGUAAAAAUUGAUGGUUUACUUGGAAAAAUAAUUAAUUCAUCUGAGCUCCACAGAGACAUAUAUGCUCACAUAGGCACAAACCAAUAUCUAAGAGAAACCUGUAUCCUUUAUGACCACUUCCACGCAGAAUGUGAAAGAAAGAAAAAUAAUAUGUAAGACAAUGGAAUAAGUUCUCUAACUGACUACAAGCACUAAUAAAUCACCUUUCAACAGCUUUAUAAGAGCCAGACUGCUAGCAUUCACAUCAUGCUGAAGCAUGGGGCCGAGAACAAAGGAUGGGCAUACAGUUAAAACAUCAAGGCCAGUUUCUUUUGCAUAUUGUAAAGCCUCACUUUCAGCAACCGUCUUGGAGUAACAAUACCAGUUCUGAAGAAAUAUUAGUACUAGAUCGUCAGCGAAAAACAGCUAGUAGUUGCAAAAAUCUAAUUUUUCAGCAAUCUUAGAAACUGUAUGAAUAAGACAGUGAAUUUUCUGCACAACAACAAAACUACAGUGCAACUACAAAAAGUCAAAUUAUAUAGAUGCAUACAUUUGUUGUCUUGCAGUAUUCCCCGUCUGACCAACACGUCUCAUCUAUAAUUUCACCUUUAUGCCGAUUAGGACUCACAACAACAGCAGCAACAGAGGAAACAGCUACAACGCGCUUGACAUUUGCUUCAGAACAAGCCUUCAGUACAUUAAGGGUACCCUUUACAGCCGGCUCAACAAGUUCAACCUGCAACAAAUCAUCAUGUUGGCAGACGUACUAGCACUCAACUCAACUCUACAUGCUCAAUUGCUUGUAUUUGCAUAAAAUAUAUCCAGAUAGACAACUAAGUAGUGUCAGUUAACCUGACAUCUUUAGAGCGAAUGAGUACAAAGUUAAAGACUCAUGACUGCUUAUGCUAGUGAUUAACUUGGUUACCAGCAUCAGUUAUUAUUAUAUGCAUUUAUUCACUCAUUUCAACAUUUGAAAAUUCCCUCCACAAAUAGAUAGAAAGGCAAAGAGCCCCAGUGACUUCAUAAGUUUGUACAAAAGCUUUAACAAGAUCCUAUUUUGAACUAUACACAACUUUAGCUCAUGUUUGGCAAAACGCAAAGAAAUAUAAUCUGUAAUGACAAUAGCUGUCUCCCAUAAACAAAAGAUCUGUUAAAAAUGUUAUUCUGGGGAAACCAAAAGAAGGAAAUAUCAUAGCAAUUGAAAAGAUUGAAAAUGGUCUUGCCUCAGGAUUGGGAACAGAGCCUGAAGGAACAGGACUAGCUACAUGAAAUACGCCAUCACAGCCCCUGAUGGCUGCAGAAAUGGAGUUGUAAUCCAGCAAAUCAGCCUUAAAGAGUUUCAAAUUCUCAGCUGCUUUGUCAAGUUUCUUCAGAUGAACAUAUUUCUCAUCCUCUACAAAAAAUUUACAGCAAUGCCCACAUCAUCAAAUAACGAAGCAGACAAUUCACAGCAGGUGCUAUUCUAUAUUUCCUCAAUUAAACAUAUUUCUCAUCCUUCAAAACACAUUUACAGCAACCCACUGCAUCAAAUAGGAAACAGCCAAUUGACAGCAGGCAAAAAAUCAAUUAUUGUAUUAAACGGAAAGAAACAAAUUAUUAAAAAAAAAAACCAAACAUAAAAGAAAAAACCGAGGAGCAAAUUAGGAAGGAAGGGAUAAGAGGAUGAAAUACCUACCGGGAUUUCUGAGGGUGGCAUGAACAGUAUAAUGGCGGGAAAGGAGUAGCUUGACUAACCAAGAUCCCAGGUAUCCCCCUGCUCCUGUAACACAUACUGUCCUGGCCUUCUCAGCCUCCCACGCUGCCAUGUCUGAUUGCUUACUUGUAGCAGUAGUGGGAUUAGUAUUUUAGUACCAGAUUCACUAUAGAUUGAUCAAGAAGGUGGAUAAAGUUUUAUUCUUUUCUUUAUUAUGAGUAUUAGUUCUUUUUUGGUUGGAUAAAGUAGCGAUUUCGCCGAUUCUUAAGGAGGACGAUUGGAAGAGAGGGCGGUUGGAGUAGGAGGAGGAGGACGGUGACGGUGACGGUGACGGUGACGGUGGCGGUGGCGGUGGCGGUGGCGGUGGGAUUUUGAAUGGAUGAGUACUGUAUGUAGUAGCUGGCGGAUUCCAGUGGUUUCUCUCAAUAGUCAAUGGUAAGCUACCAAGCAAAAUAAGCUAAUGAGGGACAAUUGCACUUUACACCCUUUUAAUUAUACCGGAUUCUCAUUUUGAUCACUAUACUUUAAAACAUAAUAUUUUUGUCUCUAAAAUACAAAAUUUGUCUAUUUGAAUAAAAAUUAUAAAAUCGUCGACAGAAUGAGAAAGAUUUUACAUUUUAUAAAUUAAAGUGGAACAUAUUUUAUAUUUUAAAAACUAAAGUAUGAUAGAUUUUAUAUUUUAAUUACUAAAAUGUACUUUUUUUUAAUUUAAAAAAAUACGAUGCAAAUAUGUAUAGUUAAACGUAUGAAAGAGAAAUUAAUACAGUAAUGUUUGGAGGCCGUUUAUAGUUUUUUUUUUAGUAAAUAUUUUCUUGAAACAUUUCAUAUUUUCUUUUUAUCUCACAUAAUUAUGUUGUUAUAAUACAUUUUUCUACAAAAAUUUCAUAAUAUUGCAAUCCAAAUGGGAAAUUAUUUGAACAUAAGCGUAAAAUUUUAUAUUGGGGACAUUCUCUACUUUUCAUGUGCUUAUCAAGUACUGUUAGGAGAAGAAAGCUGCUCGCCAAUGAAAUGUCCUUAAGCAAUCCUAUUUGUUAACCUAUUGCAAAAUUGUAUCAAAUAAAAUUUGGUAUAGAAGGAUAAAAUUAUGAGGAUGUAAAACUUAUUUUGAUGGAAAUAUAUUUAUUUCAUAGUUUUUUUAUCAAGCUGCAAAACAAUUAAGUUUCAUAAAGCUCUAAGAUAAGAGGGAUUUCCUUUUGAAGUUUUAUCACUAGAGACAUAAUUAUGCUAGCACUUAUACUACAGUGAGUGAAUGUACACCUAUUAUUAAAUAUUUUGAUUUAGAAAUAAUGUAUAAGAACAAAACACAAAUUAUAUCAUAAGAACUAAACACAAAAAUAAUAAUAGCACAAGUGUUAAAAACAUUAUUGUAAAAAAUGCUAUGUGCAGUCAAGCACAAAUGACCAAGUGAUCUUUCACAUUGGUAGAUGCACUCAAAAGAGGUAACUGGACAAAGUAAAUCAUGCACUCAAUUUUGUGCAGCUUUAAUGUAUAAUUCUUGAACAUUCACAUAUGGAAUAUAUUGAACAUUCAUAGAAAUAUUCUUAAACACUACUAUCAUGGUUAGAAUAUUUUUUCUUUUCAUCAAUUUUUGCAAGUAAUUUAUUGACAAUCAUUUCAAAAGGUAACAUACGUAACAUUCAACGUACAUAUUUUUGUGUUUGUAUUAUUAAAAGCGUUGGCCAUUUUUUCGUUUGGAUUGCUUUUUUUUUUUUAUCAAAAUUUUUUUUACAUUUUUCAUGAAUACAUUUUCUAAUAACAUUUUUAUCUCACAUAUAUUAAAUCGCUAUAACACAUUUUUUUUAAUAUAAAACUCCAAAAAAUAACAAUCCAAACGGGCUAAUUUUUGGUGGUUGCACGACAUUUAUAAUUUACAUAUGCUUUCUCCACUUUGACAAUUCAUACAUUCUCAAAUCCACUUUGAAUUGACUAUUACCAAAUUAACAUGAAGAAUAAAUGACAAAUUACAUGAAUGAACUCAUGUACCAUUUCUCACAAAGGAUAGCGUUUCACAUUUAUUCACUGGUAAUUUAAAUACAAUACAACAUUGCCUUGGCUUAGAUGCUAACUAAAUUCUUCUCCCUGAAGCUUUCAAUCGUAUCCUUUAAGCUGACCUCCAAAGGAAUAAAUUGAACUCCUAAAUUCUUUGCCUUCUCGUUGGAUACUGUGUGGGCCGGAUAAAAAAGGUUGCUAUUGUCCGACAAUCUGUAGUAUGUUAAGAAAAUUCAGAAAGGACAAGUAAAUAAAGCAUAGUUGAAAAGAAAAUGCUAAUGUAAAAUUAAACUCCACAAAAUUUGCAGGAGACAGUAAUGCUUCACAAGCAUUUUGCCUUUACACAAAAUUUCUGUCAUAUAUGGUAAGAAAAUUUAGUUUAAAACUUUUGUUACAAUCCAUUAUAUCAAAGGGCGAAUUGCAUGGAUUAAUGGAAGGGAUGUAUUUAUAUAAUUAACUUUUCAACUUUCCAUAUGAACUAAAACUAGAAAAAGACAAAAUCAGAAAAUGCUGGCUGAGACAAAACCUGGCAAACAGAAUCUUAGGUGACCAGAAUCAAAUUCAUUUCCAUCACCUAAAACUCAAUUAUCUAUAAUUUGCAGAGGAAACCAAUUUGGAGAUCCUUCUCCCAAGAAGAACAGUAGAAACAAAUUUCAAAUUUGAGAAAGAGCUCAUUUGAUGAGAACAUGAGACAAAAGAUGCAGAAAAUUCUGGAUUUGAUUCUGGAUUUGAUGUAUGUACUUUGUUAAAUACAAACAAAAAUUAUGAGAUACAUCAUGAAGGUGCAUAUUGCCAUCAACAACAGCCUAUAAGGACAUAUACUGACAAAAUUGACAAGGAAAAAGAGACUUACUUAUCCAGAAAUUUAUGAGCAGGGUAAUGUCCACGCAAAAUGUUGAUGACCUGAGAGGCAUGUGCUGAUCUCCCAACCAGACAAUAUCUUCCACUUGCAGAAGGGAUUUCAAGGGCAAGAAUAUGCGCAUAGGCAACAUCUCUAACAUCAACCCAUCUAAGAGUUGCAUUAGGAAAUGCUCCAGCCCCUGCAUUAAGUAGAUAAGUUAAUGAGAUCUUUAAGCAUAUAUACUAUUGUCAUUUCACCUCUCCUCUAGAUAGGCAAACAAAAGAAAUUUCCAAUUUUAAGUUCCAGAAGAUUUGAAUUAGCAAUCACUUCUUGAAAUGAAAGUCCUAUCAUCACGGUACAAGGUGGCCAUUUGACUCCAAAGACUCCUUGUCAAUGGGAAAAGUAAUAAAACAAGCUGAUUAGCAAGUAGUCUUAAGACAGGCAGUGACAACACAGAAUGAAUUUUUCCUGUCGGUGCCCUCCCAAAAAAUUCCUCAAGGAAGAAAAAGUUAUAACAUCUUCCACCCCAAAAAGUGUUGUUCUUCCUGAAAUUUUCAUAGAAUCUCAAUGUCACAAAGAAUAGAAGAUGCAAGCAACAUGAAUGUCAGAAAAAUGGUUGGACAGCAAAGCUUUUUGGCAUGACCAGCUGAUAGACCAGAUAGCUUGAUAUAUCAGUUCACAUUUCUAUCAAUGUCUGUCAAUUAAGUGCUCCAUUACAAUAAUAAGCUAGCAGAACCUUACAAUUUUAUUAGUGUCAUAGAUACUUUGUUGUAUGAUAACAGAGACAUUUUAGUUCAUGAUAAAGCUAUAACAAAACACAGAUGAACAUCAUCUAAUACAGCUCACGACAUACCAUUCACUAGGUUGAGAAUGAAUUCUGUGCUGAGAUUAAUAGAUGGCUGCAAGACUGGACCAACUACGAAUCCUGGAUGAAUUGUGAUUAUCUCAAUGCCAUGCUCCUUUGCGAAUUUCCAUGCAGCAUCCUCUGCCAAGGUUUUUGAAAGUGCAUACCAAGACUACACCAUAAAAAUUGUUAAAAAGUUGGUUGCUUUGUAGCCAAAAAUACAUAGUUUUCAGACUCAAUUAAGAAGUAAUAUUUAAAUUUUUUAGAAAAUGGAAAAACCUGUUUCCAUCAUUUGGAGCUACUACUUAUGCGGCCAUAAAGCACAAAUUGAAAGCAUGCAUAUUGGAGAAGCUAUUUUACAAAUUAUUAAGUAGAUUCUCAAGGAUGCUAAGAAUGGUAUUGAUUUUUCCUUUUAAGACUCACCAAUGUACUUUAAUUUAAUUAUGUGCAAGGGAUGAUGCAAAGCACCAGUGUUAACAUACUCCUGAUAGUAUGAUCUCUUCAUCCACGAGUCGACACAAAAUGACAAAGGUAUUUGACUUGUGACUGAUCAAGCCAUAUUCAUGACUUUCUAGCAGAAGUUCCUUGACAUUUGACCAAGCAAACAUUGAUCAUCUUGCAAUGCCUUUCCAGACAAUAAUGUGGAACUUGAUUCUACAGCUUCAUUUAGGAGAUGCGCCGUUGACUAUUCCAUACUUUAUUAUCUCUUUCCAAUUAAAGCUAAGCUGUUACUUAAAGGAAGAAAAGAAAGAGGAUCCACCUUUCUGGCCUGCCCUUUAAUCAAAGGAUUCUAUCAAUUACAUUGCCCCAAAAAACAUCCUUCUUUCCUAUAAAAGUACCAUGAAGCCAUGAAGAUCCUAUAUUAAUUUUCCCCAUACUUGGACUAAGCUCCUCAGACUUUGUCCAAUAACAAGUUGAAACUACAGAAAUCUAGCAUUCCAUAUAUACAUAAUUUAACAGGUAGAAAUAGAUGAUAACAUACCUUCUGCUCCUCACAGUAUGAUGGAUCAGAAAACCAACUUUCAUCAACGACCACGUUCUCCUUUAAUUCUCUAUUGUUUGAAACUGCAGCCAUAGAAGAUGUUAUAACAACUUUUUUUAUAGAUGAAACUUUUUCACAUGACCGUAGCACAUUGACUGUUCCUCUGACUGCAGGUUCCAGUAGUUCUGCCUAGAAAAUGAAACAAAGACAAAAAACGAAGUCAUUACUGGGCAACAAAUAAGCCUAUGCUUGCAUCCUGCACAAUCAUGUUGGUAUUCUGAUUUUAGAUUUUACUAUAAAUUCUGUACCCUUUACCAGACCAUGUCUCCACCACAGUAACAACUAAAAGCUCAAACAAGUCGCAGAACUGGUUCCCUAGAAGUUUCAAACAUCAGCUAGCUAAGUACAGUGAAAUCAUGGCUUGAAAAACACAGAGAGAGAAAAUAGAAAAGGUGUUGCUCCUACAACUCCUGCAAAGAGAUUUUAGCGAAAAAAUAAACAGCGAGCAAUAUAGGGUUACUAUCAAACUUAUUUGGAAUUUUCUUUUGAUGUCUACGAGUCAAUGGACCAUGAACUAGCUAGAUAGCCUUGUUCAUUAAAAUAACUAAAAUCAAACUUCUAGUGAGUUACUUAAAGGGGAGCCCCACAAACGCAAUUAGAGAAAUGAACAAGGAUAGGCACACUACGUAAAACCAUAAGGCACAAUCAUUAGCAGAUAUGAAUCAAUUAACAAAGGAAGAUGCAUUCAAUCUGCAGAUGCUCAAAUGUAUGUUCAGUUGAUAUGAGAUUCUUAAUCAUUAUAAUUUGCGUACUCAAAAACCAGAAUUCUAUAUUGACUAACAGAUUAGCUAGCCAAAGCAGGGACUUAUUUGCUACAGGGACAAGCUUAAACCUAGCUCUAGCACCUUACACUGACUGAAUAAUGCAGAAAUAUAAUUCGAUAGAUCUUGUCGACAAGCCCACUUGUAGACCAUGGGAAUGUGCUCAACUCUUAAUUUUUUUCAUUGCCUAACAUCAACAUUCUUCCAAUUGUAUCUCUGAAGUAGCAAUAGCUAAAUCAUUUACUAGAGAUCUCAUAUAUAGGUAUCCAAGAUAAUGAAGCACGAAGCAUAUCACAGUCUUCUUACCGUGACCUUCAGGAAGAGGAUUGUGCAUCUACAGACUUUAAAGAAAAAUUCUUCACAGUUUUACCCUGGAAACUAUAUUACUCUCUUCCAUUUUGCAUAAUAAAAGAGAAAUCGAAACACAUCAUAAAGCCAUAGAAUUGGAAAUAAGAAACUCCCUAUUUGUAGUCAGUAUUGAUGCUUUAACAUCAUAUAAAUCAAAGUCCAAAGGAAUAUAUAUCAUCCAAAAAAGCAAGUAGAAAUGAAAUAUUGGCCGGCAAUAGAAGAAUAUAGUAAAAAAAAAAAGUAGUAGUAAAAUUAGAUAUUCUACAAAGCAUGUCAAGAAUUUUAAAUUCCGUUGAAUAGAAAGCAAUUUUUAUUGACAAUAAAAAAUUUCCAGUUUGGUAAAGAAAAUGCACCUCUGGAUUGCUAACUGAAAGUUGAACUGGAGAUGCGGUAUGGAAAACACCUUCACAUCCCUCAACUAUUGCAUCAAAGGAUCCCUCUUCUAAUAAGUUUGCCGAGAACAAGUGAAGCCUUUCCUUUGCUCCAGCAAGUGAUGUCAAAUGCUGUGUCUUUUUUGGAUCAUCUGUGGCAUGAUUGCAUCAAGGAGAGGUUCAGACCGCUACAAUUAAUCCCAAGCUAUCUUAGAAAAGUCUAUCAUGUUUUUACCAUGGCUAUAUUUAAGGAGACUUGGACCCAGAGUAAAUAAUGGAAGAAUCCCAAUGCAACAAUAAAGUGAUUACUUGUAUGGAUACAAUAACAUUAUAGAAAUUUCCUUUUCUUUUAACCUUUUUCCUACUCGUUUUGUGUUUUUUUUUUUUUUUUGCUUGCCCAAAUUCAUUCCUAGUUUUAGACCACCAGCCUUUCACCUUUAAGCAUUGGGAGCCAAAAAUGCAGAUAAAGAUGAACACAAGGUGAUAACACUGCAACUGACCCUGAAGUACAGGGCGAAAAUCCCACUUAAGCCUUGUCCAUACUGGCCUAAAUACAAGCACAUGGCAGAAAAUCUACUUGCAAACAAGAGAAGCACAGGUAAAUCAAAAUCUGCACACAACACAACAGAGAUAGUACUUGAGGAGUACAAAAUAAACAUACUGAGAUCACGAACGGAAGCUUUAACAGUAUAACCCCGCUCAAGCAGCAGCUUCACCAGCCAUGAAGCUAUGUAUCCCGAAGCUCCAGUCACGCACACCACUUUCCCUUCUCCUGCUGCUGCUGCUGCUGAGCUCAUUUUGUUAGUGCUGCGUUUUUUCUGUGUAUAUUUUGCCUUGGGUCCAUACCACGAAAGGCUUGGGAGCUUAUAUAUAGCAGUAGACAAAUGAUACUGUUGCAAUUUGCUUGGCUCAUGGAUGACGUAUGCUUUCAAGGUUUUGGCGGGGUUCGGGCGGCGGGGGGAUUGGGGUGUGAGGUAAACGGUAAUACUGGUAUAGGCAUGCAUAUAAAAUUUAUAUGAAAUUUGAGCGUGUUAUUUAGUAUAGUGGAUGAUUUCUAAUAAUCUGUUAAUGAAAUUUAGUUUUACAAAAAAAAAAGUAAAAAAAAAAAAUAUAAUAUUAUCAAGUUAUAGUAAAACUUGAUAUAUACAUAUAUAUAUAUAUAUAUAUAUAUAUAUAUAUAUAUGAAUAAAAUAAGAUAUUUUAUGCAUUCGAAUACAAUAACAUAAUCUACUUGUACCAUUAUCAGGUGUUUAACAGAUUUAUUAAUGUAUAUGAAAGUGUUAGAUUUUAUCUCAUAUUUUUCCCAAUUUAUGACUUUGACUUUAAACUGAUUAACUCAUAAGAGAAUAAAAAACCAUCUGGUUGUCGAACUGGACAAGUAACAAAAAAUCAUGUCCAUGCAUGACGGGUUUUUGCUUCCCAUUCUGAUUCAAAUUCUAUAAUAUGUACCAAAGUUUGAAUCCUCAAUUAGAACUAAAAGAUAAAUCGAAUUACUCAAGACUUAAAUCAAGUUUCACUAAGUAAGAGUUCGUUUAAAUUUGACUUGCGAACUAAUUAAGUCAAGUUAGAACAAUAUUUUAUGCUUGAUAAAAAUUUUUGGUGUAGGCCGAGCUUAGCUCAAUGAUCAUAAAAUUGGGAUUUAUUGGUAAAAAAAUUUAAAUUACUCGAAUUCGACUCAAUAAAAAUUCUUUUGAGCUUGGCUCAAUAAAUAAACAAACCAAUCUUAAAUACUAUCUCAAGUUCAUUAAAACAAAAUAUAUUUAAUAUAUUUAGUUUGAUUACACAUGUUUACACCCUUUUGUUUUUCAUAUGGUCGAUAACCAUGUAAUUCUGCACUGGAGCAGAUCUGAGUAAUGUACCUAACUCGUUGAGUUUUGGGACAUGUUUAUCAAUUUUAUUGUGAUGGCAGGUGGCAUUGGCUAAAUGAAGACAAAGUGUUGGCACGAAAAAUCCCCCUGCACACAGCGGAAACAAUUCUAACGCAUAUAAAAAUAUGCGGAAAGAGGAAGAGAACAAACACUCAAUAAUUUAUUUAACUCAAAAUAAAUAUUAAGUCGUAACAUUUUACUCAUAAUAACUCACAAAUCUCAACUAUGAGAUUUUCUCUCUCGUCUAAUCUCUAGACUCAACUCAACUCUACACAUCACUUCUCUUCACCUCUCUUCCACUAAUAACCUACUAGACUACUAGUAUUUAUAGACUCUAAAACUUCCUAAAACAAAUAUAAUUGUAAACCAAAACUUAUUUGGAAACUGACUUGAGAUUUCCUAAUCUAAUAUGGAAACUAAACAAAUAAGAUACCAAAUAGGAUUAGGAAACUAAAUACUAAAAUAGCUUGGUUUAAUUUCCUUCAUUGCCUCCCUUAAACCAAGCUUUUAAUAUUAUCAUCUCCAAUGCCAUCACGAGCUUGAAUCUCCAUGAAAAAUUCAGUCACACUAUAAAUGAUAUGGAGUUCUAACUUACAAUUGACCUUCAAUUUCAUCUUUGCAUGUUGUAGUGGACGAAACUUGUACUUCUCAAACAGUUUCUUGGCUUGAUCACUCUUGUCAAAAAAUUCAAAUAUAUUCACCCAUACUCCAUAAUUUAAUUCAUCCAUGUCACCAAGAAAAUCUCCCAAAACCAGAAAAUCAUAGUUGAUGCUACCAAUGUUUUUAACAUCGCCAUGUUUUUCCUCUACUUUUUCAACACUAACAACUGCAUCAACUUUAGCAGUAUCACAACCUUCAAUUAAUUUGUCCACCUCACAAUUGAUUUCAAUCAAGUCCAUCACUUGAUUUUUCUCGUCCAAAAAUUCAACAGUCUCGAUAAAGUCAACAAUUUCUCUAUCAUCAUGAUUUUCAACCACAUCUUUAAUUCGAUCAAUGCUUUCACUUUCUUUCUCAACUACUUGUGAAAUUUCUUCUUCAAUCACAAUUUCUUCACCUUUAUGUGUAUCCACAAUUGCUUCAAUUUCUUCUUUCUUUGCCUUAUCAAAAACUUCUUUUUCUUCUUCCUCGUCACAAAUUUCUUCUCCACCAUGACCAUAGGAAUUUGUUAAAAAUUUCCAAGCCUCCUUCGCUGUCUUUACAUGUAUGAAUUUUUUGGCUACAUGUAACUGGACUUGGGUAUGGAGAUAGUAUAAUGCCUUAUAGUUCAACUGUCUAUUCCUCUCUAAUUGUUCAACUGCAUCCCUUGAUAAUUUCGUGCCUUCUAUAGGUUCCAUGAACUCCUUUUGGAUAAUAUUCAAAACUCCAAUAUUUUUGAAAAAAUUCUUCAUCAUCGAUCUCCAAAUCUCAAAAUUGUUUUUACCAUCAAAGAUAAAUACACCACAACGUGGUAAAUAAUGCGGAUCCAUAUUUUAAUUUCACAAACAAGCUCCAAGCCCCAAUUUUGCAAACAAGCCCCAGGAUCAAAGCCUAGAGCUUUGAUACCACUUGUUGGCACGAAAAAUCCCCCUGCACAUAGCGGAAACAAUUCUAACGCAUAUAAAAAUAUACGGAAAGAGGAAGAGAACAAACACUCAAUAAUUUAUUUAACUCAAAAUAAAUAUUAAGUCGUAACAUUUUGCUCAUAAUAACUCACAAAUCUCAACUAUGAGAUUUUCUCUCUCGUCUAAUCUCUAGACUCAACUCAACUCUACACAUCACUUCUCUUCACCUCUCUUCCACUAACAACCUACUAGACUACUAGUAUUUAUAGACUCUAAAACUUCCUAAAACAAAUAUAAUUGUAAACCAAAACUUAUUUGGAAACUGACUUGAGAUUUCCUAAUCUAAUAUGGAAACUAAACAAAUAAGAUACCAAAUAGGAUUAGGAAACUAAAUACUAAAAUAGCUUGGUUUAAUUUCCUUCACAAAGGACAAGGACAAAAAAUUCGCUGUGGAGACGUGAUCUGUGAUGCAUCUAAAUAAAAUAUUUCAAAUAUUCUAGUACUUUAAUGUGAUGUGAUUAUAGAUUAUUGUGUACAUUAUUCUGUAUAUCACACCUGUGUAAGCUGAAUAAAUUGAACCAUGUUACAGUAUCUUUUUUUAAAUUAAAAUUUAGAAUUUUGUGCCAAAUUCUUUUACAAUAACAAAUUUAUUUAAACAUUUCAUAAAACAUAAUUUAACAUGACAAAUUUUAUUGUGUAUGGUAAAUUUUUAGUGGCUAGUAACCCUUUUGAUAUUUUUCAAUUUAUUGGAUAGCAACUUAAUAUAGUUAUAUACAUAAACAUAGCAAGUGUACACACAUUUUUUUAAUCUUUUUAUUUCUUGUUUUUGUGGGGAAAUAACUAAAGGAUGUGUUUGGAUAGGAGACUAAUAAACUUUUUUUUUUAAUUUUCCUCGUGCCCAAUUGCAGGUUAAAAGGAAGAACUCUCCACCACCUACAGUUGAAAAACAGAUUUAGUCUUUUUUUUGGUAGCCACUGAAUCAAAACUUAGUGAGUCUACUUGACUGGAUUUUCCUUUAGUCAUACCAUUUUGUCAUAAAAAGCGACAGAUUGUUUCUUCUACCUUAGCUCACUGCACACGCCAUGGUCUACUUGAUUGCGGGUUUUCCUUUAAUUGCACCUUUUUGUCAUUAGUGACGAUUGCUUCUUCUAAACCUUAGCUCACUGCACAGGCCAUUCGUUUGAAAGUUAAUUGUUACUGUUUGGUGAAGAGUCAAAGUUGAAAUUGGUAAUCGCCGAGCAAUUCAUCUUUUGACUCCUUGUAAAUACCUGAUGAUACUUUUUUCUACUCAUCAGCACCCAAAGCUUUUCUAAGAUGAGCUUUAGUGACAUUUCACUGUAAUUUUGAAGUUUGAAAAGAAACGAUGUUAUCAUCUCCUUUUCUUUUCCUAUUGUCGCCCAUUACUAGCGUCACCUUUGGAAUGAAUUGCUUCCUAACAAUUCGGAAUUGAGAUCUGCAUCUGGUUUGGUUUGCUUGUUAAACCGAACUUAAAUUGAACUCGACAAGUCAUGCAUAACAAUCGUGUGAUUCUAUUGAUAUAUGUUUUUUUUUUUCGGGUUUUGCAGGUUGGUUGAACAAUUGUUCAAGUUCUUGUCUCGGUUUUUACUGCUUCACCAGUAUGUGGAUGUUGCUGCUAAAGAAAUUUGCAUUUGUCGUUAGAAGAAGAAUUUUCUGUUUUAUGACUGGCAAGUGAUUUGGGUCCAUCUAUUUUAGUGCUUUGUUUACAAUUUAAUUGGGUUCAAUGGUCCAUCCACAUCCGAACUUAGAAUUUAUCCUUCUAUUUGCUUUUGCAUGAGCAAAGAUUAGCGAUUUUUAAUCAUAAUUCUGGAUUCCUCUAUUCCAGCUGUAUAUAGUGAAGAAAUCUAUCCCGUUGUAAUUGUGUAUUUGCACACCAAAACAUCAUUAGCCCGUCUACUUUUGACAUUGUUCUUGAAUUACUCGGUAUAGAAUGUGUAUUACCUACUGCAUGCAAAUGCAUCAUCGUUAGCAAUGACUAAACAGAAAAUAUGCCUGUAAUUACUAUUUUCAACUGAAAUUAGCAUCUAACUUAUAAUGAUCCACAUUGGUAUUGACUAGAACUAAGUGAUCACUAGCCCUCUUAUUUUGCAUUUGCAUUAAUCCAAUAUCAUCAAACUUCUUCAAAUGGGCUCUCUAGCUACUAAGGAUGCAUUUGAUAAAAUUGAAAUUUGAAAAUUGAAAUCUGAAGUCUGAAUCUAUUAAGUUAUCGAAUUGUUAAGUAUUAAAUCAAGUACAUUUGAGUGUAUAUUACAUUCAUUGAUAAGUGAACAACUUAUCAUUUAUUUUUGAGAACAAGUUUUGGUUAGGAAAUUCAGUGGUACUUAAUUAAUUCAAAUGUUCAAUUUUUAAUUAGCAAACGCAUCUAAAUAUAUUAAGUUUAAGUACUGAAUUGCAUUAUCAAACAUGGGCUAAGUACUAACCUCCCUCAAAAAUAAUUUAGACUGACUGUUGUGUUGAUGUUGCAAUUGCAGGAGGUUCAGAAAGGAUCCAAGGCCUCACAAUUUAUGUUUCGUACAAAUUUUGCACAAGUUGACCUUUGGUAUAAAUUAGUCGGAUUUCGGUAUAAAUCAGGUCUAGUUCAAUGUAAAUUAGGUGUAGUUCCGUGUAUCUUAAUUUGUUAUUAUUUGGUGUAAAUCAGGUUCAUUUUGAUAGAAGUUGAUUAUUAUCAUUAAGUAUAAGUUAAGGACAAUUUGGUGUAAAUUGAGAAUAAAUUGUUAAUUUACACCAACUUGUGCGAAAUGGAACUUGGGAGGCCCCGUUUCAGUUCAGAAGAUAAUGAAAUGCUUGUCAAAGAUUUCUCAAGGUGUUAGGCCUAUGUUCUAGGAGUUACUUAACCUAUUUCCAUUCUUCUCGGAUGUUGUUUAUUGUUAAAAGUAAAUAAGCAUUAUGUCAGUUCAACUCAUGAGCUGUGCUGUACCUGAGAUAAUAGUAGUUGUCUUCAAUAAAAUUUUUCAAAAAUUUAGCGGCUCCAUGCCUAGUUCUUUGAGCAUCAAGGUGUUUUUGAUAAAAUUGAAGUCUAAAAACUGACAUUUGAAGUCUGAAUUCAUUACAAUAUUGAAUUAUUAAUUAUUAAAUCUAAUAGAUUUGACUAUAUAUCACAUUCAGUAAUAAAUGAAUAGCUUAUUACUUAAUUCUGGGAGCAAGUUUUGUUUGGAAAAUUCAGUGCUACUUAAUUAAUUCCGAUGUUCAAUUUUUUGUUAUGAAACGCAUCUGAACCUAUUAAAAUUUGAAUCCAUUAAAUUUAAGUGCUGAAUUAGGUUAUCAAACAAGGCCUAAAUUUAGUAGCCGCUGCAUUCGGUACCUAAGUUAGAUUCUUUGGUGCAUAAGAACUAGGCACAGCAUUAAACAUGCCUAGUUACUGCGCUGCCUAAGAAUAGGCAUAGUAAAUAAGCAUCUAUUCUUUGCCAAAAUUUAGCGGCUUCAUGCCUAACUUCUUGGCCAGAAUCCAAACAUAUGGUUUACUGAUCUAUUCUUCAUGCUUGCAUGAUCUCUUUUAUCUCACACAUUCUCAUCAUCAUACAUCUUAACACUUCUUGUAUCCAGUAAAUUCCUGAUCAUUUGCUCAAUGCAAUUCAUGGUCGCUUUGUCUUAGCUUUGCCUGUAUCCAAAUAAACUUAGAUGACCUUUUUGAAGAAAUUAAGAAACAUAUGUUCAGCCAUUGAAAUGUCAAGCAGUAUUGAUUGUCUUAAUUCAGUUUCUCAAAAUUCCGUUUGGAUAUUUACCUUCUGCAAAUUACAUUUGCAAGUUUUCCAGUAACAUUUCCAACUUAGAUUGAAUUGUCUUCAUUAUGUUUUCAAUUAGAAUGAAAACUACCAAUGAACACUCAACAGUAUUCCGAACACCCGUCUUGGCACCCCUACGCAUCCGUGAGGGCACACACCUAGUAUUCAUGCAGCAGCUGUUGAUAAGACAGGACAUAUCUGAAGAACAACAGAUACUACAAAUUGAAUUCAGAACAUGAGAGUUGAAUUGCGUAUGAUCAAAUUAACAAUGAAGAACAAAUGACGAGUUACAUGAUUGAACUUAUUUUAUCACUUUGAAACAAAGGAUGAUGUUUCACAUUUAUUUAAUAGUAAUUUGAAUACAAUAGGCUUAGAUACUAACUAAUUCUUCUCCCUGAAGCUCUCAACCGUAUCUUUCAAGCUGACCUCCAAAGGGAUAAAGUGAACUCCCAAAUUCUUUGCCUUGUCAUUGGAUAUUGUACAGUCUGAAAUAAUAAGGCUGCUGUUAUCUGACAACCUGUAGUAGGUUAAGAAAGUUCAGAAUUAACAAGUAGAUAAAGCAUAGGUGAAAAGAAAUGCUAAUGUGAAAUCAAGCUCUGCAAAAUCUGUUGCAGACAAUAACGAGUAUUUUGCCUUUGUACAAAAUUUCUCUAAUAUAUGGAGAUCAUUUAAUCUAAAACUUUUGUUAUAAUCCAUUUAAACUUUCUGCAAAGGGCAACGUCGUGGAUUAAUCGAAGGGAUUCAUGUAUCUAAAGUUUGACUUUCCUUAUGAGCUAAAACUAGAAAAAGACAAAAUCAAAAACUGGCUCUGCAAAGUUCUGGUAAUUUGAAAGACCUAUCGAAAAGAAUUUUACUUGAUCUGAAUCCAAUUAAAUACAACCACCUGAAUUCAAACAUCUAUAUUUUGCAGAGAACCAUUUUGGUGAUCCUAGUCAUUAGAAUAACCUAAUUCUAGAAACGAAGCUGAGAAAGAGCAUACUGUGCUACCAAAAAAUGCAGAAAAUUCUGGACUUGAUACACUUUUUUUAAGCUUGAAAUUGAUACAAAAAGAUGUGAUAAAUCUUGGACCUAUAUACUGCAACAGCAACAAGCCUGUAAAGGCUUACACCGACGAAAUUGACAAGGAAAAAAGGACUUGCUCAUUAGGAAACUGGUGAGAAGGGUAAAGUUCAUGCAAAAUCUUGAUGACCUGAGAGGCAUGGGCAGAUCUCCCAACCAGGCAAUAUCUUCCACUUGCAGAAGGGACUUCAAAGGCUAGAAUAUGUGCAUAGGCGACAUCUCUAACAUCAACCCAUCUAUGCGUUCCAUCAGGAAAUGACUCAGCCCCUGCAUUCGGUGCCUAAGUUAGUAGCAUCAUUAUGUAUCUCUUCUAGCGUCUUUUUAAUGCACUAAAGUAUACGUACAAUUAAACACCAAUGGUCUCAGUCACUGGGGAUAAACAAAUGGCAGAGAUGAAAAUGUUCAGAUCUAGAAUCAACGGCCUGCCCUUUAUUUUUUUUUGGAGAGUCUCUUGGUUCUAUUUUAGUGCAAUGCAAGGCCCACAACCAUGAAGAGGGAGAGUUGAGGAAUGAACCACUUGAGACAACCGUCAUAGUUAAUUAUUGGUUGAUCAUAAGAACUAUUACUCCAAUGAACUUCUACUAGAACAGUUGGGCUAACAGCAUGUCUUAGUUUUAGAAAGACCAAUUACUAGGCAAAUAACACAAGUACAAACACGACAAGACUGGUUGUCCUUCAACUAAAACAGGGGUUAAACAUCGAAAGCUGAAGAUACUUGUCCCUAAACCACUCCUCUAGAUAGACAAAAAUAAGAUAUUUGCAAUUUUUUGUUCCAAAAUAAUUCAAAAAUCAACCACUUCUUGCUUUACAAGUCCUGAAGUCAUUGUACAAAGUGGCUAUUUGGGUCGAAAUAUUUAUUGUCAAUAGGGAAAAUAAUAAAAGAAAUCUGAUUAGCAAGUAAAUUCUUAAAACACAGGCAAUGACUACACGGAAUGAAUUUUUCCUGUCAGUUCUGCCCGCAAUUUUUUUUUUUUUCUCAAGGAAGACAAAAUCAUAACAUAUUUCACCCACAAGUGUUUUUCUUCCUGUAAUUGCCACGGAUAAUGUUGAAGCAUAGAAGAUGCACAACAUUAAUUUCGAGGAAGAGGUUAGACAGCAAACCUUUUUAACAUCACCAGCUGAUCAGACCAUAUACCUUGAUAUAUCAGUUCAUAUUUCUGCGUAUGUCUGUCAGUUAUGUAUUCGUUCACAAUACAAAGAUAGCAGAGCCUUACAGUUUUACUUUGAGUAAUAAAUUCUUUGUUGUUUAAUAACAGAGAAGAUUUUAGUGCAUGAUAAAGCCAUAAGCCUAUGACUAACACAGAUAAAUAAGUUUAGACGGAUGGUGAUAACUUAAGUGAUCUAAUAAUUUCUGGAGCAUACCAUUUACUAGGUUGAGGACCAUUUCUACACUCAGAUUAAUAGAUGGCUGCAAGAAAGGACCAAUGACAAAUCCUGGAUUGAUUGUUAUUAUGUUGAUGCCUUGCUCCUUUGCGAAUUUCCAUGCAGCAUCCUCUGCCAAGGUUUUUGAAAGUACAUACCAAAACUACAAAAAAGAGAGAGAGAGAGUUAAAAGUCUGUAUGACAGAAGAAAAUAGUUGGAUAUUAAAAACUCAUUUAAGAAGUAAUGGUAAAUAUCUUAUGUACAAAACUUGCUUACAUCAGUUGGAGCUACUACUGCUGUAGCCACAAAGCACAAGGACAAGCAGUCAUACCAGUGAUUAAGUAAAUUUCUCAAUGAUCAUAAGAUUUGUGUAAAAUUUUCCUUUUAAGACUCCCUUACGUACUUUGAUUUGAUUAUAUGCAAGGACUGAUGCAAAGUUGUGUCAACAUACUCCUGGAAGUAUAUGAUGUCUACCUCUAUGAGUCAACAGCGAAACAACAAGGGAAUUUCACUUGUGACUGAUCAAGCUGAACCCAUGACUUGCUAGCAGAAAUUCCCGUCAUCUGACUAAGCAAAUACCGAUCCUAUUGCAACUCCUUUUACAAUAAUGUGGAACUUGAUUUUGAGCUUCAUUUUAAGAGAUGUGUGGUUGACUAUUGCAUACUCUACUCUCUCUGGUUGAUUCAAUCAAACUUGCUACUUAAACAAGAAAAGGAAGGAAAUUGACCAAUCUGGCCAGCUUUUGAACACAGACAAGAAAAAAAAUCCUUCUUUUCCUAUAAAAGUACCAAGAAGUCAUGAAGAUCCGAUCUUAAUUUUCUCCACACCUAAAAUAACUCCCCAAUUGUUGUCUAAUGACAAAUUAAAAAUACAGAAAUCUAGCAUUCCAUAGGAAUGUUUUAACGGAAGACAAUAGAUGACAUACAUACCUUCUGCUCUUCACAGAAUCGUGGAUCAGAAAACCAACUUUCAUCAACUACUGCAUCCUUCUUCAACUCUCUAUUGAAUGCAACUGCAGCCAUAGAAGAUGUUAUAACGAAUCUCUUGAUAUAUGAAACUUUUGCACACGAUCGUAGGACAUUAAGUGUUCCCCUGCAGGUUCCAGUAGUUCUGCCUAGAAAUGAAACAAAAGAGAAAAUGAAGUCAUUAUUGUAUCCUGCACAAUCAUGCUCCUAAUCUGUUUCCAAAUUUUAGUAUAAGUUCUGUAAACCUACACAAUCAGUUAAAUAGCUAAAAAAAUAACAUAGAAUUCUUGUUGAAUAAUGUGCUAAAUCAAUUAGCUUGAUUAAUGAGGUAGUUGGAAAGCUUUCUAGAUAGUUGCAAUAUUCUCUAGAAUGAUGGAAAUUAAGAGAGUUGGUGGGAUGGUUGGAACAUUUCUCUAUGUAUCUAGAAUGAUCAUUUACAAGCAUAAAUAGACCUUGUAAACUCCAAACCAAUAUAAGAGAGUGAAAGUGUUAGGACCAGGCCAGGAAAUAGACAAACUCAAGUUAGCACAAAUUAGGCGGUAUAACCGACCAUAUAAUAGAUAGGCGGUAGAUACCAGCCAUAUAAUAAUUAGGCGGUAAAACCGACCAUAUAAAGACGGAUAACAAAGCAAAUAAAAGACACAGAAGAUUUACGUGGUUCGGUUAAAUUGACCUACGUCCACGGGUGAGGGAGGAGCAAUAUUUCUACUAUGAAGAAGAAAUACAAAAGCCGUAGGAAAGUGGUUCCUAGGCCAAUAGGCACUUACAAAAGAGUUUAGAAAAUAUUCCUAAACUCAAAACAAGAGAGCCAAAAAUAUUUAACUGAAUGGGCUAGAUGACUCAAGAAGCUAAUAGCCCAUAUAACUCUCUUGAGUGGUGCAAAUGUCUUCACCACCAAGGCCAUAUAUUUAUAGGCCCUGAUGAGCCGUCUUCCUCUGGCUUUGUCCGAUGUGGGACAAACGCCACAUUCAACAAAUCUCCACCUUGGCGUGGUCCCAACAUCGACAAAUAUUCUCCACCUUCGCUACAUAAGCCCCAAUGGGCCGAAAUCACGAACAAUGAACACCAACCAAAUCCAAGCACUGCUUGAAUUUGUAAAGUGGAAGAGGUUUUGUAAACAUAUCGGCUGGAUUGUCCUUAGUAUUGAUUUUCUGAAUAAGGACCUUUCCUUCAGCAAUGAUAUCCCGAAUGAAAUGAUAUUUCACAUCAAUAUGUUUCGUCCUCUCAUGAUACAUCUGAUCUUUAGUCAAGUGUAUGGCACUUUGACUAUCACAGUGAAUAUCAAUAACACCUUGAUAUAGACUUAGCUCGCUAAAUAAACUCUUCAACCACAAGGCUUCUUUGAUUGCCUCGGUCACAGCCAUAUAUUCUGCUUCUGUAGUAGACAAAGCUACGACAGGUUGUAGAGUAGCUUUCCAACUAAUAGCACAACCGCCAAUGCAAAAUACAUAGCCUGAAAGCGAUCUUCUCCUGUCAAGAUCUCCAGCAUAGUCUGAGUCUACAAAACCAACCAAAGUAUUAUUAUUUCUUCCAAACUCCAAACAUACAUUUGAAGUAUCUCGCAAGUAUCUGAGAAUCCACUUCACAGCCUGCCAAUGUGUUUUACCAGGGCAAGACAUAUAUCUGCUAACAAUACUGACUGCUUGUGCAAUAUCUGGACGAGUACAAACCAUUGCAUACAUAAUACUGCCGACUGCACUGGAAUAAGGAACCCGUGCCAUAUAAUCUUCCUCUUCAUCUGAUUUUGGUGAUUGAGCAGCAAAUAGCCGAAAAUGGCUAGCAAGAGGAGUAGAUACUGAUUUAGCAUCUUUCAUGCCAAAACGCUCCAAGACUUUUUCAAGGUAAUUUUUCUGGGUCAAAAACAACUUCCCUACUCCUCGAUCUCGAUUAAUAACCAUGCCAAGAAUUUUCUUAGCUGCUCCCAAAUCUUUCAUUUCAAAUUCACUAUUUAACUGCAGUUUCAAGGUGUGAAUUUCUGACAAAUUCUUGGCAGCAAUGAGCAUGUCAUCAACAUAUAACAAUAAGUAAAUGAAAGAACCAUCAUUUAACUUCCGGAAGUAAACACAGCUAUCAUACAUGCUCCUCAAAUAACCAUGACCUAACAUAAAGGAAUCAAACCUUUUAUACCAUUGUCUUGGAGACUGCUUCAAUCCAUAUAAGGAUUUCUUCAACAAGCAAACAUGGUCUUCCUUACCUUCAAUUUCAAAACCCUGGGGUUGUUUCAUAUAAAUUUGUUCUUCAAGUUCGCCAUGCAAGAAAGCUGUCUUAACAUCAAGCUGCUCUAACUCUAAAUCAUACAUGGCAACUAAAGCAAGCAAAACACGAAUAGAGCUAUGUUUAACAACAGGUGAGAAUAUAUCAUUAAAAUCAACACCUUGUACCUGACUAUAGCCCUUUGCAACUAAUCGUGCUUUAUAUCUUGCAUCUUCAACCCCUGGAAUACCUUCCUUUUUCUUGAAGACCCACUUGCAACCAACAAUUUUCUUAACUGACGGCGGCUUUACAAGAACCCAAGUUUCAUUUUGAUGAAGAGAUUCAAUUUCUUCAUUCAUCGCAAUCAACCACUUUGCAGAAUCAUCACAAGAAACUGCUUCUGAAUAGGUGGAAGGCUCACCAACUGCAUCAGUUUCUUCUGCAACAGAUAAAGCAUAUGCAACUAAAUUUGCAUAUCUUUGUGGUGGUCGAAUAUCUCUUCUUUGUCUAUCUCUGGCUAUGGAAUACUCCUCUUCUUCUGAACUAUCUUCAACAGUAGAUUCAGGUGUAUCUACUGGCACUUGCUGAAUAGAAGAUUUUGAUUGAGAAGGACCAGAACGGCCAAUAUCAAGCUCCACCUGCUUCUGUGUACUAUCAGUAGUACAAGGACUAGAAGACUCCUUCUUGGAAGAUAACAUAGACAAUUCAUCAAAAGUAACAUCUCUACUGAUUACAAAUUUUGGGGAUUUGGGAUCAGGAUACCAUAAUCUGUAUCCUUUCACCCCAGAAGCAUAUCCAAGAAAAAUGCACUUUUUAGCCCUAGGCUCCAAUUUUCCAUCAUUCACGUGCAUAUAUGCUGGACACCCAAAAACUUUUAAAUUGGAGUAAUCAGCAGGAGUACCUGACCAAACUUCCUCAGGAGUUUUGAAAUCAAAAGAUGCAGAAGGAGAACGGUUGACAAUAUAACAGGCCAUAUUGAUCGUCUUUGCCCAAAAGUCAUUUGUCAACCCUGCAUUGGAGAUCAUACAUCUUGCUCUCUCCAAAAGUGUUCUGUUCAUACGUUCAGCCACACCAUUUUGUUGAGGCGUCAUCCUGACGGUGUGAUGCCGAAUAAUUCCUUCAUUUUUGCAAAAUUCAUUAAAUUCACCUCCACAAAAUUCCAUGCCAUUAUCUGUUCUCAACCGCUUAACAUGUUUUCCUGCUUGUUUCUCAAUCAAAACUUUCCAUUGCUUGAAAGUUAGGAAAACAUUAUUUUUAUGCUUAAGAAAAUAGACCCAAACUUUCCUUGAAUAGUCAUCAAUGAAAGUCAACAUGUACCUGACACCACCUUUAGAAGGAGCACGAGAAGGACCCCAUAGAUCUGAAUGAAUGUAAUCAAGAGUACCUUUUCUCUUGUGAAUUGCUGGUGAACUGAAGCUGACUCUUUUCUGCUUCCCAAAAAUACAAUGUUCACAGAAUUCCAAUGGUCCGGUACUUUGUCCACACAGAAGUCCUCUUUUGCUCAGUAUGCCCAAGCCUUUUUCGCUCAUAUGCCCCAAACGCAUAUGCCAUAAUUUGGUGAUGUCUGUAUCUGACAAAGAUGAUGUUGAAACAGCAGCAGUACCUGUAAUAGUAGAUCCCUGCAAAAUAUAUAGAGUACCAGAUCUGUGUGCCUUCAUAACAACAAGAGCUCCUCGAGUGAUUUUGAGAACUCCGUCUCCACCUGAAUACCUGCACCCGAUAGAUUCAAGAGUGCCCAAAGAGAUGAGAUUUUUCUUCAAAUCUGGAACAUGUCUAACAUUUGUGAGCGUUCUCACAAUACCAUCGUACAUUUUAAUCCGGAUUGUGCCUUUGCCAACAACUUUACAAACAGCGUUGUUGCCCAUUAAGACAACUCCACCUUCAGUUGAUUCAUAUGUUGAAAACCAGUCCCUAUUGGGACACAUAUGAUAUGAACAACCCGAAUCUAAAAUCCACUCAUUGUUAGACCUAAAAUUAUUUUCCGUUGCACAGAAAAUAGUUCCAUCAUUCUCAUCAACGGCAAUACUAGCCUCGGUGGUUUCACUCCUUUUCUCCUUUUGCUUUUCUUUAUUUUUCAAUUUAAAGCAAUCAGAGAUAAUAUGGCCCUUCUUUUUACAAUAGUUGCACACCACAUUUUUAUGUCUGGACUUGGAUCUACUUCUAUUUUUUGUGUUUCUCCUUUCAGAUCUACCCCGAACAAACAAGCCAUCAGCUUGACUCCCACUAGUUUCCCCAGUAAUAUCCCUAUCUAUCUGCUCUUUAGAUUUUAAUGCAGAUUUAAUUUCUCGAUACGAAAUUGUUUCCUUUCCAUAUAUCAUAGUAUCACGGAAAUGCUUAAAGGAUUGGGGAAGGGAACACAAACGUAAUAGGGCUUGAUCUUCAUCAUCAAUUUUCGAAUCUAUAUUCUCCAAAUCCAUAAUAAUGGAAUCAAAUUUAUCAAGAUGGGAGAGUAUAGAUGUACCUUCAGACAUCCGAAGCAUGUACAAACUCUGCUUCAAAUAUAGCCGAUUCUCGACUGUUUUCUUCAUAUACAAGGCUUUCAAUUUAUCCCACAUAGCCUUGGCCGAAGUCUCCGUUGCUACCUCACGUAAUACCUCAUCGGAGAGAUUUAGGAUAAUACUGGAUCUUGCCUUCUUAUCCAUCUCAGCAAAAUUUGCAUCUGUCACAUCUUCUGGUUUUUUCUCAAUUCCUUGAAUUGCCAAAUCAACUCCGUCUUGAACAAGAAUGGCCUCCAUCUUGAGCUGCCACAUGCCGAAGUUGACAUUCCUGUCGAAUUUCUCGACAACCGUCUUUGUUAUCGUCAUUGUUGCCACAAAAUUUGUAACCUGAAGUUUGUCUCAAAAAACUGGCCAAACAAAUAUGCAAGUCUCGUGAGCGGGCCCCACAGGGUGAGCGAGCCCCACGAGAUAAGCGGGCCCCACGGGGAUGAACGGACCUCACAAGGUGAGCGGGCCCCACGGAUAAACGGACCCCACAGGAUGAGUGGGCCCCACAGGAUGGACGGACCCCACCAGAUGAACGGGCCCCACCAGAUGAACCUGUCUUGCAAAAUAUAACAACCAGCUCUGAUACCAGUUUGUUAGGACCGGGUCAGGAAAUAGACAAACUCAAGUUAGCACAAAUUAAGCGGUAUAACCGACCAUAUAAUAGAUAGGCGGUAGAUACCAGCCAUAUAAUAAUUAGGCGGUAAAACCGACCAUAUAAAGACGGAUAACAAAGCAAAUAAAAGACACAGAAGAUUUACGUGGUUCGGUCAAAUUGACCUACGCCCACGGGUGAGGGAGGAGCAAUAUUUCUACUAUGAAGAAGAAAUACAAAAGCCGUAGGAAAGUGGUUCCUAGGCCAAUAGGCACUUACAAAAGAGUUUAGAAAAUAUUCCUAAACUCAAAACAAGAGAGCCUAAAAUAUUUAACUGAAUGGGCUAGAUGACUCAAGAAACUAAUAGCCCAUAUAACUCUCUUGAGUGGUGCAAAUGUCUUCACCACCAAGGCCAUAUAUUUAUAGGCCCUGAUGAGCCGUCUUCCUCUGGCUUUGUCCGAUGUGGGACAAACGCCACAUUCAACAGAAAGAAAUAAAAGAAAGAAACAAUUGAAGCCACCCUUGUCUCCAAAUAUUCCUCUCAAUUCUUGGCCUAAUAUCCAAUAGAUUGGUAUCAGAGCUAAGGUUUCAUUGCCUUAGUUCAUACCCCAAAACCAGAAAAUUUUGAGAGAUUUCUAACUACAAGAUGACCAAUCAUACUAGUGAUGGUCUUCCAAUUCCCAUAUUCUCCGGUGAGCACUAUGAUCAUUGGUUCGUAAAAAUGAGAACAAUUUUUAGAUCACAAGAUUUGUGGGAAUAUGUAGAGAAUGGCUAUAGAGAACCAGAAAGUGAAGAAGGUCUCACCAAUCAAGAAUUAAAGGCACUUAAAGAGCAUAGGAAGAAGGAUGCAAAGGCUCUUUCACACAUCCAGCAAGGUGUGAGUUCAGAUAUUUUUUCAAGCAUUAUGGGAGCUAUCAUGCCAAGGAAGCAUGGGAGAUUCUACAAAAGGAGUUUCAAGGAAAUCUUAAGGUAAAGAAUGUUACUCUUCAAACUCUUAGAAGAGAUCUUGAAAAUUUGAAGAUGUGUGAUGAUGAAAGUAUUCAAAAUUACUACACAAAAAUCACCACAAUUGUAAAUGAAAUGAAAACCUUUGGUGAAGAAAUUAGUGAUAGCAGAAUUGUUGAAAAAAUUCUUGUUAGUUUGCCUCCAAAAUUUGAUCCAAUGGUAUCCAUAAUUGAGGAGACAAAAGAUAUUUCUUCAAUGAGUGUUCAAGAGUUGAUGGGAUCGUUGAAAGCUCAUGAGAGAAGAUUGGCUAGACAUGCUGAAAAAUCUGUUGAAAACGCAUUCCAAUCAAAGCUGAAUGUCACCCCCAAAACCAAUGAACGAGAGCCAUCUUGCAACUACCAAAGAGGUGGAGACUCACAAAGAGGAGGUAGAUAUGGCCGUGGAAGAGGCAGAGGCAAAAAUUCAAGAGGAAGAGGAAGAAACAACCUUCAAAGAGGCCUUAAUGCUGAAAAUUCACAACCUUGCAGCUAUUGUGGUAAGACCAACCAUCUUGAGAAAGACUGUUGGCAUAAAGACAAACCAAAGUGCUACUAUUGCAAGAGGUUUGGUCAUAUUGAGAAGGAUUGCAGAUUCAAGACCAAUCACCAAGCACAAUUUUCAGAAGACAAGCAAGGAGAAGGAAACUUAUUCUACGCUUGUCACACAGCCACUGAAGUCAAGAACAAUAUGUGGUACCUUGACAGCGGUUGUAGCAAUCAUAUGACAAGAGAUAGAUCCAUUUUUAUUGACUUGGAUGAAUCUAUAAAGACUGAAGUGAAGAUGGGCAAUGGAGUCAUAGUUCAAGCACAAGGAUUGGGAACAAUUGGUGUCCAAACCAAGCAAGGUAUGAAGUUCAUUUGUGAUGUUUUGUUUGUUCCUGAUUUAGACCAAAAUUUAUUGAGUCUUGGACAGCUUCUUGAGCAUAAAUAUGCACUUAACUUUGAUGAUCAUGAGUGCUGCAUCUAUGACAAAAAGAAUGGUAGACAGCUUGUGAUGAAAAUCCAAAUGCAAGCAAAUCGAAGCUUUCCAAUCAAAUUCAAUUAUAGUGAAAAUCAAGCCUUGAAAGUAAAUGUCAAUGAAGAUUCAUGGUUGUGGCACAAGAGGUAUGGCCAUUUGAAUUUUCAUAGCCUCAAAGUGCUUCAACAAAGAGGGAUGGCAUAUGGUUUACCAAGAAUUGAGGAGAAACAUGAAGUUUGUGAAGGUUGUGCACUUGGCAAACAACACCGGCAACCAUUUCCUAAAGAAGCUGCAUGGCAAGCCAAGAAGAUCUUGGAGCUGAUUCAUACGGAUAUUUGUGGGCCCAUGAAGACAACUUCUCAUGGAGGUAACAAGUAUUUCAUCCUUUUCAUUGAUGAUUUUUCAAGAAUGACUUGGGUCUAGUUCAUGAAAGAAAAAUCCGAGGUGCUUUCAAUUUUCAAGAAGUUUAAAAGUCUUGUUGAGAAACAAAGUGGCCGUUACAUCAAGAAGUUGAGGAGUGAUCGUGGUAAGGAGUACACGUCAAAUGCAGUCCAAAAAUUUUGUGAAGAUGAAGGUUUGGAGAGGCAGCUGACCGUUGGCUAUACACCACAACAAAAUGGAGUCUCAGAAAGAAAGAACCAAACUGUGAUGGAGAUGGCAAAAUCCAUGUUACAUGACAAAGGGUUGCCAAAGGAAUUUUGGGCUGAAGCCGUUUAUACAGCUGUGUAUUUGCUCAAUAGAAGUCCUACAAAGGCCGUGUGGAAUCAAACUCCAAUUGAAGCAUGGAGUGGAAGGAAACCAUCAGUGAAACACUUGAAGGUUUUUGGGAGCAUUUGCUAUGCUCAAAUUCCAAAAGAAAAGAGGUACAAGCUUGAUGAAGUAAGUGAAAAAUGUAUUUUUGUUGGUUAUAGCUCCAAGUCUAAAGGUUAUAGAUUGUUUAAUUUGAAGACUAACAAAAUCAUUAUUGGUCGAGAUGUUGUAUUUGAUGAAAAUGCUGCUUGGAAUUGGGAUGAGAAAAAGAUUGUGAAGCAGGGUGUUUGCCAUCAUAAAGAAGAAGAAAAUUCAACAAAUGAAGAAGAAAAUGGUGAUGAUUCAACACCAACAAGCAGUCCACCACCAUCUCCAAAUUCAAGUUCGAGUUGGAGUUCUCCAAACACAACUCCAAUGAAAAUAAGGAGUUUAAGUGAUGUUUAUGCAAGAUGCAACUUUUGCAUUCUUCAACCAGAAAAUUUUGAAGAAGCAUAUGCAGAAAAGGAUUGGAGAAAGGCAAUGGAAGAUGAAAUUUAUGCAAUUGAGAAAAAUGAGACUUGGAAGCUAGUUGAAAAGCCUCGAGACAAGGAGGUCAUUGGUGUCAAGUGGAUUUACAAAGUUAAGAUGAAUCCAAAUGGUUCAAUCCAAAAGAAGAAGGCAAGACUUGUUGCUAAGGGUUAUUCACAACAGCCCGGAAUUGACUACAAUGAAACAUGUGCACCGGUUGCAAGAUUUGAUACAAUUAGAGCUCUCAUUGCCAUAGCAGCCCAAAAAGGUUGGAAUCUCUACCAACUUGAUGUUAAAUCUGCCUUUUUGAAUGGAGAAUUGAAGGAAGGGGUGUAUGUUCAACAACCUCAAGGUUUUGUCAAAGAAGGACAAGAAGACAAAGUGUAUAAGUUGAAGAAAGCAUUAUAUGGAUUGAAACAAGCUCCAAGGGCUUGGUAUAGUCAAAUUGAUUCUUACUUCAUGGAGCAAGAAUUCAAGAAGAGUAAAAGUGAGCCAACCUUAUAUGUGAAAACUCAAGGCAACUCAGACAUUCUCAUUGUUGCUUUAUACGUUGAUGAUUUGCUUUACACUAGUAACAAUGAGAAGAUAAUUGCUGAUUUUAAGAAAGACAUGAUGAAAAGAUAUGAAAUGAAUGAUAUGGGACUGCUACAUCAUUUUCUUGGUAUGGAGAUUUAUCAACAUGGUGAUGGAGCUUUUAUUUGUCAAAAGAAAUAUGCUGAAAAUAUUCUUGUGAAAUUUGGCAUGGCUGAUUGUAAACCUAUGGCUACACCACUUGUUGUAAGUGAAAAGCUUGUCAAGGAAGAUGGUGAAAAGAAAGUUGAUUCCAUUUUGUAUAGAAGUUUGGUGGGAAAUUUGCUUUAUCUCUCAGCUACAAGGCCAGAUAUCAUGUUUGCUUCAAGUUUAUUAUCAAGGUUUAUGCACAAUCCCAGUCAAUUACAUCUUGAAGCAGCCAAGAGAGUGUUAAGAUACAUCAAAGGGACACUCGAUUAUGGCAUCAAAUUCAGCAAAAGCACUACUUUAAAUCUGCAUGGUUAUUGUGAUAGUGAUUGGGGUGGAUGCCUUGAUGAUAUGACGAGCACCUCAGGCUAUUGUUUUUCGCUUGGUUCUGGAGUAUUUUCUUGGGCAUCAAAGAAGCAACAAAGCGUGGCACAAUCAUCAGCUGAAGCUGAAUAUGUAUCCGCAAGUUUGGCAACAUCACAAACCAUUUGGCUUAGGAGAAUUCUUGAAGAUAUUGGUGAGAAGCAAAAGGAAGCUACGGUGAUGUUCUGUGACAACAAAUCAGCAAUUGACAUUGCCAAAAAUCCAGUUUAUCAUAGCAGAACUCGCCAUAUUGCAAUCAAGCACCAUUUUAUUCGAGAUGCAAUUGAAGAUGGUGAAGUUGAACUAAAAUUUUGCAAGAGUGAAGACCAAGCUGCAGACAUCUUUACCAAGGCACUUCCAAAAGACAAGUUCAACUAUUUUCGAGAGAUGCUUGGAGUUCAAGGACAUCACAUUAAGGGGGGAAUAUGUUGAAUAAUGUGCUAAAUCAAUUAGCUUGAUUAAUGAGGUAGUUGGAAAGCUUUCUAGAUAGUUGCAAUAUUCUCUAGAAUGAUGGAAAUUAAGAGAGUUGGUGGGAUGGUUGGAACAUUCUCUAUGUAUCUAGAAUGAUCAUUUACAAGCAUAAAUAGACCUUGUAAACUCCAAACCAAUACAAGAGAGUGAAAGAAAUAAAUGAAAGAAACAAUUGAAGCCACCCUUGUCUCCAAAUAUUCCUCUCAAUUCUUGGCCUAAUAUCCAACAAUUCUCCUAUCUCUUUCUGCACUUGCGAAUGACGGUAUUAGAUCAAAUGUUAAGUUAUGCUUUUACUUUUGAGAUUUCACUGGGUGACAAUGGACAAUCUUUAGACCAGAUGAUGUUUCCACCAGAGUAAUAGUCAAAUAAGUCUCAGAUCUGGUUGUUAAUAAAAUGUGUUACCAGAAGUUCCAAAGAUCAGCUAGCUAAGUACAUUGAAACUGUGGUUACAAAAAGGCAGAGAGAGAAAAUAGAAGAGAUACUGCUUCUACAACUCUUGCAAAGAGAUUCAGCAGAAAAAUAAAAUGAAAGCAAUAAAGGGUUAAUUAUCAAACUUAUUUGAUGUCAGUGAGUCAAUGAAAGAUGAAUUAGAUAGCUUUGUUCACUGAAAUUACUAAAAUCAAAAUUUUAGAGAGUUACUUAACGGGAAUUCCACAAACACAAUUAGAGAACCAGACAAGGAUACGCGCACUACAUAAAGCAAUAAUGUAUAAGAACAAAACACAAAUUAUAUCAUAAGAACUAAACACAAAAAUAAUAAAAGCAUGAGUGUUAAAAACAUUGUAAAAUAUGCUAUGUGCAAUCAAGCACAAAUGAUCAAGUGAUCUUUCACAAUGGUAUAUGCACUCAAACAGGUAACUGGACAAAGUAAAUUAUGCACUCAAUUUUGUGCAGCUUUAAUGUUAAAUUCUUGAACAUUCACAUAUGGAAUAUAUUGAACAUUCAUAGAAAUAUUCUUAAACACUCUCAUAGUUAGAAUAUUUUUCCUUUUCAUCAAUUUUUACAAGUAAUUUAUUGACAAUCAUUUCAAAAGUAACAUAUGUAACAUUCGACGCAAGUAUUUUUGUGCUUGUAUUAUUAAAAGCAUUGGCCAUUUUUUCGUUUCGAUUGUUUUUUUUUCAAAAAAAAGUUUUACAUUUUUCGUGAACGCAUUUUUUAAUCAUCUUUUUAUCUCAUAUAUAUCAAAUCAUUAUAACACAUUUUUCUAUAAAAAAAAAACUCCAGAAAUAGCAAUCCAAACUGGCUAGUUUGUGGUGGUUACACCAUAUUUAUAAUUUACAUACGCUUUUUCCACUUUGACAAUUCAUACAUUCUCAAAUCCACUUUGAAUUGAUUAUUACCAAAUUAACGUGAAGAAUAAAUGACAAAUUACAUGAAUGAACUCAUGUACCAUUUCUCACAAAGGAUAAUGUUUCACAUUUAUUCAUUGGUAAUUUAAAUACAAUACAACAAUGCCUUGGCUAAGAUGCUAACUAAAUUCUUCUUCCUGAAGCUUUCAAUCAUAUCCUUUAAGCUGACCUUCAAAGGAAUAAAUCGAACUCCUAAAUUCUUUGCCUUCUCAUUGGAUACUGUGUGGGCUGGAUAAAAAAGGUUGCUAUAGUCUGACAAUCUGCAGUAUGUUAAGAAAAUUCAGAAAAGACAAGUAAGCAUAGUUGAAAAGAAAAUGCUCAUGUAAAAUUAAACUCCACAAAAUUUGCAGGAGACAGUAAUGCUUCACAAGCAUUUUGCCUUUAUAUAAAAUUUCUGUCAUAUAUGGUAAGAAAUUUAGUUUAAAACUUUUGUUACAAUCCAUUAUAUCAAAGGAAUUGCAUGGAUUAAUGGAAGGGCUGUAUUUAUCUAAUUAACUUUUGAACUUUCCAUAUGAACUAAAACUAGAAAAAGACAAAAUCAGAAAAUGCUGGCUGAGACAAAACCCUGGUAAUUUGAAAAACCUGGCAAACAGAAUCUUAGGUGACCAGAAUCAAAUUCAUUUCCAUCACCAAAAACUCAAUUAUUUAUAAUUUGGAGAGGAAACCAAUUUGGAGAUCCUACUUCUAAGAAGAACCUAAUUCUAGAAACAAAUUUGAGAAAGAGCUCAUUUGAUGAGAACAGGAGACAAAAGAUGCAGAAAAUUCUGGAUUUGAUGUAUGUACUUUGUUAAAUAUAAACAAAAAUUAUGCGAUACAUCUUGGAGGUGCAUAUUGCCAUCAACAACAGCCUAUAAGGACAUAUACUGACAAAAUUGACAAGGAAAAAGAGACUUACUUAUCCAGAAAUUUAUGAGUAGGGUAAUGUCCACGCAAAAUCUUGAUGACCUGAGAGGCAUGUGCUGAUCUCUCAACCAGACAAUAUCUUCCACUUGCAGAAGGGAUUUCAAAGGCAAGAAUAUGCGCAUGGGCAACAUCUCUAACAUCAACCCAUCCAAGAGUUACAUUAGGAAAUGCUCCAGCCCCUGCAUUCAAUGGAUAAUGAGAUCUUUAAGGAUAUACACUAUUGUCUUUUCACCUCUCCUCCAGAUAGGCAAACAAAAGUAAUUUCCAAUUUUAAGUUCCAGAAGAUUUGAAUUAGCAAUCACUUCUUGAAAUGAAAGUCCUAUCAUCACUGUACAAGGUGGCCAUUUAGCUCCAAAGAGUCAGUGUCAAUGGGAGAAGUAAUAAAACAAGCUGAUUAGCAAGUAGUCUUAAGACACAGGCAGUGACAACACAGAAUAAAUUUUUCCUGUCAGAGCCCUCCCAAAAAAUUCCUCAAGGAAGAAAAAGUUAUAACAUCUUCCACCCCAAAAAGUGUUGUUCUUCUUGAAAUUUGCAUAGAAUCUCAAUGUCAAAGAAUAGAAGAUGCAAGCAACAUGAACGUCAGAAAAAUGGUUGGACAGCAAAGCUUUUUGGCAUGACCAGCUGAUAGACCAGAUAGCUUGAUAUAUCAGUUCACAUUUCUAUCAAUGUCAGUGUGCUCCAUUACAAUAAUAAGCUAGCAGAACCUUACAAUUUUAUUAGUGUCAUAGAUACUUUGUUGUACGAUAACAGAGAACAUUUUAGUUCAUGAUAAAGCUAUAACAAAACACAGAUGAACAUCAUCUAAUACAGCUCACGACAUACCAUUUACUAGGCUCAGAAUCAAUUCUAUGGUGAGAUUAAUAGAUGGCUGCAAGACUGGACCAACUACGAAUCCUGGACCAACUACGAAUCAAUUCUGUAAUUUUUUAAUUAUUCUAAAUUAAUGGUAACUGAAUGAUUGGGUUUGUAUCAGAAAAAGUUAAUUUGAAACACCCCUCAUAGCAUGUUGUUUGAUUAGAACAGGGUUUUUCUAAAUCUUAAAGCGAUUGAAAAAUUGAACUCUACGGUCGUUCCUAGAGUUAUUUUGCAAUUAGUGUAAUAGCUAAUAGUCGUACCUUGGUUAUGUAAGGAUCGAAGACAACCUAAGAGGGGGGAUUAGGUUAUUUAAAAAACAAUCAAAUUGUAAGACUCUUUUUCUUCAAUUUGAAACUUACCCUCUUUUUUAGAUGACCAAACAAUGUAGCAAUUAAUGAUCAAGAUUGCUUGUGAGUAGAAGAGAAAGACAGUUUGCAUUUGCGAUAUAGUAAGCAGUAGAGAAAGGAUAACAAACCAGAAUCACUUCCAAACUCCUCUUGAGCUUGGAUACGCUUUAUAGAAUAAGCUUUUUCGAGUUGAUCAAUAACAACCAAUCUUUGUGUACAAAGGAAGGAUCACUUCCUCCUUGCCCCAAGCUACACUUGGUCAAGUUAAGAAGUUUUACUAUCACUCGUAUAACCCUCACAAAACUAAACUAUUGAAGUAAUUUUCUCACACAAGAAAAGGUUCUAUGAAAUUUACACAACUAAGAGUACAAAUCUUUCUUGAAGAGUAUUUUCUCACUAAAAUCACUAUUGAUAUGAUGUAAUCUCAAUAUGCAAAGUUAUUUUUAAACGGUUGACUUUGUUCUAUUUAUAUGAGACCAAAAAUUUCUUCAAUUAAUGCUUUCAACGGAUAGAAGGCAGUUAUAAGUCAACUAGCCAUUGAUAGUGUCGGACGUCCGGUGGACCUAUUUCUUGCGUUCGAACGCAGGCAGUGAGCUCAAAAAAAUUUCUUGAAUUAUUUCGAACUUCCGAUACCUUUAGUGUAUGCGUCCAAAUGUAGGGAGUGAAACUGAGAAUUCUUCUUCAAUUCUUUUCGGACGUUCGGUGCCUCCAAAGUUUUGUGUCCAAAGUGUCGCAAUGUUUGUCGGACAUCCGGUGCUCUGAUGAUGUGCAUCCGAUCAAAGUCAGUGAAUUUAGAAAGAAUAACUUAAUAUUAUCGGAUGUUCAAGAGUGCAGUUCUCUAUACGUCCGAAGUUGCGCAAUGAUUGUCGGACGUCCGAUCUAGUCUUUUUGUGCGUUCGACAGCCGCUUUAGUAUUCGAUGUGCUUAGUUUUUAAACAUGUUUUGCUCCAUUUCUGAAAAGAUAUAUUAAGAAAAUAUUAAUAACAUCCAUUUAUUUUGUAAUCAUCAAAAGCUACGGACUGAGAUAAACAAUCUCCCCCUUUUUGAUGAUGACAAAACAAUGGAUGGAGAAAAAAUAAUUGAGCCAAAAAACUCCCCCUUAGAAUAAUUUCCUCUCAUGUAUAGAUCACUGGACACUCCCCCUCAGAAUGACUUCCCUUUACGUAUAGAUUACACUUAUUACUAAAUUGCAUAUCCAUUUCUCCUCCUUUUUGUCACCAUUAGAUCAACCAGAAACCAGUAUCUAAUAACCAGAAAUCCAACAUCAUCAAUAUUAUCAGCAAUUAUCAACAACCAGAAACCCGAAACCCAACAAUGAUAUCAGCAAUUAUCACUGUCAGCAGUCAAGAUCGUCAACAUUAUGAAUAUCAUCAACAUUGACAAUCAAUAUCAGAAAUCAGAGACCAAAUAAAAUUAAGAGUUAACCAAAUAAAGGACAAUCCACAAAAGCAACAUCAUUCAGAGUAUAAAAGAUAAUCAAAUAGUUUUACAAACCAGCGGAGAAAAGGAAAUAGAAUCCUUAAUACAGAAUAAAUGAAAUGUUUAAAAUGCAAAAGAUGCAAAAGUCUAUUAUGAACUACCAUCCUAAACAUGAAGUGCAAUUGCCUAGAAGUGACUAAAUGGUGAUCUUGGACGAUCCAGACCUCCUCCUUGUUAGGUGGAACUGAGCAUGAUCCACUUCUUCCUCUUCAGUUUACUCAUUAUUAUCCUCUUCAAUUUCCUUUUCAGUUGCUGGAGCCUUUCCUUUGUCUUGUGGAUGAGAACUGGAAGCACGAAAUUCUGGAGUAGUUUCAGUACGAGGAGUUUGAUCAGUUGGCUCAGUUCUAGACUCCUUUUGUGUACAUUCUCAUUAUCUUGAGGAACAGGAGGCACAAGCAAAUUUCUUUUGUCAAUGAAGGUGGCUUGUUGGUCAGGUGACAUAGUCAUCAUCAGACCAUCUUCAAGAAGUAGGAUGUGUUGUUUGAGAUUCUCAAGCAAAGAAAUGACCUCAGAGUUAGAUGAAGAGGAUUUAGUGGCUGACCUUCUAGGAUGGAUAGUAAAGAAUGAGACAUACAUGGACUGAUCUCGAGGAGUCUUAAGGGAGACAGGUGUUUCAUGAUGAUUUUUUCUCCUAAACUCCAAAACAGUUUCCUUGUAGCACCAUUUACCAUAAAAAAACUUUAGAUUUUUUCUUUCAAAAUAUGCCUUUGAAAAGACAGUGGAUGUAUUUUCUUUUGGUGAUUUGUCAGUGAAGGGAAUUUUGAAAUGAGCAAAAAUUGGGGUCGAAAAUUUUUCAUAGAAAAGUUUUCUACGGCUAUCAGUGCUGAUUUUGAGUAAGAAUUUGCACAUAACAAAGCCGAAAUCAAUUUGAAUUUUUUCAAGAAAGCAGUAAAACAGGUAAAGCUCCAUUUUGUUGGCAUUUAUCCUAUGAUUAUCAGUAGGAACUAACAGAUUUGAAAUUAUAGAGAAGAUGAUCAAGUUUUGAGGGUUGAGAUCCUCCAAUCUUGCCUCAACAGGAGUAUUAAAAUGAGUUUGAAAAUAAGUCAUUAGUUUUGCAACAUGAAAUGAUGAUAGGCAGAAGCAAAUUCUUCAUAUGAGAAAAAAAUUACAAUUUUUCCUUUAAAACUAUCUUCAAUUUUGAUUUUCAGAACAGUGUUGACAAUGUCAGGGUUUAACUCUAUAUCAACAGAAUUGACACAUGAAACUAGAUCAGUGUGUGAUCUACCUUUCCUAAGAUUGGCAAAGAAUUGAUGAAGCAUGUCAGGGUAACAAGUGUUGGGAAUAGUCAGAAUAUGAGUCCAUUUUUGGAAAGCAAAAAAGUUCAAGAAUAGGUUCAAGGUCAAGUUUACGGAAUUCAGAAGGGAGAAUGGUUCUUUGAAUGAUGAAAUCCUUCUGUGAAAUCCAUUCGAAUCUCUCCCUGGCAUCAUCAUCAAUGAACUUUGAUAGUGGGGUAAGUUUCUCUGCAAUUUGAGUCUCAGGUUGCUCCCUGGCAGUUCGUUUCCUCUUUCCACUUAGUGGAGUAUAUCAUGUACAUCGGUCUAUCCACCAGACCUUGUUCUUGAUGACUUUCUGGUGAAAGUCUCAGUGGCUUGCUGAUUCUCAGCAUUUUGCUCAGCAGUUUGCUAUUCCUCAAUUUGCUCAACAGAAGGAUCAGCAGUUUGCCUUUCCUUAGUUUGAGCAGUCUUCUUCUUUUUAGCAGACCGUUUCCCCUUUUUACUAUGAGAUUCAGUCCCUUUUUUGGGUGAUUUCGUGAUGGAUGCGUCAACAUUAGUAAGCUGCUCCAAUUCCUCUUCACUAUCACUAACAUGAGGCAAUGCAGUUUGUUCAGCAGAAGUAGUUUGUCGUUCCUCUGAAUGUUUCUUGUGGGCCGAACCUUUCCUUUUUCUACCAUGGUUUUUUAUUCCUCUCUUUGGAGAUUUGGUGGUGGAUGGCUUAUCAAUGUCAAUGUCUUCAUCCCUCAACAUGACUUUGUGGUGCGUCCGGCAUUGACAGACCCUCUUCUAAUUCUUACCAUGAUGAGAUGCAGGAUGGUUAUGUUGCAAAGUACGAUGCAGAUGUGUAUGAGAGUAACUUAGGGUGCGAAUGGACUACAACAAAUGCUUGACUCGCCCAAAGAGAGUGAAUUUUGAGUAGUUAGGGUUACAGGUGAGAAUUGGGAUUUAUGGGGUAGUUGGCAGUUAGACGAAGUUAUGAAGGGUAAUGAACGGGCAAAAGGAAUGUAAUGAUUUUGGACAAAUCAAUUUCUCAGAAGUUGUUCAGAAGAGAGAUGAAUUUUGAAUUUGAAAUUGGACGAAAAUGAAGAGUUGCGUCCGAGACAACUGUAAGAAAAAAUGAACUGAUUGAAAGAAGGGACUAUCUUAUAAGACGUAAUUUUUGAAUGUCAGACGGCCGAACGAAGUGAAACGUCCGACACAACCGUUCGAAACAGAACUUUCUGGAAAAGUGAACAAGGACACUGUCAGACGUCCGUUUUAAUGCAUCGGAUGUCCGAUAAAGAGUGACCAGAGAAUUUUUAGAAUAUUUUUUUGAAACAUCCAAUUUUGUUCUUAAAUACACAAAUGGAUCCAGUGGUAAAGCUUUUGUGAGAAUAUUAGCACUUUAAUAUUUUGAGCAGAUAUAUUGAACACGAAUUUCACUCUUUUGGAUACGAUCGUGAAUGAAAUGAUUCUUUAUAUCUAUAUGCUUUAUCUUAGAAUGUUGAAUGGAAUUUUUUGUCAAAUUUAUGGCACUAGUGUUAUCACAAUACAUAGACACACAGUCAUACAUUAAUCCAAAAUCAUUCAAUGUGUUUUUCAUCCACAAUAAUUGAUCACAACAAGCUCCGGCAACAAUAUAUACCGCUUCGAUUGUAGACAAGGAAAUAGCAUUUUGUUUCUUACUAAACCAAGACACUAAGCAAUUACCAAGAAAGUAACAUGUUCCAAUUGUACUUUUUCUAUUUAUCCUACAACUGCCAAAAUCAGCAUCUGAAUCAUAUAAAUGGAACUCAUGACAUUUAGGAUACCAAAGACCAUAAUUUAAAGUUCCUUUUAGAUAUCUAAAAAUUCUUUUCACUGCAUUUAAGUGAGAUUCCUUUGGACAAGAUUGAAAACGAGCACACAAGCAAACAACAAACACAAUAUCAGGUCUACUUGCAGUUAAGUAAAACAAAUUACUAAUCAUACCUCUAUAUUUCUUUUCAUCAACUUUUAUACAUUCUUCAUCCUUGUCAAACUUGGUAGAUGUGUACAUAGGUGUUCCAAUUUACUUUGAAUUUUCCAUUCCAAAUCUUUUGAGCAACUCCUUAGUGUAUUUAGUUUGAUUAAUGAAUGUUCCUUCUCGGGUUUGAAUCAUUGGGAACACAAGGAACAAAUUUAAUUCUCUCAUCAUACUCAUCUCAAACUCUUUUUGUAUAAUUGUGAAAAAAUCCUUGCACAAUCCCUCAUUAGUAGCACCAAAUAUAACAUUAUCCACAUAGAUUUGCACAAUUAAAAGAUCACUUGAACUUUGUUUAGUGAAAAUAGUGUUAUCUACAAUGCCUCUUUUAAAACCAUUUUCAAACAAAAAAUCACUUAAACGUUCGUACCAUGCUCUUAGAACUUGUUUUAAUCCAUACAAAGAUUUUGAGAGUUUGAUCACAUGAUUUGGAUAAAUUUCAUUUUCAAAACCAGGAGGUUGGUCAACAUAUACUUUUUGAUCAAUAAAACCAUUUAAGAAAGUACUUUUAAUAUCCAUUUAAAAUAGUUUGAAAUUCUUGAAACAUGCAAAGGCAAAAAACGUUCUAAUUGAUUCUAGUCUAGUUACGGGUGCAAAUGUUUCAUCAAAAUUUAUUCUUUCUUCUUGUGCAUACCCCUUCGCUACAAGUCUAACCUUAUUCGUUACUAUUUCACCUUUGUCAUUCAUUUUGUUUCGAAAUACCCAUUUUGUGCCAAUGAUAGGAUGAUCUUGAAGUUUUUCAACUAAUGUCCAAACCUUGUUUCUUUCAAAUUGAUUUAGUUCCUCUUCCAUAACUAAAAUACAGUUUACAUCUUUCAAUGCAUCAACAACAUUUUUGGAUUCAAAAUAUGAGACUAAUGCAAAAUUAUCCAUCAAUUGUUUAGAGGAGGAAUGAGUUUUGACCUUCUCGGAUGGAUCACCAAUGAUGAGCUCCUUAUGAUGGUUUUGAACAAAUUUUCAAACUCUUGGAAGAUUGUUAGGUGUACCAACAUCCUUAUCAUUAUUUUCCAGUGCUGGACUAACUUGAGAACUAUCUUCCUUUUGAAUCAUUUUCUGAUGAAACAUUGUCUUGAUCAUUAAUUGUGAGCUUCUUUAGUUCUCCUUAAACACCUGCAUCAUCAUCUUCACCACAACUUUUGAAAAUAUCACCAUUAGAUUCAUCAAAAGUGGCAUGUAUAGCUUCCUCUAUAACGAGAGUCCUUCGAUUAUAAAGACUCUAAAAUCUUUUUUUUUUUACAAUAAUCCAAGAAAAUUCGUUCAUUAGAUUUUUUUUAUCAAACUUUUCAAGAUGUUCCUUAAUGUUUAAAAUGAAGCAUUUGCAACCAAAAACUUUGAAGUAUCCAAUAAUAAGUUUUUUUAUCAAACAUUAACUCAUAAUAGGUUUUAUUUAAAAAUAAUCUCAAGAGAACUCUAUUCAUAGUAUAACAAGCUGUAUUUAUAACUUCAACCCAAAAAUAUUUUGGCAAGUUGCAUUCAUACAACAUGGUUCUUGCUGCCUCUUGAAAAGUUCUAUUUUUUCUUUCAACAACUCCAUUUUGUUGAGGAGUUCUUGCAGUAGAAAAUUCAUGUGUAAUUCCAUUGUUAUCACAAAAUUCUGAAAAGCCACAAAAACGAAAUUCUGAACCAUUGUCACUUCUGAUCUUGAUGAUUUUCAACCCAAUUAGAUUUUGUACUUUUACAAAUAAUGAAACAAAGUUUUUUAAGGCAUCAUCUUUGUGUGCAAGAAACAUCACCCAAGUAUAUCUAGAAUAAUUAUUAACAACAACAAAGUAAUAUCUUUUGCCAUCUAAGCUAGCAGUUUGUGUAGGACCAAAUAAAUCAAGAUGUAAAAGUUUCAAAACUUUUGUAGUAGAAACACAUUUCUUGGGUUUAAAAGAAACUUUGAUUUGUUUUUCAAAUUGACAAGCAUCACAGAUGUUGUCCUUUUCAAAUUUAAUUUUUGGCAAAUCUCUAACAAGUUCCUUUUUGGAAAUCUCUUUUAGCAAAUCCAUGUUGAAAUAACAAAGUCUUCUAUGCCAUAACCAAAGGUCUUCAUUUGCUACUUUAAGAUAUUUAAAGUUGGAAGAAUCAACAUUUUCAAGAACAACUAUAUAAAUGUCAUUUAUUUUUGGGUUAAAAACAAAAAAGCCCCCUGUGAUAAGCCUAAUACACAGAAAAGCCCCCCAUGGUUUCAAAAUAUACAACACGACCCCUCAUGCUUUGAACUAAAUUGUAAAGGUGACGGAAUCCGUUAAACUUAACGGAAAUGACUUAUUGGAACCUAAAAAAAAAUUUUUAUACCUAAUUUUUAUCAAAUAUACCUAUUCUACCCCUUAACUCUCAAUUCUCUCUACUUAAAAAAUAAAACAAAUGAUUUUUUUGAGCUGUCUUUUGUUUAAUUAUGUAAGGGUAUUUUGGUCAUUUUGACCAUUUCCGUUAAGUUUAACGGAUUCUGUCACCUUUACAAUUUAGUUCAAAGUAUGAGGGGUCGUGUUGUAUAUUUUGAAAUCAUGGGGGACUUUUCUGUGUAUUAGACUUAUCACAGGGGACUUUUUUGUUUUUAACCCUUUAUUUUUAUUCCUUUGAAAAUAGUAUUAAGUUUUGAGUCAAGAAUAAGACAUUUAUGCUUUUUGAAUAACACUAACAGAUUUCUAUCACACAGUUGACUAACACUUAACAAGUUAUAACUCAAAUUAUCAACUAUAAGAAUAUUGUGAACAAAAGUUUGACCAUUCUUACCAAUAUCACCAAUUCCAACAGUUUUGGUUUUAUUAUUAUCUCCAAAAGUUACCUUUCCGCUUGAUUUUGGGUUAAGUUGGAUGAAUUGUGAUGGAUCACCAGUCAUAUGCCUUGAACAUCCACUAUCUAUGAACCGUUUUGAUUUCUUAACGAUAUUCAUCAAAUUCACCUACACAAGAGUUCACAAGAUAAAAUAUGGCACUCUUUACUUUUUGGGUCCUUGAGAGUUAGCAUUAUGUCUAACUUUCCACAUGCAUUUUAUGUCAUUUCUCAUAUUUUUUUUUAGCAUAGCAGUUACUCAUCAUGUGACCAAUUUGAUAAUAAAAAUUGCACAUAGUCAGUGAAUUACUUGCAUGGACAGGUUUAAGAAAUCUGAUUUAUCUUCUCUUGUAAAUGGUAAAUUCGUGUGCAUUAGAGUUCAAUCUUUUUUCAUGCAUGCCAAAAAGAGAUUUUGGUUCAUUCCUUUGAAACCAGUUUUGUUUCUUGUGUUGAAGCAAAUCAUCAAGGUCAUCCAUUCUCCUUUUCAAGUUUCUUUGUUCCUUUUUUAACAAUUCACAAAGUUUUGUUUUUUUAUCCAGUUCAAUAUGCAAAUCAGUCUCAAUUCUUUUCAGGUUAUCAUUUUCAACUUUCAGAUUCUUGUUUUGAAAAAGGUUUGCAUUGUCUUGAAUAAGAAAAUUGAUCUUUUAUUUUAGUUCCUUGAUUUUAACAUAGGAUUUUUUCAAACUAUUAUGCAGUCUCUCCAUAAAUGAAUUAACAUCAUCAUCAGAUUCAUCAUCACUAUCAAGUGGAGAGUUACAAGUAGUUACCUCAUCAUCACCAAUGGCCAUGAAAGCCAUUUGGGUAGAUUCCUCUUCUUCUUCGACUUCACCUUCUGAGUUGCAAUCAUUCCAUGUAAUUUGAAAGUUGUUGAAUUUUGAUUUUCGUUCAACUUUUCUUUCCUUCUUUUCUUCAUUGGACACUCACUUACGUAAUCUCCAGGUUGGCCGCAUUCAAAGCAUUUAUCAGUUUGCUUUUUAUUGAACUCUUGCUUCCCUUUAUUUUUUGCAUUGCUGAACUGAUUUGGGAAUAAGUUGCUGUUUCCUCCUUUUCUGAACCUUCGUUUGUUGAGAAUUCUCUUGAAACUUUUUAUGAUGAGAGAUAGAUCACUGUCAUCAACUUCUGCAUCUUCUCUAUCCAGGGAGGCAGAAUCAUCUUCAUCUUGAGAUGCUUUUAGAGCAAUGCUCCUUCUUACUUUUGCAUCCUCUUCCUCUUGCACUUUGGACUUAAGUUUCAGUUCAUAAGAGGUUAGAGAAUUUAUAAGAGAUUCAAUAGGCAAGGAAUUUAGAUCUCUAGUUUCUUCAAUGGCAGUCACUUUACUCUCCUAGUCCUUGGAUAAAGUAUUCAGAAUUUUUCUAUUUUUCUCACCUAGAGAGUUUUCCUUUUCCAACACCUCUAAGUUCUUAAUGAGGUCAUUGAAUCUACAAUAUACAUCUUAUCAAUGUUUUUAUGAGGUUCCAUCUUAAACGAUUCAUAUUUGGUAACCAGAAUAGAUUCUUUUGUUCUCUCAUAUUCUCACUCCCUUCAUGGAUUUCUCUAAAUUUGUCUCAGAUUUUUUUAGUUGACUUACACCCUUUGACCCUAAUGGAUUCAUUUGAAUCUAAGACACUAUACAACACAUUCAUAACUUUAGCAUUCAAGGUAAGAUGACUUCUAUUUUCACCAGUCAACUCAUUUCUAAUUUUUGGUUUCGGUCUAUGAGUGAUUUCAUCUAUUAUAGAGGUAUCAUAUGGACCUUCAUUGACAAUGAACCAUAACUCAAUAUCAAGAGAUUGCAAGAAAAUGAUUAUUCUUUCCUUCCAACUCACAUAAUUGGAUCCAUUAAACAUUGGAGGUUUAGUGACGGAUUGUCCCUCAAAAAAUAUGGCAUUGUUGGUUGUCAUUUUUACUCCAAAGCCGAUUGAGCUUAAUCUCUAGGAGACCAAACUCUGAUACCAAUUGUAAAGAUCAAAGACAAUCUAAGAGGGGGUUGAAUUAGGUUAUUUAAGAAACUAAUCAAAUUGUAAGACUCUUUUUCUUCAAUUUGAAAAUUACUCUCCUUUCUAGAUAACCACACAAUGUAGCAAUUAACGAGAGAUCAAGAUUGCUUGUGAGUAGAAGAGAAAGACAGUUUGUAUUUGCAAUAUAGUAAACAGUAGAGAAAGGAUAGCAAACCAGAAUCACUUCCAAACUCCUCUUGAGCUUGGAUAAAAUAAAUUUCUUCAAGUUGAUCAAUUACAACCAAUCUUUGUGUACAAAGGAAGGAUCACUUCCUCCUUACCCCAAGCCACACUUGAUCAAGUUAGAAAAUUUUACUAUCACUCGGAUAACCCUCAUAAAUCUACACUAUUGAAGUAAUUUUCUCACACAAGAAAAGGUUCUAUGAAAUUUACACAACUAAGAGUACAAAUCUUUCUUGAAAAGUAUUUUCUCAAUAAAAUCACUCUUGAUAUGAUGUAAUCUCAAUGUGCAAAGUUAUUUUUAAGUGGUUCCCUUUGUUCUAUUUAUAUGAGACCAAAAAAUUCUUCAAUUAAUGCUUCCAACGGAUAGAAAGUAGUUGAAGAAUUAACUAGCCGUUGGAAGUGUCGGACGUCCGGUGGACCUAUUUCUUGCGUCCAAAUGCAGGCAGUGAGUUCAAGAAAAUUUCUUGAAUUCUUUCGAACGUUCGGUACCUUUAGUGUAUGCGUCCGAAGGUAGGGAGUGAAACUGAAAAUUCUUCUUCAAUUCUUUUCGGACGUCCGGUGCCUCUAAAGCUUUGCGUCCGAAGUGUCGCAAUGUUUGUCGGACGUCCGGUGCUCUGAUGAUGUGCGUCCGAUUGAAGUCAGUGAGUUUAGAAGAAAUAAUUUAAUAUCUUUGGAUGUCCAAGAGUGGAGUUCUCCAUGCAUCUGAAGUUGCGUAAUGAUUGUCGGACGUCCGAUCCAAUCUUUUUGUGCGUCCGAUAGCCGCUUCAGUAUUCUUGGUGCUUAGUUUUUGAACCUGUUUUGCUCCAUUUUUGAAAAGGUCUAUUAAGAAAAUAUUAGUAACAUCCAUUUGUUUUGUAAUCAUCAAAAGCUACAGAUUGAGAUAAACAGGUUAUCAAUAAUUAAAAAAAAAAUUGAUUGUCAUCGCUUAUAUGGCAGUUAUAACUUAUUUAUCAGAUCAUAAGCGGAAUUAUUUUGUAUCGACGUUCAAUUAGGAGAACCAUUUCCGAAAUUGCUUCUUGACUAGAGUUUGUUCAAUAUUAUUUGAGUCUUAAUAAUUUACUAUUUACUCUGAGCUAUUUAUUAUAUUCAAGUAAUCUAGUUUAUUUUCAUAAAACCUCCCGUAUCCAGAAUUGUAGAAGAAGUUAAUUUCUUUUAGUCUCUAUAGAUUUGACCCUGCUUACCACUAGAUGCAAAAGUUCUAUUUAAUUUGAGUAGGAAUUUAUUAUUGCAUAGGCUCGACAAACUGUCAGUAAUGUCAUUAGUUGAAUAAUGUGCUUUUACUUAAAUGCUAAAUCAAUCAACAGCUUAACCACCUUGUAUAAAACUAUAAAGAGAUCACGUGGAUAAAUGCCAAAGCCACAGGCAGUAAAGUGGAUAUCUAUACAAAGCAUAAGGGGUUAUAUAGAUGUUAAAAUUGUGGAUAAAUUCCAAAGUCAUAGGGAAUAAAGUGGAUAUCUAUAUAAACCAUAAGGGAGUUACAUAUAUGUUAAAAUUUUAUCACAUGCACUUUUAAAUCACGUAUGGUAUAAAUGCCAUAACUGAUUGUGUAUUACAUCCAUUUUUCACUUUACAUAAAUCCAUAGGAGAAUUAUGUAUCUAUUUUAAAACCUUAGGAAGAUCAUCUAGUAUUAUGUAAAUCACAGGGGUUAAUAAGCAAUUUACCCAACUUUAAAUGCUACUAAUUAAAACUUUCUUGGCACUUUAAAAUUCCAUUGAAAAUAAAAAAAAAAGUAAAAAAAUAAUUUGAAAUUAAAAAUCAAAUUACUCUUAUUGAUUACAACUCAAGAAAAUGAAUGUUUCUCCAUAAAGUAAAAGUCACAACUAACUAUAAAUUUGUAAGAAAUUAUAUGACAACAAUCCACACAAAUUCAUACAUUUUACAACUGAAACAUAUCUAAAGACAUUAACCUUUUAAGCUGAUAACCUGAUUAAGAUCAUGUCAUCUGUGCUUCAUUAAUCCUCUUAGACGUUAUGUAAUCUGCAUUUAAACAAUACAAUGAACAUAUUACCUCUAAUGAAGGAUUAGUAAGUAGAAAUACCAGCUCAAGAUAUUAGCAAUAGUCGUUGAAAACUUUGCAACGAUCAAGGUAGCAAGUAGAAACUUGAGUUAGGUGAAACAAACAUUUCUCAACUAGGAAAAAACUCUCUUCCUUCUCUCUUCUUAUUUUCUCUAAUUUCUCAACUAUUUCAUGGCUGCCCUUCAGCCGUCGGCUGAGGGGCAAGGAUUAUCACCUACCAAAAACAAAUCUUUUUCUCAACUUUUUUCUCAGCCGGCAACAUCGCCUAUCCACAUUCAGCAGGCUUCUGUCUACAAGGGAGAAGCUGCGGUAGUUUUUUCUAAAGCAGAUGCAGACAAACUUGCAGCGCCGUUUCAAUGGGCUUUGGUGGGAAAAUUUUCUUACGGCCGACUGUCUUUGGAAGACAUUCGAAAGUUUUUUGCUUCUUUAAACCUGAAGGAUCAUGUUUCUAUUGGAUUGAUGGACUAUAGGCAUGUUCUCAUUAAGUGCAUGGCUGAAGCUGACUUCAACAGAAUUUGGAUGAGAGGGAUUUGGCAGCUGGGUAAAUAUCCGAUGCGUGUGUUUAGAUGGACAAGGGAGUUUCAUGUGCUUAGGGAAUCAUCUUUGGCUCCGGUUUGGGUAGUUCUUCCAGCUCUGCCUAUUCAUUAUUUCGACAAACAUUCAUUAUUCUCCAUACUUUCUCCAGUAGGAAGACCACUGUUUCUAGAUUCGGCAACGGCAGCUGGGACUCGACCAAGUUUGGCCAGGGUAUGUGUGGAGCUCGAUGUAGCGAAAUCUUUUACACAAAGAGUUUGGGUGGCUGUUGAAGGGGAGUCUGGAUUUUGGCAACGGAUUGUGCCAGAGAAUAUGCCAUUGUAUUGUUCAACUUGUUCACGUUUGGGUCAUUCCCAAGAGCAAUGCAAGAAGAAUGUAACUGAGGUUGGGUCUCGGUAUCUAUAUAAGCAUAACACGAAGCUGCAGACGGAUCUAUCGUUAGAAGUUAAUAAUGUUCAAGUGUCUAAUUUAGACCUCGUGAAAAACCCAGAUGCUAACUUGGAAAAAACAACAGAUGCCGUGACUGAUUCCGACGAAGUACAUCGUACUGAGAUGGGCAAUUAUGCGGAAAAACUAAAAGGUGCAGUGGUGGAGGAAGUUUGUACUGCCACAAAGGUUCAAGAAGUUAGUAAGCCUGAUGAUCACCUAAUUCAGCUUGGAGUAACUAAGUUGCCGUCCUCUGCUGGAUUUGAACAACCACAAAAUGAUCUUGCAAUGGAGCUGCCAGUUCGUGAGAAACGAAGGGAAAUGGAAAACCAGCUGGAGAAGGUCCACGGGAAUGAAUACCAAGGGACCCGUUUUGAAACUAAUAUAAAUCCCACAGACAAACUUCAGAGUAAGGCCGACAAAAAUACUCUUCAUCAUCUAAAUACUGAUCACCAAGUGGUGAUAGUUGCUGCAUCCAAGCCGACAACAUAUGAUGUGCAAGGGAAUUUGAAUACGGCUCAUAUGGGAGAGCAAGCACUUGUUGGGGAACAAUUGUUAAUGCAAAAGCAUUCAGAACAGGCCCAUGGAAAUGAUGAAGGGACCCAAGCUACAUCGUCUGAAGCAUCAAAAGAGAAACUUCAGUCCAUGGCCGACAAUAACUCUUUGGAGCAUCUCUAUGUUGAGUUGCGAGGAGUGGAGAAUUUCGGUCCUACAGAGCAUGGGAUAGUGGAGGUUAAUUCACCAACUGUUGCAGGAAAUUUGUCUCCCAGACCGGGUGUCCCACAAGAAAAUUUGACUGAAUCAUCAGGUCCUUCUUCAAGUCUUGAUCAAUCAGGGGGGGCUGACCGUAAUCCCAAACAAAAAAGGACAAAAGGUUUGAGGGCUAAUCUGCAAACCGACAGAAUUUUGCGCUCACGGUCAGAGACAUCAUCCAAAAACUCAUUCCAGGUUCUUUCUCAUGAUUAAUGGCAUUUUUUGGAAUAUUAGAGGAGUAGCUAAAGCACCUAAUCUACGAAGAUUAAUCAAUUUAGUACGGACACAUCAUCUCCAAUUUGUUGUGAUUUGUGAGCCAAAGUUAGACGUAUCUAAAAUACAAACCAUUCGUCUACGUCUAUUAUUUGAUUACGUGCUUGUUAAUUGUUCAAGUGAUAUUUGGGUGUUCUACAAUAAUCCUUUUCUUUGCUCGAUUGUUGGUAAUUCGGAUCAGCAUAUUUCUCUACAUGUACAAAGUCCCCUAAUUCCUUCUCCAAUAAUUUUGUCCUUUGUUCAUGCAAAAUGCUCAGUUGACGAGCGGCGUGAGUUAUGGUCCUCAUUGUUAGCUGAUAAGCCUAGUUUUCUUCCUUGGUGUAUUGGGGGUGAUUUUAAUGUUAUUGUAGCAACUCAUGAAAAAAGGGGAGGUCGUCCAUUUGCUAUAACAGAAGGAGUGGAAUUUCUGUCUUUCAUGGAGGAGGCUGGAGUAUUUGAUGUAGGCUUCUCAGGACCCAAUUUUACAUGGUCAAACAAUCGACGAAGUAGAGCUCGGAUUUCAAAGAGGUUAGACAGGUUCUUAGUCAACGGGGCAUGUCUGGAUCUUUCUCAUAACAUUUCUGUCAUUCACUUGGCUAGACAUCCAUCUGACCAUUCACCGUUAAAGCUCUCAUUUGUUCCUCAAUCAGAUACUAAGCCGCGUCCAUUUCGAUUUUUGAAUGUGUGGACAACUAAACCACAACUCUUGGAGGUAAUACGCCAGGCUUGGACUCAAGAUGUCAAUGGAUCUCCGAUGCGUGCUCUAUGUUCUAAAUUAUUAGCAACAAGAAAAGCUAUUCAGACAUGGAACAAAGAACACUUUGGAAACGUGAUCGAUAAUGUGCGAUCUGCAGAAAUGGCGGUGCAACGGGCAGAAGAAGUGGUAGAUCAAGAUGAUUCGGAGGAGUGCCAGAUUGAACUCAAAAAGGCUCAGGCGGAGCUGAGAUAUGCAUUAUCAAUUGAAGAACAAUUUUGGAGGCAAAAGGCUAGGGUAAAAUGGCUUCGACAGGGAGAUACUAAUUCAAAGUAUUUUCAUGCGAUAGUAAGACAGAGACGGGCUCAAGCUAUGAUUCAUCGUAUCAAAAAAGCCAAUGGUGUUUGGGUGGACAAUGAAGCUGAUAUAGCAAGUGAAGCAACCACCUAUUUCUCUGAACUUUUCUCGGAUUCUUUGGGAUCAUCUGCAGAUAUGCUACAUCUCAUUCCACCUAUGAUUUCGGGAGAGGAUAAUGUGAAGUUGGAAGAAAUCCCUUCAAUUGAAGAGGUUUAUAGAGUCCUGCAGGCAAUGGAUGAAGAAAGUGCUGCUGGCCCAGAUGGAUUCACGGGAAAAUUUUUUACUUUUGCAUGGCAAGUAAUCGCCCAAGAUGUCUACAAGGCGGUACUCAGUUUUUUCUGUGGAGCAGAGCUACCUCGUUUCAUCACCUCUACUUCAAUUGUUCUAAUUCCGAAGGUGCCAAAUCCUCAAGAUUUUUCUCAAUUUAGACCCAUCAGCCUAUGUAACUUCUUCAACAAGCUAUUAUCAAGGAUCUUGGCAGACAGAAUGGCGGGAAUAUUGCCAAAAAUUAUUUCUCCCCAGCAGACAGGAUUUGUGAAGGGUCGCAAUAUAACCGAAAACUUCCUACUUGCACAGGAGGUGAUAUCGGGUAUGGCGAAAAAGAAUAGAGGUGGAAAUGUGGUUAUGAAACUAGACAUGUCUAAGGCAUAUGACAGAGUGGCAUGGAGUCAUAUUAUAAAUGUUCUGAGAAGGUUCGGUUUUGGUGAGAGAUUCAUUGAUAUGGUUUGGCGACUGAUUUCUAAUGUCUGGUUUUCCGUCAUUAUAAAUGGAUCCUCAUAUGGUUUUUUCAAGUCUUCAAGAGGACUCCGUCAGGGGGACCCAUUAUCACCAGCAUUAUUUAUUAUAGGGGCAGAGGUGUUAUCUAGAGCACUGAAUAAUCUUGUCAUGCAACCAAGAUUUGUGAGUUUCAAAGUUCCAUAUGGAUGCCCGUCUAUUACUCACUUGGCAUUUGCGGAUGAUGUUCUUAUAUUUGCAAAUGGAUCCUCAUUUUCCCUGAAGGCUAUCAUGAAAGUGUUAGAUGAUUAUCAAAGAUGCUCGGGCCAAUUACUAAAUGUACAAAAAAGCUGUUAUCUGGUUCAUCCAUCUGUAUCAAUGGCAAGACGACGGCUGCUUGAUCGCAUCUCUAGGUUUGCCCGCAAGUCAUUUCCAAUACGCUAUUUAGGGUUUCCGCUCUACAUUGGAAGAUGCAAAUCAUCUUAUUUUGGAGAAGUUUGUCACGCAAUACUAGCAAGGAUUCUGUCUUGGAAAUCAAGGUUACUUUCCUUUGGAGGAAAAAUUAUUCUAAUCAAGCAUGUACUAUCUUCAAUACCAGUUCACCUAAUGUCAGCUGCAGUGAUUCCCAGCUCGGUGUUUAAAACUAUAGAAAAGGCAUGCUCGGCAUUCCUCUGGGGAUCCUCACCCGAGGAAUCGAAGCUUCAUUGGAUACGUUGGCCUCAAUUGUGCUAUCCAGUUGAGGAAGGGGGAAUUGGAUUUCGGAGAUUAUGUGACGUCUACACAGCCUUUUCCUCCAAGUUAUGGUGGAAAUUCCGAACAGAAUCAUCACUGUGGUCGACCUUCAUGAAAGCAAAGUAUUGUAAAUGUCUGCACCCUUGUCAGGUAGAACUCAGGCCAACGGAUUCGGCAAUUUGGCGAAGGAUGCUCAAUGUGAGUCGGCAAGUGGAACUCUCAAUAUUAUGGGUGGCCAAAUAUGGGGCGUGUCAUUUUUGGUACGAUAACUGGUUGGGGAGUGGUGCAUUGUUUCUAAAGGUUCCAGUUAUCCCAAAUUUGACGUUCCGAAACUUCGUAAACAACGGCCAUUGGGAUUUGAAUCUUCUAUACCACACAUUGCCAAAGGAAAUUGCUUAUUCCAUCUCAGAACAAAUGGUCCCAGAAGAAGGAAGUAUAGCUGAAGUCUUUUGGAUGCCCACAACAACUGGAAAUUUCUCUCUACAUUCGGCUUUUGGGGACAUUAGGCAGACCCGACCCACGUCUAUGGUAUUUGCUUCCAUUUGGCACCCUCUGAUACCUUUGAAAGUUUCAUUUUUCAUGUUGAGAUUACUUCUGAGGAGAAUACCGACACCGGAUAAGCUUCGUAAAUUUGGUUUCCAUUUGCCGUCAAAGUGCUUUUGCUGUACUGAGCCUUCCGAGGAGUCUAUUGAGCAUUUAUUCUCCAACGGACACAUUGCGUCAUUCCUUUGGAAUUAUUUUGGAGGGUUAUGUGGAAUAAAAUUCUCAAGAUCUUUUCUACGAGCACGCAUAGUUGAUUGGUGGUUGAAUUCACAGGAUUCUGAGUUACGAAAGAUUAUUUGCCGUAUUCUUCCUAGUGUAAUUUGCUGGCAGAUUUGGAAGGAAAGGAACAAAGCAAUGUUUGAGGGUGUCCAGAUGCAAUCAUCGGCCAUUCGCCAAGCCAUCUUCUCAGAAAUCCAAUCCAUGGUAGGAAUACAUUUUAAACAAUUGAUAAGACUACAAUCCUUUUGUCAAUUGUAUGAUUGGUCAAAGGCACCUGGGGGUACGGUUGUAUAUCAAGGUAUCCGCUAGGAAACCAAAGAGACAGGGAGGUAUACUCUUAACACGGAUGGAUGUGCUAAGGGUAAUCCAGGAAUAGGUGGAGGUGGGGGCAUACUCCGGGAUUCCACUGGAUUACCAAUGAUUGGUUUUUCGGCAUAUCUGGGAGAAACUACAUGUCUCCGUGCAGAGGCUUGUGCCCUUCUUAUUGGUCUUCAGAUCUGUAUACAUAACGGUUUUGGAAACAUAUGUGUACAAUCAGAUUCUUUGGUUUUAAUUGGGAUCAUUCAACGUCGUACUCAGUGUCCGUGGAAAAUUCGAAGAUACGUCAACCAGAUUUGGCAAUUAUUAGAUGAUCCACCUAGAUUCACGCACUGCUAUCGGGAGGCUAACACAGUUGCUGAUGCUUUAUCUAAUGUGGGUAUAUCUCAUCCAGAUAAACAAAUUGAGGUUUACGAUACUUUCAGUAAAUUCCCAAGAUUGGCUCGUGGGGCAAUCCGUUUGGACAGAAUAGGGAUACCUUCAAUUAGAAAAAUGAGGAUUAUGUAAGAGGAAUAUUUGGUUCUAUUUUCCAUGAAUAAAUAAAAAGAAUUUCUAUAAAAAAAAAAAAAAGGUAGCAAGUAGAAAGGGCACCUUGAACCUGCGGCAGAGAAACUAAAGGCACUCCAACAAAGAAACCUCAACACUUUCCAAUAUUUCUAAAACGAAAAAGGAAAUGGUACCAAUCAAUUUAGAUUUAAUCCCACAACUUGAGCAAAAAGAUAAAUUAUCUAGUAUUUUCCAAUGCUUGACCAUAUCUGUACCUACAAUCACGUUUUGGUUUGCGUAGAUGUCAUACAUCACAAAACCAGCAUCUCACACAAAGUGAAUGAGAUGUUGGCGCAUCUCAUCACAUAAUAAUUAAUUGAAAACAACAUGCAUUGCAUCCUUAAUUUUUUUGGAGCAUUACACCAAGAUAGAAUGACUUAAUAUAAAUGGAUUCUAAUUUAUACUUACUAUUCUAACCAGACCUACCAUUCCAAUUUAGCACACAUUUUUGUCAGAAUAUGGUAAAUAAAGGCACUUUAUACUAUAUGAAUUUCACAAAAAGUUAUGCAAAAAAUGGACGUAUAGGUAGAGAAGAUACAUACCCAAAAAGUUCUCAAUUAUGUUUUCAAGAUGCUAAAGUAAUUCUUUUCCAGAUUUGCUGAUGGUGCUUUUUGUUUUCAAGGUUUAUGCAAAGAACAUCAUACUAUCUCUCUUAGUCAAAUAAUACAAUUCUUCACCACAAAUUUCCUAAAGCAUCUCUGAACCUAGCUUGGAAAAAAAAAAGGAGAGCUUCUUAUUAACACUAUGAAAUGAUUGUGAGAAAGAAGAAUUUAACCUAGAGUAAUUAACAUACAACUCCUCAAAGGAAAGAAAAAUUAGAAACAACCAAUAUUUUUUUAUCUUAAAAUUGUACCCAUAUUCACACAAUAUACAAUGAUAAAACAAACAAAAACCUAUAAACCAUUAUUUUGUUCUAUGGGAUUUAGAGAGGAAAAAAAGUACCUUUAGUGAUUGUAAUGGUAGAUGACAACAGAAUUGAGAUGCUAGAUGAUAGGGUUUGUAGAUAAAGUUUUGUGGAGAAUGCUAGAUUGAAAAAUUUUCAGUGAGUUUCAAUGUUUUUAGGAUUUACUCUAAUACUUAUCAGUUACGAGAAGAAGUAAGGAAACCUCAUCAAUUAGGCAAGUAAAUCUCAUCAAACAGUGAACUGUGUUUUUUUUUUUUUCAUUUUGCUUAUUUUAAACUUUUAGGAAAUGCCAGUAACACUCAUGAUCCAAUGACGCAUAAGGUGAAAUGCCAACCAAGUGUGGCCAAAUUUGCAUUUGAUGGCAUAGUUAGCAAAAAUGCUGUUGAGCUAGCAUUUUCAUUGUGUGAAGAAGUGAAGUCCCCUUGAAAGAUUCAACCAUGGCGUUCCCUUGAAAAGUUCCAUUAAAUAGCUGCCACUAAUUCAGAUUUUUCUUGUAGUGAUUAGUGGCUGUUUAUUGGAUGUUUCUAAUUUGUACACACCGAGUCCAAUUCAAAGAGAAAGAUCUUCUUGUUUUCCUUAGUCUUUGUCUCUCCAGAAGAAUAUGACACGUGGGUCCCAAUCUUUUGCUAUUCUUAUUGAAGUUUCAAGCUACUAAGAAGUGUUAAUGGUACUCAAUUAAACAUUCAUGGAACACAUGUGGACCUGCGAGUAACACACAUCAUGUGAUGAUUGGUGUUGAAAUUUUCAAAAUCCAAAUGCAUAAUAAAAAAUUUAAUAACAUCAACGGCUGGAGUUUGGAAAUCAACGAAAUAUUUUUGUUUAUUUUGGAAGUUGCUUGCUAAACAAAAACUACACAGAAAUAUUCUGCAGUAAUUACCAUGAAAAUUUUUAAUUUUUUCCUUCUAGUUGUGGUGUCAUUAUCCACAGCAUUGUCAUGAAAGGGACGAGAAUUUUGGUGGACAGAAUAAAAAUUUGUUGAGUGUUUACGUGGUUAACCAUUUUGCUUCUCGUUAUUAUAAACCAUGACUAGUUGACUAGUUCUGAAACAAGGUUUGUCAAAAUUCAAACUUUAGAAGUUUAAGGUGUUGAAAAAUCUUGUUUGACAAAAAAGUGCAAAUACUUUUUGCUAAGCAUGAAAUUUAGCUUUUCUUCCCAACUUACCAAACGUGGCAAAGAUAACGUUUGGACUCUGAUUCAUCCAAGAUUUAAGCUCGUACAGUAACAUAAAUCUUCUGUGCCUUACAUUAGGGACAAUCAGGUGAAUUUGCCUUACAUUAUUUUGAAAACAUCAGCAACAUGAAAAAAGAUGUAAUGAAACAAGUUGUAGUAACCACAAUCCUCUGUGCCAAAUAACGGGGCAGACUCUUUGAACUGAGGGCACAAGAAUUUAUUUAUUUUUUCAGUAUUUCUUGAGGAAUUCUCUGGCAAUCUUUCCAUUGCCUCCCUUAGGAUAGAAUCCUCCUGGAACAUGCUCAUUACCAGUGCCAUAAACAAUCCUCAGUAUCUCCUCUGGACCCCUCUCAUAUGAGAUAGAGUAGGAAUUGGCAGAUAAAACGUUGCUUGAAGUCCGUCCUUCGGCGCCUAGCUUCAGUGGGACAAAGAUCCCUUCGUCCUUGAUGCCAUCCUUGCCCAACUUGUUUCUCAGCUUUGAAAUGCGAAUAGUAAAUUCAGCAACUGUUUGAUUGUAAGGAUAUACCACUUCUUUAGCUCGUUCAUAGAGAUACAUUCUGAUUACUGCAUCUUGGCCUGAUUCAACUCCUAGUAGUCCCGCCAAAAGCUACAAAAUUAAGGAGAAAAAAUAUAUGUGAAUCACAUACACGUUUUUUUCAACUUAGCUAUCUUGCUUAUUGAAACGAAAAAAAUUCUUAACUUUUUGAAUAUGCUCAAUCAUGGAUUUUUGGCCUGAAUCUUAAUGGACUUACACGCUUGGCUCGAUAGCCUUGGAGUAAGGGAUUUGUGCCAACAUAGCCUACUAGGCCUACAUAGGGAAUUACAUAAGAAGCCAACAUGUAGUUGAGGCUGUUGCUGUAGGGGUUGAAGGGAGGGUCGAGUUUGUACCCAAAUGCUUCAUCAAAGAGCUUUGCAAAGUUUUCAGCACGGAGGUCCAGCUGUGGCCUUGGGAACAAACCUACCGUAUCUCUAAGCGCCCUAAAGUUCAAUGACCAAAGAAAAAAUUGAUGAUCAGAUAUACUUCACGAUUGGGAUUCUAGCUCUAAUAU